CCUUCCAUAACCUGGUUUAAGUUUUGAAGAAAAAUGACUAAUGGGCUGGGAUACUCAUGCCAUGGAGUGGCAAAAAAGAGGCUGAACUUUGUAUUUGAAGUAUCAUGUUGGUGAAGACAUGUAAAAGGUCUUAUGAACAUUUCAAUUUAACUCUUUUGUCUCUUGAGUACUAUAGCUUUAGACUAAUGAUUAUUUUCCAGUUUGUCUCUACACAAAAGACCAGUUUGUCCAUUUCUACUUUAAUUGUCAGCCUUCCAAGCUUGUCAAAUACAUCAGUUUUUAAGAUUUAUGUGCACCCCAUGUCAUUAAUCCCUUCCCAAGCUGAUUUUCCUUCGUAAAUAUAUAUUACAUUAACACUUAAACACACAUAUUUCAAAGAUUGAUUCCAAAACGAAAAUGAGAAAUGAAUGAAACUCAAAUCAAAAUUAGAGAAAUAGAGAGUGGAGGUGAAAAUAACCAGAAAAUUUACAAUAAUGCUAUGGAGGAAAAGAAGACAAGUGACUGAAGGAAAUGAGGACUCAGGGAAAAGACUCCUAUUGGAAGAAGGAACUAAGUUACCAUUUUGAAAUUCAAGAAAGAAACUGGUGGAUCUUGAAAUGGGUGUAUGUAUCUCUAUUAGCAACCCAAACUACUGUUUGAACAGAGAUUUUAUUAUACCAAAUGCUUAUGUAAUACUUGGAUGAAGAAGAUGAAGAUUUCAUGAGUAGAAAAAAAAAAAGAGAAAUAUGAAGGAAACAUAAAUGAUGUGGGGGGACACUGAAGAAACAGAUCCAAAAACAUGCAGUACUAUGAACUGCAAGAACAAGCAAUCUCUUAAGCUAGAAAAAGAAGAAACAUGAAAAACCAAGGAUGUAAUUAUCUAUACCUCAUCUGUAUGACGUAAAUCGUCGGGGAAGAAGGAAGAUGAGGACAAACCCUUCAAGUCCAAAACUUUAGACAGCAUGAUGGAACUGAAAAAGAACAAAUCCCAAAAUAAAGAAAGAAAACUCAAAGAAGCUCCAUAAAAAAGGACGCCAAAAAUUGCAACCCCACUCCUUCAGAAGGCAAUUCAAAAACUUCCCUGGAGCCUAUAAAAAUCUACAGGUCGAGCAAAACAUUUCAUGAGUAGAGAAAAAAUAAAAGAAAUCAAAUUACAAAACGAAGAAUCAUUUGUUAAACUAACUUAAACACCACAAUUCAUAUUUUUUUAGGGUUACCCAUUGUGCACACACCAAAUCAUUCUUAAGAGAUUUAAGUUUAACAGUAAAGACCAGAGAUGGAUCAAACUGUUACACCAUUGUUAAAAAGAAGAAAAGAAGGCCCAUAGAAAGGAAGCUAUUAAGGAAGAUAUUUCAUUGUUGGCAAAGAGCAUUGAAAGGCUGGGUGUGCAGGCUGGACAGCAACAGCAGCAACAACGAACUUUCAUGAAAUAUACUUAAGGAAUGAUUAAGGAAAGACAACAUGGGAAGAAGUUCCAGAAGGUUCGUCCAACAAGAAAGAAACUAUGAUUGAUGUCAGUGAUUCAUUUGUGAUGGGAGGAAAAUCGGAAGAAAAAUACACCAAGUUGGAAGGAGAAGAAUCUGCAGGGGAUCGAAGCAAAUUCAAGAAAAUUGACAUGCCAGUUUUCGCGGGUAUUGCCCGGAUUCUUGGUUAUUUAGAGUAGAACGUUAUUUUCAGAUACACAAACUUACUGAGCCAGAAGAAGAUGACGGUGAUAAUCAUUAGGUUUGAUGGUGCAGCCUUGGAUUGGUAUAGAUCUCAUGAAGACCGUGAACCGUUUGUUAAUUGGGAAGAUUUAAAGAGAAGACUUAUUAUUCGAUUUCGAUCAGACCGUGAGGGAUCAAUAUUGGGCAGAUUUUUAACGAUAAAACAAGACACUACAGUGGAUGAAUACAGAAUUUUUUUUGAUAAAUUGGUGGCACCUUUGCCUUUUCUGCAUAAGACAGUUAUAGAAGAGACAUUUAUGAAUGGUUUGAAACCUUGGAUUAAGACAAAAUUGGAAUGUUGGGAACGACUGUUGUUGGCUUGCUCAAAUGAUGAAAUUGGCCUAGAAAAUUGAGAACCGAGAGGUGAUAAGGGUGAAUCUGACUUAAAAUGUGCAGGGGAUGAUAAAACCCAAGUUUCUACUUCUUUAAAUACUCAAUUUCAUGUAGUUUCCAAUGACAAUAAGUCAGAAGGUACUGUUCCAGUAAGGGCUAUCACACUUCGAGGGGCUGCAGAAAUUAAUUGACGGGAAGGACCACCAAGACGACUUUUUUGUGAUGUUGAGUUUCAAGCCAGAUGUGAGAAAGGGAUCUGCUUUUGUUGUGAGGAAAAAUUUUGUGCAGGCCAUAGAUGUAAGGUGAAGGAUCAGAAGGAACUCAGAGUGUUAGUUGUUCAAGCAAAUGGGGAGGAAUUGGAAGUAGUGGAAGAGGAUGAUCGUAUAGAGGAACUUGAGGUAAAAGCUAUUGAACUUGGUAUAGAAUAAAAAGAACCAGUGAUAGAAUUGUCAUUAACUUCAUGGAACACCGGAUUAAAUGCGAUAUCAAGUGCUGCUUAAUUAUCACACCACAAUUUUGCUGGUGUGGUGAUUUCAAAUUCCAACUCAACAAUAGUCAAAAAGUUGAUAUAUCCAAAUCAAUUUGAUAUAUCCAAUUCACACAAAAAACUGUGCAAUUGCUCUAUAUUUUUUUAUUAUGCACUUGAAUGUGACACCACAUUUUGUUUCUUACUUUUCCAAGACAUCAAAUUGCCACCAAACAAAAACAAAAUAUCCUGAAGUUGAUCUUUCGUCUUCUUUAGAUUUUACCAAUUAACAUCUGAGAAAUAUUCAAUAUUAGUAUGACUAUAAUCCUUAUAUAAUAAAACCAUGCCCGAGAGCAGCCUUCAGAUAACACUGAAUCAUUCCAAAGCAGCUGAAUGAUCAACUUUAGGGCAUGACAUAUACUGGCUCAUAAUACUUACUAAAUAGGCUAUGUCGAGUUGAGUCACUGGAAGGUAAUUAAGUUUUUCCUCUAACCUCCUAUAUCUUUCAAGAUCUUUCAACAAUUCUCCAUCUUUUGUGAGCUAUAAGUUAGGCAUCGUUGGGGUACUACAUGGCUUAGCCCCUACCUUCCAUGUUUCAGUCAACAAGUCCAUAUUUUCUCGUGUGAUAAUAGUAUUGCUUUCUUGCCUGUUUUUACCUCAAAUUCCUAGGAGGUAUUUCAACAUGCCCAAAUCUUUUAUUUGGAAUUGGCAAUAGAGAAAAGUCUUCAAGGACUGGAUAUCUACAGAAUCAUCACCAACAACCACAGUUGCAUCAACAUAUACUACUAUUAGGAUCACCCCACUCUCGGAUCUUUUAAAAAAGUUCGAAUGAUCUAACGGGCUCUUUUGCAUUCCAAAACUUUCGAUCACCUUAAUAAAUUUGCCAAACCAAGCCCGUGGACUACGUUUUAGUCCAUCUAAAGAUUUACAAAGGCGACACGCCUUUCCAUUCUUCCCCUGAGCAACAAACCCUAGUGGUUGCUCCAUAUACACCCCUUCUUGAGGAUCACCAUGAAGAAAUGUUAGAAAUUAAUAAGCUAGAUACAUUAUGGAUAACACAUUAAUAGAUACAUUUCUAGUUUCAAGAUACAUAUGCAUUUCUAGAUACAUGUAAUUAUUCAAGUACAUGAAUGGUAUGUAUUCAUGUACUUCAUUUAUUUUGUGUCUUUUAGGAAGUGUCUCUUGAAUACUAUAUAUAGAGAUCAUUUCCUUCAUUUGUAUACAAGAAAAAAGAAUCAAAUCAAUAGAAGCAAAUUGAGUUUCAAGAGAACAACAUUCUUCUCUUGUGUGUUAUUGAGUUUUCUAAGAGAACAAAUUUCUUCUCUUAAAAGUUUGUGAGAUUUAGAGUAAAUUUAGAGUGGGCUCGUCAACGCCUCCAACAAGAAAUGUGUAAGGACCCUAGAUAGAAAAAUAGUGGAUUAUUAGGAAAGAUGGAAGAAGACUCGACCGCAGUUGAGAGAGGACUUGGGAGCAAGCACUUAAAAUGGGCUGCUAAUUGCAAACUUGAGGUGGAUGAGAGGGAGAAACUCCAUGGACAUGGGAGCAUAUGCAGAAAUGGAUUGUGGAUUGCAAGGCAGAAAGAAUACAGAGGAGUGCUCAAACAAUACAUCAAAAGCUUUCUGAAGGGCUGCAAAGAGAUAAAGAAAGAGCGGAGAAGAAACUAGAAGAAAUUAAAGUUGAAGAAAAACAGAAAUGGAACAAUGACUUAAAGAUGAAGGAAUCGAAGAACGACCAUGAAAAAGAUGAAGGAGGAGGAAGCCAAAUCUAACUGUGUAUUCCCAUGGCCGACAACUAAGGGUGAGGUGGUCGGAGACAAACACUUGGUGGAAAUGGAAACACCGAACAGAGAAGGCGGAAGCAUGGGAAAGGAGGCAAACACUAUGGAUGAGAAGGAAGGCAAAGAAACGAUUGAGGAAGCGAUCAUUGAUACUUGGUGGUAGUGAAGAAAACAAAAAGAAGAAUCAAACAGUACAUGUGUGGAACAAGUCGACCUGGAUACGAUCUGUGAAAAUAGAAGAAACGACUCAUUGGAGUGGCAGUAUUGAGAGGCUGAUCAUAUAUAUAGGCCAAGAUUUUGUUGAGGUACGUUACUUUCCUUGCCUUUCUUUUGUGGCGUGCGAGUUAUAUCAAAGUAGGGAAGGGAUGAGGAAGCUAGGCAAUGAAGAAGAUGAACAAAGGAAUUUCGAAGGACAUCGAAGUAAGAUAGAAUGGGUAACGACAAGGAAGAAAAUGGCAAUGGAAUUAGUACAGGAUCACAGAAGAGGCUGGCGAAUGGAAACAUAUUGGGUCGUGACAGAAAAUCGAGGCGGGAUGAAUAGAAACCGCGGCGGAGGAAAGAUUCUGAGUCGGUCACCAGUGGCCAGAAAAAGAAGAAGAUGGAUUGUCGAAAAGUCCAGUUACAGGAAGAGGAGAUGGAGACAGGGUGCGUUGGAGCUAGUCGACCUAAGCCACAAAGGGAGUUUGUCGGAACGCGAAUAGCAACGAAGCUGCAAGUGAGAUCGGAAAUUGUCGGGAAGAAUGCUUUGAUAUUUGCAGAGGAGUGAGCAGCUACGGACAAAAAAAAUUCAGAAAGGAGGGGAAGAUUUCUUGAAGAAAAACGAUUCUUCAACCCACGUGAAGCGUCAGACGUUAGGGCGAAAAAUUAGAGACAGUAGUAGUUAUGAUUUGUUUAAUGGGCUGAAAUUAAAUGAAAAGGCCCAGAUUUUCUCAAAUGAGCUUGGCCUAGUGGAGAAAUUGGGGAUCAAAUUCCUAAUAAAUGUCCAGGAAAACAAAGUGGAGGCUAGGAGAAGGAUUGGCACAUGCAAACCUCAAUGGUUAAAGUAUAUCACGUGGGAUGGCAAAUAGGGAAAGAAUUUAAUCAAAAGUGGGCCAAAAUGUUGCUUUUUGGGCUGAUUGCAAAAGUAAGGGAUGAGGCCCAUUAUACCUCAAAAAAAAAUAAAUUGAUGGCUUUAUCUAAGGAAGUGGAAAUCCUAUUGGAAUAUGGAUGGUGGGCCAAACAUGAGAUGAUAAACAAAGAAAUACAGCCUUCAUAAAGAAAGAAAGGAAAUUAAUGGGCUUGAAUUUGCUAAAUUCAUUGAGACCCAUUUGUUAGUGUGGCUGAAAGUAACUUGAAACUGGAUCGAAAUUGCCUGAAGCUCAUUGGUAAUUUUAAGAAAGAUGGUGUAUGGGCCGUGAAAUUGAUUUGGGGAUGGGGUUAUAAAGUUAAUUGUGGGCUUAGCCCAUUAGAGAGGAAGAGCUUCAAAUUAAAAUGCAAGUGGCAUGGAAUUAGGCUCAGGAAAUGGCAGUUGGUUAAUUGGGAUCACUUUCCGUGUGAGAAGAAUGAAGAUUGGGGAAGUUCUUGGAGUCUAAAGGGUUGGAUGCAUGCAAAUGUAAUUAUUACAACGCAAUAGAAUUUCAAGGUAAAGCUGAAUAAAAUUUCUUCCAAGAAGGCAGGGGUAUGGUAGAGAGUUCAAGGUUUGUAGGUCGUAAGCACACCUUGAGGACAAUGUGUCUUCGAAGGGCGGAGUAAUGUAAGGACCCUAGAUAGAAAAAUAGUGGAUUAUUAGGAGAAAAUGAAAAUGGUUGUUAGUAAGGUCAUAUUAGUAAAUAGAUGGGUUAGGUCUUUUUGUUAUAAAUAGUAGGAGAGGGGUUGGGGAGAGGUGUGAAGAAUUUUGAGAAAGUUUUCCUUGUAAGGGAACCUUGGGAGAGUCUAACCCUCUCGAAAGGCUAGGGUUACUUGUUACUUGUUAUUAAGAUCUAAUAUAUAUUUCAUGUGUAGAUGUUUUUUAAGUAUUCUUGAGUUCAUCUUUUCUUCUUGAGGUAAUCCUUGUUAGGUGGGAUCCUAACAAAUUGGUAUCAGAGCCGUAACAUCUUGAGAAUGACACGGGCUUGGAUGCAAAAACAAAUGGAGGAGAGGAAUUGGAGAAGAAUAAGGACAUUAGGGAACUUAAAGAUGUAACUUUGGAGUUGUCCAAAAGCAUCGAAAGACUGGCAGAGGAAUUACGAGAAACCAAAGUUAGUUGCCAACGGGAAGAAUCUGCUACAUCGUAGGGAUCAGUGUUGAAAAUGAACGGAAAGAUGGAAGAUGACUCGACCGCAGUUGAGAGAGGAACUUGGGAGCAAGCACUUAAAUGGGCUGCUAAUUGCAAACUUGAGGUGGAUGAGAGGGGAGAAACUCCAUGGACAUGGGAGCAUAUGCAGAAAUGGAUUGUGGAUUGCAAGGCAGAAAGAAUACAGAGGAGUGCUAAAACAAUACAUCAAAAGCUUUCUGAAGGGCUGCAAAGAGAUAAAGAAAGAGCGGAGAAGAAACUAGAAGAAAUUAAAGUUUAAGUAUUCUUGAGUUCAUCUUUUCUUCUUGAGGUAAUCCUUAUUAGGUGGGAUCCUAACAAAAUGCACUUUUAAUAUCAAGCUGAUGUAAAAAAGUUGGAAACAAAUAUUGAACCUCUCCUCUCCUCUCACCCACCCUCUUCUCUCUUCAUUCCGGCCACACCUUCUCACGGUGACGUCGACGGCAACGCCAAACCCAGGGAGUUACAACUCCAUCUUUUUCAGAAAUGGAAGUCAAAAGUUGAAAAAUGGUAGACACUUUCUACUGUAUCUAGUUCGAAAAGGGGAGGUUCAAUAUUGAAGAUGUAGACUUCCAAAAAAUCCUCACUUUAUCCAAGAUCCAAUUAGAGUGGUUCAUUGAUUCAAUAGAUGUUCUUGUAAAAGAACCAAACUGGAAGUUUUUCAACAAAUAUGCGAGUGAUGAAACCGAAACAACAAAGCUAUCCAAAUUCUGAACCCCAUCUGAUUGGUUUCUGAGGUGUGUUGCUCGAAACUUCUCUGGAAUACAAUCCUUCAUCCAUCUACUCAUGAGAAACCAGACAAGGUUGGGUCUCCUUCCUCAACAUGAUCAGGUCCUUUUUAUUGACUCAUAAUUACACCUCCUUUUCAAAAAUAUCAAGCUGAUGUAAAGGCCAGUGACUGAUUGAAGUUAGUGAAAUAAACAACCUCACAAAUGUCAUUUUUACUACUCGAGAAAAAGUAUCAGCAUAGUUAACGCCAUGUUUGUGCGUAGCCUUUCACUACAAGGUGUACUUUUAAUUGAGCGACAAAACCAUCAGGAUUAACUUUAAUUGUAACCACCCAUUUGCAACUGAUAUACUUUUUUCGUGCAGGGAGAGAAACUAAAUCCCAAGUACAAUUAUCAUCUAAAGUAAUCAUCUCCUCCACCAUUGCAACACACCAACCAAGAUGAGAAUAGGCUUAAUGAUACAAACUCUAAUGAUGCAAUGAAAGAACAUGCAGAAGACAACUAAUGGUUAUAUGAAACAGAAGAGGAAAUAAGAUGAGCACACUUAAGUUUACCUUUACGAAGAGCAAUAGGAAGAUCAUCACUCAUUUCUGGAUCCAAUGACGAAGAAGCCUUAGGGGUAGGGCAUGGAAUUGAAGAAGGUUGUCGUCGAUCAUAGACUUCAGUGAUGGGUUGACAAAUAGAAGUAAACACACGUGAAGAUGAACCACAAAGAGGAUUAGAAGGAGAGAUAACAUUGUAGAUAAAGAAAUCAUCCUUUGACUCUUGAUACUCCCUCGACUCAUAUUCGAAGAGAAAGAAGGUGAGGAAUAAAAGGAGGAAUGUUCAAAGAACACGAGAAUAACCAAAAAGAUAUAUUUUAAGGUCUUUGGAUCCAACUUUGUAUGUUGAGGCCGAACGUCUUGGACAAAUCAAGUAUAACCAAUUAUUUUGGGUGGAAUGAGAAACAAAUGUUGUUUGGGGCAUAAGAUACAAAAAGGUAUCUCACCCUUAAAAAUGGAAGAGGGCAUGCAAUUUGUUAAGAAACGGGCUAUGGAAACAUCAGCCCAAAAAGAAAUUGGAAAAUUCAUUUGAAACAUUAGGACUAGUGGUUUAAAAAGGAUGACGAUUCUUUCAUUUUGCAAACCCACUGACUUCAUGAAAUUAAUAAAUAGAAGUGUGAAAGUAACAUAGACAUGAAUAUAUAAGCUAGAGCAAAGGCAUGACUACUAUACCUGACUACCAUUACAUAGCGCUAAAAGAAAUUGUAAUUUUCUUUUUCAUUCAAUAUGUAAUUUGACGUAAUAGUAAUAGUAAUUCCUCUUUCAAACAACCACUUUUUUUUUUCAACAAAGAGGACAAGGCUUAUGAUCCCUAAAUCGUUAGCAAUUAAGAUGCAGCAAAUAAGGUAGCUAAGAUGCAGAAAAUAAGAAAACACCCCAAAUCACUACAGUGCAUAAGAAAUCUAUCACAUAAGCACAAAGAUAAAUACUGAGAGUAUUAGUUGAAACUUAGCAAACACAAACAGGGCAAACUAUUAUUUAACGUGCUAGUUUAAAUAUAUAUCUAAACUAAACUACACAAGUAUUUCAAACUGGCAAAACUAAAAUUAGGUUUAUAGAAACAACGUGUCCUCAUCCUUUCUCCUAAGGAAUGCUAUUCAUUAUGAUUUUAUCUUUUGAGUUUUAAAAAUAUGCUAUUUAUUAUUCAUAUCUUUUCUCGUGCUAUCUAGAAGCUAACCAAACAACAUAGAGAAAGUACAUUUGUAUCACUAAUCAAUAUUUGAAAUGAUGACGCAGAUUAAAUAAUACAGAAUUCAGAAAGUAGAACUUGCCUGCUAGCUGACUUCAGCUGCUCCCUGAGUUCCUUGAACUUGAGGUUUCUCAUGUUCUCAACAGUGAAAACAAAAACUGAGUUGUAAUUUUCCACACCCUGCCUGAUCGAUUCCACCAUUGAUUUCUUGUGGUCCCUUCCUUUUCUUCUUUGUUUUUGAUAAAGUAACUGCAUUUAUCCCACGAACAAUUAGAUAGAAGACUUAAAACACUAAUCUGCAUAGGACUAAGUUCAUAUUUUUCCUCUUUAAAACACUAAUCUGCAUAGGACUAAGUUCACAUUUUCCCUCUUUCUUUUUAAGUUAAAAACCACAUGAGUUUGACAAUGAUUACUACCACCACAAGUCAUUUAACUUCUUCAACUGCCUCAUACUUUUCACAAGAAACUGCGUCAUACAAAUUAACCCAUAAUAAAGCUAUCCAAAUUCCGAACCCCAUCUGAUUGGUUUCUGAAAUCAGUAACUCUCAUGGAAGGAAAAACUUGGACAGACUGAUGCAGAAAUUGAGAAUGAAAGUUAGAAAAAGAUUAAUUGCUAUAGAAAAAAAUGAUUCUUGUACUAGAAUCGUUGUUCCCUGCCAUUCUCGAAACAGCCUGAAUAGUCAUGUUAAGAACACCGAGCCCUGCACUAAAGUUGAAAGAGGGGAAAAAACAGCAUGUUGAAACAAAUGAAGGUUAAACCAAAAGGAUUGAACUAUAGUUUCCAAAGUUUUCAUCUCUUAUAUUCACGUAAUAGUAAUAGUAAUAGUAAUUCCUCUUUCAAACAACCACUUUUGUUUCAACAAAGAGGACAAGGCUUAUGAUCCCUAAAUCGUUAGCAGUAUUGCUAUUUGGAGAAAAUGUUAAAGUUAAACAGCUGACAAUACCUUCCAGCCCCUACCACUACUAUCUUUUGGUUAACAAAAUCACUCAAUGGCCGCCCUUGAGCUCUCACAGUUCCCAAUAGUCCAACGAGAGCAACACCAGCAGUUCCCUUUAUGAAAUGAAAUAAACGAAAACGAAUGUCCUUUUAAGUAAUUAUCAACUGCAUUAAUACAUCAUCAACUACUCACUUGUAUGUCAUCGUUGAACAUGCAGAACCUCUUACGAUAACGUUGUAAUGUUUCAAAAGGCCAUUUCAUUUGAAAAUCCUCAAACUGGCAUCAUUCAAAAUCAAAUUACGAGAUUACGAUACUGAUUACUGGCAGUGAACACAGUUAAAAAUUUGAUAUCUUAACCAAUAAACCUGAACAAUAGCUUUAGGCCAACAUGUAUGCACGGCUUCCAUAAAAUCAUCAACAAUUGAUAGAUACUCUUCUCCCUCCAAUCUAGGUAUUCCUAUUCCCUGAACUCCAAGGUCACCGAGGCCAAGAAUACGACUUCCAUCUGUCAAGACAAUCAUGUCAACCUGUAGUUGGAAGAAGAAAAUACAAUGAACUUCAAAUAUGGUGUUGCUGGAAAUUAAAAGAGAUUUUCAUUUUUAUUUUGCUCAAAAUCAAUGCUCUUGAGCUUUUAAUGUCCCGAGGAAUGUGAAAGUUUCCCAAUAUAUCGUGUAUGGAAGUUUAAACUUUUCAAAGAAAACAAGGGUGAUCAACAUACAAAAGCCUCCUGUGGAUAGAAAAUUAAUCAAACAAAAAUUCGAUUGUUCUGUAGCAGUUUGACUUUGUUGUUAAGGAAAUUAAGAGUGAUAAGAAGGCGAGGGAGUGACUUUGAGUGGUGGCCAUUCGACAGCCAAGCAACUACACUCAAAGUUGAAGGUCGAAUAGGCAGCAGGAAGAAACGAAGAAGAAGAAGAAGAAAAGUUUUCGAUCUAUCAAACAUGAUCAUCAUACAAUAGACGAAAGUCAUUUAAAUUAUCCAAAUAUCUUUUGAAGUAAUUUUAACAUUUUCAAAAUAACUCUUAAUCAUGCUCUAAAUAUGGAAUGAAUUGUCUAUCCAACUACAAAUACAAAAGUUUUUCUAAAUCACUCUAACUAAUUAUACAAAUUCCACAACACAUAGAUCACAUGCUUCCCAAGAACCCAUAAAAUUGUUCAAUGCGGCAUUUCAUCAAACAGUUGGUGGAUGGAGACAACAAAAACAAGUGUUUAACAAAAUUAUCUUAGAAACAAACACAUUAAUAUUACCUGAAGAUGGAACUCCAAUUGAACAGCCUUGAAAAAGUGAUGGAGAAACAAACAGAACAUAAAGAUUGUGGGACUCCUCAACUCCAAUAAAUCCUGCAAUGGAAAAAUGGGUUAGAAGGUGGAAAAGCAUAGUAGAGGAUUAUGAUAAUGAAAAUGGGUAGUAAUGUUUUUCAGUAGCUAUCUUUUUCUUCUUUUUUUUUUCAUGUUGUUGAUGGUUGUUCUUGAUUGUCUUUUUUUUUUUUUUUUUUUCCUUUUUUGCAUUUGGGAAAAAACAGUUUGUUGACUAAGAGGUGAUGAUGCUGGUGAGGGAAUUUAUUAAAGUAAUGAAUACUUUUUGGAGGACUUAAACAAGUAAAAGGACGAAAUGAAGCAAGCUCAAGCAACAAAUUUUCUGUUAAGUAAGCAUAAAUAUUAACUAGAGGCUUAAAUAAAAUAUUUCACCACCACACACCACACACAACAACAAAAGAACCCAGAUAUAUCGUCAUUGACAACAGAAACAGAGCAAUAUAAGCAAAAUACAUUACAAGGAAAAUAUGGAGAUAAAAGACAUGAAGGUUUCCCUUUCACUUACAAAGAGGAUCAUUAAGUAACUUCUCGUUGUUAGAACCAAUAUCUAGCAUUACUCGAAGAAUCUGUCAAUUAAACAAGAGUAAACUUAAUGAAAAAGUGUGGUUAAGAAAAGUUGCUAAAAAAUGUCACCAUUAAAUGAUAUUAGUAUUCUUAGAUAAUCUACAAAUUUCAUGAAGAAAAGACUGCAGACUUGAGAGUUACCCCCACUAUCAGGAAUACUUGCUGAAACGGGAAAAAGAUAUCGGCAAAUUCUAAAUACGGCACACUAAAACUCUCACUCUCCUGGUUCUUGCUUAAAAUCACAUGUACAUGUCAAUGCUGAUAGUGCCUCUUCCACUGAAACAAACAAAAUUUCAGUACCAAUUAAGAUGCAAAAAUAAGGUAUUUAAGAUGCAGAAAAUAAGGUAGUUAAGAUGCAGAAAAUAAGGAAACACCCCACAUCACUACAGUGCAUAACAAAUCUAUCACAUAAGCACAAAGAUAAAUACUGAGAGUAUUAGUUGAAACUUAGCAAACACAAAAAGGACAUAAGCUUAUUCUCAAAUUUCAGUACAUAUACUCAUCAAAAUUCAGAAUCUCACGUCACAAACCCGAGCUUAGUGCUCAAGGGUUGACAGUCAUGCCUUUUAUGCAAGAUCUAAGAAGCUAUGAUGCUCAUUAUUGUAAUGAAAAACUUUUGAAAAAUUUUGAAAUUUGGACAAAAUUUGAAAUCCCCAAGGUUAGACUAAACAAGUGAGCUAUUAUCCACCCUUCACUUAAAACAUUGCUUGGAAGUAGCCCAACAUGAGAAGAUAAAACAAUCUGAAUGGCAGGCGAUCCUAUAAACUAUUAAAACAAUAGCCACAACUGAUGAAAAUCAAGUUGGAUAAACAACCAUUUGAUGAAGGGAGGAUGUUGAGCUUGUCUAAGAAAAACAUACUCUUUGAGGGUUUAUGGCAGCAACAACAACAUACAUGUCCAGCUUUCCUGUAGGUAUUCCUAUUCCCUAAACUCCAAGGUCACGGAGGCCAAGAAUACGACUUCCAUCUGUCAAGACAAUCAUGUCAACCUGUAGUUGGAAGAAGAAAAUACAAUGAACUUCAAAAAUAUAUAUAUAUCUAUAAAGCAUAACAAUUAUCCCACUGCUGAAAGAAAUAAUAUUUGUUAUGCUAUGUAUAUAAUUCACAAAUUAAUAGACCAUCAUCUCAAUGUACAAAUUGUGUGAAGCUAAGGUCUCUGAUACAACUUAAAGAGGAUUGAAGAAGAGUACCAGAAGUUUUUCAUUAGCCAUCAAUCCAGGAAAUAAAUGAAGCAUCAAGCUUGUCUAAUAAACUGAACUGGGUCCUCAAUAUGUAACACAAAUUACACAAAAAUCUAGGGAGGGGGGCUAUGAUUUACAUACGUAAAAUACUUAGAGGUUUGAAAAUAACUUAUUGCAUUCACUAUACACCGAGUAAGAAGAGAACGAAGGCGACGGGAGAAAGGAAAGGGGAUAAGGAAAAGAGGAGAACAGAAAGAGAACAACGACAAGAGGAACCAAUUUAUUUUGGGGAAAGAGGUAUUUUAGGAAUUUUCAUUUUUAUUGAGGGACCGACUGUGAUUUUAACUAAACGGGAUAGUUGCAAAUUUAGCAAUUAACUAAAAGAGGAUAAAGAAGAUAAUAAACAUAAAACUGGAGAGUAUCAUUUCCUAAACCAUUCAACAUGUAGCUAAUAGAGUGGCACACCGGUAAGAGAAAUAAUCUUUGAUAUUCUAGAAGUAUAAAUAAAAUUGAAAACUAAGAAUGCUCAGUUUUACCUUGACCGUGCAAAUGGUCUAUCUUUCUCGAGUUCUAACUCCAUAAGUUCAACUUCUGCUUUUUGGUUUUUAGCUAAGCCCUUGCCCCAUUCCAACUUUAUCUCAUGUGACCGGAAGACCAGCAUCACAAGCAGCCACAGUGGGAUUUGAUAAAAACAUUGAUAAGAACUAUAUCUCCUGAGAAGUAUAUAGUCUAAAGUGGAAUUUUAAUUUAAAUCAUAACUCUUGAAUACCACCCUAAGACUUCAAUACUAUACUUUAAUUCAACCAACCACUAAUAAACAUAGAACAAGAAAUUGGAACAAGUCUGAAUUAUUAAUAUCACAAAGCCUGAAUGUUAGAAUUAUCAAUAUGAAUAAAGAUGAAACAAGUCUAAACUCAAGAUAGAUAGUUUUUAGAAGCUUUAAAUUGGUAGCUUUUCAACAUAGUCAACAAAACAUGAAGCAUACCCAAAGAAUACUUUAAUUAGCUUUAUGCAUAAAGUAGCUAAAAAGUAAGAGAAAGCUUCAUGCUAUUAAAUUAAUUGGAAACAGCAACAACAGAAAAUCAGCUUGAUUAAACAAGUGCUUAAUAAUCUUUUCAUUGAGCCAAACAAGCUGAACCACACCAUUCAUCCGAUCUAGUCAAAAGCAAACAACCCAAAUGCUGAAUUUCAUAUUGAUUCCUCCCAACAUGUAUAUAUAUCGAAACAUGAAACCAAAACUUCCCAAUUUUGCAUAGGCCUAAAAAAGACAUGAAUUUAAGAUAAUUAGAAAAGUUAUCUAGGGUACCCAAAAGAUCGCUGGUUUUUUUAAUAUUAUUAUUAUUGGAAAACUUAACUACCUGCAAGAGGAACCUCUUCAAUAGGAAGUUCUGCACCAAGAUCACCUCUGGCAACCAUUGCCUAAAAUGAAAAGAAAUAAUGUUCUUCAAUUAGCAACCAAGCCCCAGACUAUCAACAAAAUUGAAAACCUUUUAAUGAAAUUCAACAUUAACGAAGCUGUGAAAAAAUUCAAACAAUCACCCCAUCAGAAGCUGUAAUAAUUGAAUGCAAAUUUGGUAUGGAGUAUACACUUUCUAUUUUUACAAUCACAUGAAUAGCAGCAUCACAGCCUGCAGAGUCGGAUAUUAAAAAUUCAAACCCAUAAAGUCUAACUAACUAAACACAAUUAGAUUUCUAGUAGCAGUAAUUUAACACAGAAACAGAAAUUAAACAUUAGAACAUUAUUGCAUGGCAUUUCUAUAAAUUUAUCACAUGUUCUUUCUUCUUCUUUUUUUUCUUUCCUUUUUUGAUAUAACUCUAACCAUGUAGUUAAGCUUCUCCCUGUAGCAGUUAAUUAAAAUAGAGACAGAAACUAUAGAUUAACAAACAAUUGGAAGGCCUCUCGAUCAAUUUAUAUAAUAAUAAGUUCAUACUUGUGUCUUUUUGGAAGUAUGAAAAACGAGAAAUCACUAUUUUCCCUAAACGAGAAACCUCUUCGUUCCGUUUUUGUUGAUUAUUCAUCCUUGUUCUUCACAGGAAAUUCUCUCAAUUUUCUUCAAAGGAAGGAUCAAGUUCUCUCCUACAAAGGGUAUGUUUCUAAUUUUCCUAACUUUAUGACAUAAUAUGGCAGUGUUGUAUAAUGCAAAUCUACAAUAGAAGAAACACCAUUUACAGCAGAGCCAAGAAAAAUGAAGAUUAAAUAUAAUGUACUGCAAUAAAAUUAAAAUACUAAAGAAUGUGUUAGGAUGUGCUUUCUCAAUCUACAUCCUAAACCCCUAAACCCAUAAACCUCUAAACCCAACAUCCUGAUGUGCUUUUUCAAUCUACAUCGUUCUCAAAGAAACAUCCUGAUGUGCUUUCUUAAUCUACAUCCUUCUCAAAGAAAUGAAUUGAAAAAUCUCUAAAAGUUUCCUCAUCAAACAAUAUCAUCCAACAAUGUUUAAGAAGGAUAGUAAAAGGGAAGAAGAAUGAUGUAAUGGUGUUUAAAGAGGAUAGUAAAACGGAACAAAUAGUGAUUUGCCUAAUUCUUCAAAAAAAACAUUAAGUUUUGAGUUGUGGCAAUAUGAACUAGGAUCUCCUUUACAAUUGUGCUCUAAAGAUAUUGAAGACAAUUUAUAGAAUAAAUCAAACUUAUUAAUGAUAAUAAUAGAAUUAGUAAUGACGAAAUUACAUAUCCUUUAAAAUUUUUUGUUAAGUGAAAAUUAUGAGGUUUCUUUCCGCUUUUGUGUGUUCUCAUGUUUAAUUGUACUUUAUCGUACCAAUUUAGAAUUUUAAAAUGUUUUUAAUUCACUAUUUGAGGCUUCAUCUUGCCUCUUCAAGUCAAAAUACCUCACGGCCAGCCUUUGUUGAGUUAUUUUCUAUUGAAUAAUAGAUUGUGUUUUCUUUUUUGGUCAAGAGACCAAAGUAGAUUAGUUACAAUUAGAAACAAAAAGGUGGAUUUCGAUUUCCCAUAAUAAACAAUAAGAGUGGAUCACCCAACAAGUCAUAAACCUACUAUCAUUUAUGUUCCACUUGAUCCAAACAUAACAAACAAAAAUGAAAGGUUUGGACUUACUUGAGAAUUAGUGUUGAAAAAAGAUAGUUGUAUGACCUUGUUAGCAUAUGAGUAACAACUUGAAAAUGCAUCAAGAAUCUACAAAAUUAUUUAACAUUAGUAGUUAAGAUGCAGAAAAUAAGGAAACACCCCACAUCACUACAGCGGAUAACAAAUCUGCCACAUAAGCACAAAGAUAUAAAUACUGAGAGUAUUAUUUGAAACUUAGCAAACACAAACAGGACACUGAUUUGGAGCUAUGCCUGAGGGAAAAAUAAAUCAUGAACACUGAUUUCAACUCCAAGAUGCUUCUAAAAGGCUUGUCUUACACCGAUUGAGGCAAGUCCUUUCUAAACUUUCUCUUUCUUGUAUCUUUUUCAAAAAACGCUCUGUCUCAUUUGCACUUAUUUCUCUCUUCUUCUUCCACGCUUAAUGAAGAAAACCCUUAAUGAAGAAAAAAAUAAGAAAUCAACCCUAAACCCCUCAACCCAACAUCCUGGUGUGCUUUCUCAAUCUACAUCCUUCUCAAAGAAACAUACUGAUGUGCUUUCUUAAUCUACAUCCUUCUCAAAGAAAUGAAUUGAAAAAUCUCUUCUCACAGAAAUGAAUUGAAAAAUCUCUAAAAGUUUCCUCAUCAAACAAUACCAUGCAACAAUGUUUAAAAAGGAUAGUAAAAAGGAAGAACAAUGACGUAAUGGUGCUUAAAGAGAAUGGUAAAAAGGAACAAAGAUGGUAAGGAGAAAUUUAUUUUCAACUUAAUCAUGAAGAACAGUUCAACAAAAAAUAAAUAAUAAAAUAAAGGCACUUGGGAAAGCAACAAACCUGCUUCUGUAACUCAAGAAGCUGCCGCUCUUUCUCAUGAAUGUGUUCUUCAAGUUCAUGCAAAUGUUUUAUUUGCUGAGCUCUUUCAGCUUCAGAAUGAUCAUGUUCUCUCCUACAAAUGAUAUGUUUCUAAUUUUCAUAACUCAAUGACUUAAUAUGGCAGUCUUGUAUAAUACAAAUCCAUAAUAGAAGAAACACCACUUACAGCAGAGCCAAGAAAAAUGAAGAUUGUAUGUAAUGUACAGCAAUAAAAUUAAAAUACCAGAGAAUGUGUUAGGGUGUAGAGCAAAUCAUCUUCACUGCAAUUAUUCGGGAGGUUCUGUAAAGAUAAUUCCAAUACCAGAACCUUCUUACCUCAUAUAUAGUCCUUUCAUCCAACUCUGUCAACUUUGCUCUUUCCGUUUCCUGCACAUCAAAUAAGCUUCAAUUUCAACCAAACUCGUAAAGGUUACAACUCUCAGGUGAUGCUAAUUGAACGGAAGUUUAGAAACUGGGACAGGGUAUGAGCUAACUUCAUUAUGCUCAAGCAACAAAUUUUAUGUUAUGUAAGCAUAAAUAUUAACUAGAGGCUUAAAUAAAAUAUUUCACCACCACCACCACAACAACAAAAAGCCCAGAUAUAUCGCCAUUGACAACAGAAACAGAGCAAUAUAAGCACAAUACAUUACAAGGAAAAUAUGGAGAAUAAAAGACAUGAAGGUUUCCCUUUCACUUACAAAGAGGAUCAUUAAGUAACUUCUCGUUGUUAGAACCAAUAUCUAGCAUUACUGGAAGAAUCUGUCAAUUAAACAAGAGUAAACUUAAUGAAAUUCAGAAAGUGGGGUUAAGAAAAGUUGCUAAAAAAAUGUCACCAUUAAAUGAUAUUAGUAUUCUUAGAUAGUCAACAAAUUUCAUGAAGAAAAGACAACAGACUUGAGAGUUACCCCCACUAUCAGGAAUACUUGCUUGAACGGGAAAAAGAUAUCAGCAAAUUCUAAACACGGCACAGUAAACUCUCACUCUCCUGGUUCUUGCUUAAAAUCACAUGUACAUGUCAUUGCCGAUAGUGCCUCUUUCACUGAAAUAAACAAAAUUUCAGUACCAAUUAAGAUGCAGAAAAUAAGGUAUUUAAGAUGCAGAAAAUAAGGUAGUUAAGAUGCAGAAAAUAAGGUAGUUAAGAUGCAGAAAAUAAGGAAACACCCCACAUCACUACAGUGCAUAACAAAUCUAUCACAUAAGCACAAAGAUAAUAUACUGAGAGUAUUAGUUGAAAGUUAGCAAACACAAAAAGGACAUAAGCUUAUUCUCAAAUUUCAGUACAUAUACUCGUCAAAAUUCAGAAUCACACGUCACAAACCCAAGCUUAGUGCUCAAGGGUUGACAGUCAUGCCUUUUAUGCAAGAUCUAAGAAGCUAUGAUGCUCAUUAUUGUAAUGAAAAACUUUUGAAAAAUUUUGAAAUUUGAGCAAAAUUUGAAAUCACCCAAGUUUAGACUAAACAAGCGAGCUAUUAUCCACCCUUCGCUUAAAAAAUUGUUUGGAAGUUACCCAACAUGAGAAGAUAAAACAAUCUGAAUGCAGGCAAUCCUAUAAACAAUUAAAACAAUAGCCACAACUGAUUGAAAUCAAGUUGGAUAAACAACCAUUUGAUGAAGGGAGGGUGUUGAGCUUGUCUAAGAAAAACAUACUCUUUGAGGGUUUAUGCCAGCAGCAGCAACAUACAUAUCCAGCUUUCCUAUAGGUAUUCCUAUUCCCUGAACUCCAAGGUCACCAAGGCCAAGAAUACGACUUCCAUCUGUCAAGACAAUCAUGUCAACCUGUAGUUUGAAGAAGAAAAUACAAUGAACUUCAAAUAUAUAUAUAUAUCUACAAAGCAUAACAAUUAUCCCAUAGCUGACUAUUUUAGGAAUAAUCAUUAAGGAUAUAGCAACAUUUUAAAAAAAAAUGCAAAUAUAGCAAAACUAUCCCGAUAGACCAAUAUUUGCAACAUGAUCUAUCAAGGAUAGAUUUCUAUCAUUUAUAGAAUUUGACAAAUUUUGCUAUGUUUGCAAUUUUUUUAAAUGUUAUAUACUCAAUUAUUUUGAAUCUAAUUGCUAAAUUUGCAACUACGUGUUUUUUUUUAAUAUAUAUUUUAGGUUUGUUCUUCUUGUUUUUUUUCUUUACAUCAUCUUUUCCUCUUCUUCUUCUGUAGUUUUUUUUUCCAACUGUUAUUUAAUUGUUCCAAAUAUAGAAGGUCGUGCAAAAAGAUAGUGAAAAAAAAUUAAAUAUUGAAUCGAUCAUGUACAAAGAAAUUUGAAAAAAAUUGCAAAUCUAAAUGUACAUACAAUAGCCAAAUCUAAACCAAACAAUCUUGGAUCAAAUAUAAACGAUCAUAUACGAAGAAUAACCAAAUAAUAGCCAAAUCUAAAUAAUAGUUUUAGAAAUAUACUACGGUCACUUGAUAUUAUUUAAUCACAAGACCUUUUUGGUAUUUUUUAUUGUGGAUGGGUAAACUUUUCCGUUUUCAAAAUUAUUUUAUAGCAUGUAAAUAUUUAUUUCUUUGUUAUAUUUUUAAAUUUUUGCAAUAUGCAUGUUUAUGUAUUAUUUUAGUUUCAAUAUCUUUAAUAUAUGAUCUGAUAUCUAGUAGAAUUUCUUUACCGAAAACCAAGUAGAAUUUAACCAUUUUCCCACUAAAACAUUUAGCAUGACUUUAAUAUUUUCCAACCAUGAUAUUUACAUAAUUACAUAAUUAAAUUGAAUUCAACAAUUAAAUUGAAUUCGACUCAACAUUAUUUAAGACAAAUAACUUGAGUUGGGAUAACAAUGUCAAGACAAAUAACUUGAGUUGGGAUAACAAUGUCGAUCCAAUUUGAAGAACAUAUAAAUGAUAUAAUAUAAGUCUAUUAUUCUAUUUUAGAUGUCCUAAAAUUCAUAUGAUGACAUAAUCUUUUGAUAAAAUACUUUUUAUGUUCAAUGUGGAACAUAUAUAUUAUUGUUGCAAAAAAACAAGAAACAGGAAAUAUGAAAGUUAUCCUUACACAGUCUUACUUUUAUUUUCAAAAGAAACAGAAAAUGAAAAACAGAGAAGAAACAAAGACAAAAAUAAAUAGAAACGUUAUCAAACAGACUCUUAUUAAACUGAAAAACAAACACUUGUUCAAUAACUAUUUUGUCUCCAAUUUUCUUACCAUAAUUUCACAUCACAAACAAAAACAAGUUUUUAAAAACAACUUUCUUAAUUCUCAAAUUGGAUUAUGAAAACAUUUUUAAAAAGAUGUUUUAAGGUAUUGUCUAUAUAUAUGAUUAGCAAACAAAGCCUCAAGGAUUAUUUUUCUAACUAAAAAAGAAUACGAAAAUUUAAAGGAUCAAUACACCAAGUUCAUUAUACUUUCACAUCACACAUUCUCAAUAGAGGCUACAUCCAUAUAUUUGGAAAGAUGUAUAUUUUUAUUUCCUUUGAAUAUUUACAUCCUUAAUUUAAAGAUUUCGUGGUGAGGGGUUUGAUUUUCUCAAAGUAACAUUCCUUUUUGUUUGUAUUUAAUAUAAAUGACCCAAAUACUCAGAUAAUGGAAUGCCCUUUGAACUCGUUCCCGCACAAUACAGUUAGUGAUAAGGUUACUUACUUUCAGGAAGCUUUUCAAGCAACUUGGGUAUAACCUCAAACAGAUCCCCAACGACUCCAUAGUCAGCAACCUGCAUAUUAGAGACAAUUAAUUCAUUGGAAUGUAAAAACAGCGGUCAGACCAACCUCGGAUACAUUUAUAUGAAAUCUAACAAUGCAUAAACUUACACUACGUUUUGAAAUACUUAUAAUCUAGUCGUACUGAUUCGGAAUAAAUAAGAGGAUGUUGAAUUUGAACACGACAAGACUAAGACUGAUUUUACCACUUCAAACAUGACCUUAAGCAUCCAAGUUCGCCCUGUGGCCUAAACUAACAGUGAUUUUUUUCCUUUUUCUGUGUGUGUGUUUUAGGGGAGGGGGAGCUGACCUUAAAAAUUGGUGCAUCUGCAUCUUUAUUCACAGCCACAAUAACCUUAGAAUCUCUGAUUCCUGCCAAAUGUUGAAUGGCUCCUGAUACACCAAAAGCCAUAUAUAGUUUUGGUGCUACAAUUUUACCAGUUUGUCCAACCUGAUAUACACAAGAGUUUUAACUAGGAAUCAUCGAAGAAAUUUGCACUCGAUAAAAGAAUAAAAAACUAUGGAUAAAUUCAACCCACGUUAAUAUGUGUUAUGGCACUAUCCAUAUAAAAUAUUUGCACAUACCAAGUAUAUUUUCCACAAAAAGAAUUACAAAGGAAAAGAAAGGGCAAGAGAGAAGGAAUUGGACAAUUUUUUUGUUUUAGUUUUUUUUUUUUAAUUUUAUUUCUCUUUGAACUUCUGGUGGGUGGGGUGAUCUAAAAGUUCACCUUCCCUUCAGUCAAGUUCCAGUGAAAUGCCUAACUUAGUAACUUCAAUGUUCACUUUUAAUUUGGAUUAGGUACACUAACUUUUUUCUAUAUCCGUGAGUAUCCAAGCUCACGUACUAUGACUAAUCUAACAAGACAACCUGUAUGAUCCUACAAUAUUUUGGUGUCAAAAAAACUCAUAGGAAAUUAAUUCCAAAAUAGCUGAUCACCGUAGAUUGAAUCCAUGACAUUUUGCCAAUUUAUUGAGACUUUGUCUCCUUUUUCAUUAUAGACCAACCCAUGAUGGUUAAUUUGGAUUAGGCAAACUACAAUUACAAAAUUCAGAUGUAAUAAUACUCUCAACUUGGAAGGAAAAGCACCAAGAAGGCAAUUACCUGAAGGUCAUUGGGAACAAAUCCAGCAUCAACAGCAGCACGUGUGGCACCAACUAAACAAAUAAGAGAAGAAACAUCAAAUUAGGUUAUAGGAUUAGAGAAUGAAGAAAGCAACAUAUUCAUUAUUUGUGUGUUGACAAAAUUGAUUACUUUGAUACUGUAGAAUAAAUAGAAAACAGUACUCUAUGCAAAGUGUUUUGAGAUCUAAUGUUUUCUGUUCUCAUUAAUAGGCUCCGUGUGCCCCCAAGUUCCAUGAUAUUUUUAGGAAAUUUGACAAUCAAUAUUUUAUAACCAGAGAAAAAAUUAAAAUAAAUGAUGAAGGCGAUGCAGAAGGAAAAACAACUUGAAGUUCAAUUCAAAAAUUCAAACUGAAUCAACCUGCAGCACCAAGUUUCUCGGCAAGCUUCUCAAUCAUUUUGAAGUUCUCAGCGGUUUUCAAACCACGUCCUCCAGUGACAACAACACGUGCAUUUGCAAGAUCAGGACGUUCUGCUUCCGGAGAUGUUUGCUUUACGUAUCUAGAUUUUCCAAUAGAAUCUGAAAGAUUGAUAUCACUCAUUAGACCUAAACCAAGUAUCACUCAUUAGACCUAAUUACAUGUCCUAAUCCUUUGGCAGGCCACUAAAGUAAUAUAACAGAAAUUAAAAUGAUCCAGAGAAGUACUAUGGAAAGUGUUCCCUUAAUAGGAUGGAACAAUCAUCAAAACUAACUUGGGUUAAUCAAAUAAGCAGAAGCAUUCAAUUCUUGAUGUUAUUAUGGCUUCCUUUUUCUAGAGUGUGGAGAAUUAUUGGAGAUGGAAAAGUAGGCUGUAGGCUUACCUCCACCAAGCAUUGAGAGAUCAACCUGAGAUAUAGCGGACUUAUUUGAUGCCAACUCAACAGAUCUUGCAGGCACUGGGAAUGAUGUAGAUCUUAUGGUCAACAUACAAGGGUCAGCUCCUGUGUAUCUAACUGUACAAAGCGCAUUGCCAGCAUAUAUGGGCCUAUUAUGAGUUCCAAAUUGUAUUGUCAGUCAUCCUUCUUCUUUUGUAAGGAAAAAAACUAUUGCACAUCAAUUUAGAAUGUACUUAACUAAAAAUUAGGACAUGGACAAUUUAAGUGCUCCAUCAUAGUCACAAGACGAAAUUGGCAUACAAAAAAAUGCAAACUGAGGUUCGAAAAUAAAAAAAAAAACAAAACAAAACAUGGAAAUUGGAAUGUUGAAAAACAAGGAUUAGAGAAUUUAAGUAUUUCUCCACUGAAUGAAGUUCUCCACCAUAAACAACAUCAGCAGUGAAAAUUAUGUUUUUCUACAUACACAAGGAAGGUUAAAUUAGUGGGAAACACAUUUGUUAGGAUUAAUGUAGACUGUAGGUACUUAAAACAGUUCACAAAGUUGCAUAAAUGUCAAUAUAAUCAAGGAUUUAAGUCUAAAAAACAGGAUAAACCUCACAAAUUGUCGAGAUUCAGAUAUAGCUACGACAUCCGUAACCGGAGAAACAUCUAAAAGAGCGGCAGCGCGUGGAAGAAUGUUUUUCCCAAAAGAACCUGAAGCCGCAAUUACAUGAGAAAACCCAUUCUUCUGUUGAACCAAUUGGACUAACUGAGCCCAAGGUUCUGCCAAGGGGUAUGUAAAUUUAUCAGAAUCAGCAACAAGCACCUAAAUAACAUUUAACCUCCGAUAUCAGUAAUAAGGAAACGACGAAGAACACAGAUCACUCUAAUUACUCUAUCUUGAUUCUAAAAAGAUGGCAUAGGACGAAGGUUAUAACUCAUCAAAUGUUCGAAUGAGAAUAGAACAAAGCAACAACCACCAUAAAAUUCCUGGAAUUUGGACUAAUUCUAGGAGGUAAUGCAUAAAAAAAAAAAAAAAAAAAAAAGAAUAUGUGAAGAAAAAAUGUUGGGCGGUCGAAUCUCCAUGUAAAAGGCGAUAGAUAGAGAGUAAAUGAUAAUACCUGAGAAAUAGAUGGGUGGCAAGAGGCAGCAUGUUGAGCAGCUUGAUGAAGCGAAGGCCCAGAGCCCGCCAAGAGGAGGGAAAUGGAAGUGUGAGUGCUCAAGGAAGCGGCAGCCGCUAUAGCGCUAAGGGAAGCGGCAGCCGCUAUAGCGCUAAGGGAAGCGGCAUUGAUGGAACCGGAAUCGUGUUCCGCCAAAACCAAGGUGGUGACCUACAAUUCCAUAGCAAAAUGUUGGAGAGAAAUGAAAAAUGAUGAAACGGAAAUGAAAGAAAGGAGAGAAGAGCAUACAGAUCGACAAGGUGAGGAGGAGAAGAGGGGAGCAAUUGGGAGGAAGAGGAUGGAAGAAUGGAUGUCUUGAAAGCAGUGAAUAGAGUUCGAGCAAUCAUGUUGAUGGAUGAGGGAUACUCUCUCCUCUCUCUGAAAUGAAUAAUAAUAGUGUUUAGAAGAAGAGGGUGGGCGGAGGAGAGAAUGGUUCAAUGGAGGUUUGAAAGAGGAAUGCGGCACUGCUCCAUCCAGCGAUUAAAAGUUUCUCUAAUUUGAUUUUGUUACCCAUAGUGUUUAUCAGAUCCACUAGGUGGGAAUACCUUAUAACAAUUUCCUUCCCCCCAACACAAACCCUCCCGAGUUUCUUUUUAAGAAUUUUUAGACAACAUAAUUAAAUUUAAACCACAUUUCAACAAUUGGUUACUUCUCUUUUCUAUUAUUUGUGAUUUAUUCAUCAUCUAUUUCACAUUUUUUCAGUUCAUUUUUUUUUUAAUCUUCUUUUUCUUUCUUUCUUCAUCUUCUCUUUCUUUCUUACAAGUACUCCUCUUCCACAAUGUCAACAUCAUUUAAAUAUCACUUUGACAUGAUCUAAACGAUCACUUACUUAUUCAACACAAGCGUUUAACAUGGUCAACACAACCGUUUAGAUUAGAAAAUUUUUUCCAUCGUUAAAAAUAACUACAGGAUCGUGUAUACUUGCAUAAUCGCGUAUCAUGAUCCUUUCAAGUGCGUGUGUGGUCGAUGUUGAUACUACCUACACAAUCGUGUAUAAUUUCUUACACAAUCGCGUAUCAUGAUUGUUUAAAAGAAAAAUUACACACACUGCGUGUGGCCGAUUAAUUGCGUGUUGACUUGGACAUUUUUGGUAUAACUCAUUGUGAGCAUGUGUGGGCUUUUUUUUUGUUUUCAAAAUUGUUCUAUAUAGUGUAAAUUUUUCGUCGAUUUAUUAUAUUUAAAAAAAAAAUCCAUUUAUUUAUGAAUAUAAUUUAUGUUUACAAAAUUGAUUAAAUUGCAAUUUAGUUUCUAUCGUUUGAAGAAAGUUGGAGUUUAACCUAUAGUUUUGAUAAAACCUCAUAUAUCAUCUUUAUGAUUUGAAAACCUUCAUAAAUAGUCCAUACAAGCGACACUACUUUAUAUGAUUUAUCAAACCAAAAUGACUAAAUUUUAGUAAACUAUAAAGACUAAAUUCUAUUAUUUUAAAAUUAUGAGGACCAAAUUUGUAAUUUAACCUAAAAAGUUAUAUAAUUAUUAUUUUAUAUUGUUAUAACGUAUAAUACAUUAGAUAAUGCAUAUUAUUAUUGAAAAAAUGAAUUGAGUUUAUAACCCAACAUAUAUUCUAAUAAAUGACUACUAUAUGAUAGAUCAUGAAAUCACAUCGCACACCCUAAAUCCGGUACACCUAAACAAAAUUAAAGUAAUAAGAGAUGUUACGUAGGGACAAAUUUAAAAUGAUUUUUGGGCUCAGAAUGUACUAUUUAAGUUGUACUUCAUGGUUUAAUCUUACUAAUAACUGAUUAUUGAUUUUUCAUAGACGGGUUGUUAAUCAUGGUUUGAACAAUUUGUGGUCAUUUUCACAAUCUAGCAUGUGUUAAGUUUAAUUGGUGGUUCACUAGAGUGGAAACUUCCUUUGGUACAACAUAGUAGAUUGAAUACACUGCACGACAUGUUUACACUGUUUACCUCUCUAAAGAAUUAUGUUUAAAAAAAUGCUAAAUUGAAUUGGACAUUUAGUUUAGCAUGCAUCAAAGCAGAAUCUAAGUGCUGAGAAGGCUAAGGGACAUCAUGAUUUCAUUACAACAGCAUAGGACGUCUUACAACCUAGGAAUAGAAAAAGUUGACUCACUUUAGGGAUAAAGAAUUUUUCAAUAAAAUGCAUGCAUGAAUUAGUUAACUAUGGAAAGUGGAAGUUAAGCACUGGGAGCCAAGUCAAAUGAUCCAAAGGAUUAUUAUACAGAGAUACAUUCUGACCAAGUUAUGUUAGUCAUGAUUGAUGUGAUCUCAUUAGCUGUUUUGCAUUGCUAGGAAUGUUGAGGCACUACUACCCUUACAAGUUUGGGUUAUCCUUGAAACACACUCAUCACCAAAAUUGGUGUUUUGCAAAAUAAUUUCAAACUACUCCUUGUGGAGCUUCGACACUUGGGAAUAUCUAGGAAUUAUCACUUCUUCACCGUGUAUACUUGCAUUUAGACCUUCCUCACUUAUCAUAUCUUCAUUUAUACACAAAAGGGAAAUCAAAUGUUACUCUUGUCAGACAAACAUCAUGAUUGUCAACGACCAACCAUUAUCAUCAUUAAUGAUCGAUUGUCGUACCUAUUCACAAACGAUAUUAAUGAUGGUCAAUGACCAAAUGUCAUGACUUUUGAUGAUUGAUUUUCAUGACAGUUGACUACCAACCAAUCAUCUCUAUAGUUGGUGAUCAUUGACAAUCUUCACCAUCAACAAACGAUCAUUGACCGUCUUUACCAUCAAUCGGUGACCAUUGAUCGUCUUUACAUCGGCAGGUGGUCGUCUUGAUCAUUGAUAUCGAUGCUUGAUCGUCAUGACUACUAACAAUUGAUUGUUAAUAUCAAAUUUUUUACUAGAAAAAUAAAAUUACAAAGUAUAAAUAUAUACUUAAUCCAUAAAAGAAACUGCUGCAACUAAUGAGUGGCAUAUACGAUAUAAUAUUUUUUAAAACGUUGGCAAUCAAAUACUCCAAUAAUUUUUUUUCACGAUCUUAAAAAACUAAAUAACAGUUUGAAAAAAUAGCAUGAUCUUGAGCCAAAUAACAAUUUGAAAAAAAAAAUUACAGAUGAAGAGAAAAAGACGAUGAGAAGGAAAAAAAAUUGCAGAAGAAAGAUAUGAAAAAGAAUGGCAAAUGGAAAUAUUUAAAAAAAUUGCAGAAGAAGAUAAAAAGACGAUGAAAAUAAAAAAUAUCGCAGAAGAGAAGAAAAGAAAGACGAUGAUAAGAAAGGGUAAACCCAUAAUUUUUUUUUAAAGAAAAUGAUCGGUGUUGUGGAUCUUUUCAUUUUGUUACAUGGACCGUAAAUAUUUUACUGGUUUAUUAUUUUUAUGAAACUUAACGUUUUAUAAUUCUAAUAAUCAUUAUAUAUUAUUAUUAUUUUAGUCCCCAUGCCUAAUAGAUAGUAGCGGCAUGUGAAAGUGUAGAGAUAUUGACAAACCUAUAUUUACCUAUCUCUCCACUCCUUCCAAAACUUGGGUGUCCCAUGGACAAGUAGUCCUUAGUUCAAAUCUAUAUAGAAAAAGAAUAAUUAUUAGAAUUAUAAAAUAUAUUAAAUAAUAAUUAUUAUUAAUUUCCAAUUAAAACAUCAAUUAUAAAUCAAUACAAUGAUAGUCAUUCCCCACACAAAUUAAUACAAAUACCUCUAUUUAGUAAUAUAACAAAUGUAAACGAUCUUGUACAAAAAAUAAUAACCAAAUAUAAAUGAUAGUGUAUAAAAAAAUCUUGAAAAUAAAUUGUUGAGAUUUGGCUACCCAAAUUUAAACGAUUAAAUUAAACGACCGUGUACCAAAUAUAAACGAUCGCGUACCAAAAAAAUCUUGAAAAAAAUCGUUUAAAUUUGACCCAAAUCUAAAUUAUCGUAUAGGGAAAAAUAGUCAAAUCUAAAUUUUUGUUUCCCAAAUAUAUUAGGCGAGUUGGAUGUCAAUCAAUCACGGGACAUUUUUUGGUAUUUUCCAUUGUAGGCCCGUGAGUUUUUUUUGUUUUCGAAAUUGUUGUAUGUCGUGUAAAUAUUUUGUCGCUUUGUUAUAUUUUUUAAAAGAUCUCAUUAUAAAACGUAUUGAAUAAUUAUUAUUAUUAAUUUUCAAUUGAAACAUCAAUUAUAAAUCAGUACAAUAAUAGUCCAUUUGCAACAAUUUAUUGUGACAUUUUUAAACGCUAUAAGUAAUUGUUGCAAUCAACUCUAUUGCAACCGUUGUUAAAAUUAUUGCAACUUAAAAUAUCAAACUUCGAAGAGAUGUCGAGAUAUUGCCGACAAACUUGAAUAUUUUUUAAAAAACAAAAUUGAAAAAACACUAGGGUAAACGUGAGAGAUGGACGCUUACCUCACGUUAUCUCUUUUCUUUAUUUUCUUAAUUAUUAUUAUUAUUUCUUUAUGAUUGGUUCAUGCCAUAGUUUUUCUUUUUUGGAAAAUAUUGCAUCAGAUAACAAAAAAAACAACUCAUAACACCUAUUUUUUGCAUAUUGCAAAUAUGACAGCUAUGAUAAGUAAUUAAUCAUAUCAGACGGUUAUCAAAUGAAUAUCAGACAGUUAUCAUAAGACUAUCAGAGGAUUAUUGCUUUUAAAUUUGCUACUUUUGCAAAUUUAGAAAAUGUUUUGACAUUGACUUUAUUAUCAUAAUUUUUUUUGCUAUUUUUGCAAAAGUCACUUAGAGAAUUGAAAACAAAAUGAAUUGGGUUAAAAUUUUCCAUCACCAUCAACAAAAAUAAAUUUCCACAAACAAAAACAUGUAUAGAAAAAUUACAAUAAAAUAACAAAAUAUAUAUGACAAAAAGAAAGUGAAACAAUUAAUAUAAAUAUUAAUAUUAACUUUAUAUUUUUGCCCAUCAAGGAAGGUACUUGAUUGUGGUUGUCUAUCAAGAAAAACAAUUUGAAAAAUAAAUUACUUACUUAAUUUCUUUAAGAGUUCAUUACCAUUAAGAAAGGUUUUCCUUGAUGGUCAAUGCUCAUAGAGGAAGAGUCGUUUUUGUAAAAUGGGCUCAUCAACAAAAUUAAUUCUUUGCCCAUCAAGGCAAACCAAAUUGUUUUUCCAUGAGUUCUUGAUGGGCAAUGCUCAUCAAAUAAUAAUGUAUUUUUUGUAUGUAUUGUCCAUCAAGCAAUGCUUUUCUUGAAGGUUUUAUCGUCAAGAAUCGCCCCAACCCAAAAACUUACGUAUUUUACUAUUUUUGCAUAUGUGUCUACAAAAUAAGGGAUCUUUUCUUAACGGUCAGGACUAUCAAGAUAAAUCUAGAAGAGAAGAUAAAUAAAUCGAAAAAAAAGAAAAAGAAAAAGGGGAAAAAUACAUAAUAAUAAAUGGAAUUUAUGAAAAAAUAAUCGGACUUCAUGGACUUUUUUUAUUUUAUUAUACGGGUCAUAAAUAUGUAGAGGUUUUGUUACAUUUAUGUAAAUUAAACUAAAAUAAAUGAAAAAUAUGAAAAAAAAACGAAAAAAAAAAGUUAAUUUUCAUAAAUAUAACAAAACACCAAAAUAUUUACAACGCGUGUAACAAAAUAAAAAAAAGUACAUGAAGUCGACUAUUUUUUAAAAAUAUUUUAGGUUUGCCCUUUCUUUCCAUCUUUCUUCUGCAAUUUUUCUUUUCCUUUCCAUUGUCAUUUUCUCUUCUACUUUUGCAAUUUUUUCAAACUCUUAUUUGGUUCAAAAUUGUAUACCAAAUAUAAAAGAUCUAUUUUUUUUAUAAAAAAAUUCAAAUUUUUAUUUAAUUGUUCAAGAUCGUGUGCCAAAUAUGAAAAAUCAUGAAAAAAAACAUUGUAAUAUUGAGUAGACAAAUCUAGACGAUGAAUCUUAAAAAAAUCGUUUAGAUUUGGGUAGUUGAAUCUAAACGAUCUUGUACCAAAAACUCUUUUAAAAAACCUGUUUAGAUUUAAAUCUAAAUGAUGGUAUACAAAAAAUAAUUGAAUCUAAAGAAUUGUGUACAAACAAAAUCUUGAAAGAAAAUUGUUUAGAUUUGGAUACCUAAAUAUUUAAACAAUCAAAUCUAAACGAUCGUGUACCAAAAAAUCUUAAAAAAUAAUCGUUUAGAUUUGUGUAGCUAAAUCUAAAUGAUCAAAUCUAAACAAUCAUGUAUCAAAAAAUAGUCAAAUCUAGACAAUCGUUUAUCAAAUAUAUUACUUGCACUGGGUGCUAAUUAACAAUCAUGUGUCAAUUAAUAACGAACAUUUUUGGUAUUUUCUAUCGUGGACAUGUGGGUUUUUUCCGUUUUCGAAAUGGUUCUAUAUCGUGUAAAUAUUUGGACGCGGGGUUAUAUUUUUUAAAAUACUCCAACAAGAAAAAGGUUUUUAAAAAUAUAUAUACAUAAAAAGAAACUGUUUACGAUCAAACAGAAAAAACCAACUAAAACACACCAAAAUCUAUUACACAUCCUAAAUAUUUCAUCUAUUUUACUUCUUUUUUAACAAUUUUUCAUAUAUAUAUAUAUUUGUUUUAAGUUUAAUGGAGUAUUAUUGAAAUCUCAACUAUAAAAAUGUUACAUUUGGAAACAAAAAAAAAAAACUAAAUAGAAAUUAUAUCUAAAACAAAGGGAACAGAUAGAUACUUUUUCAAAAAAAUAUUAACAAUAAAUGUAUUAGAAUUUAUUAUAAUAGAUUUGAAAGUAUAACAAUUUAAAAAUUUUAAAAAUCAAAAGUUUAUUUAUGCAUAGAUUGAUACGUAUAUUGCAAAGAAAAUAAAUUAUUUGGUAGCUUUAAUUUAUGAAAACUAUAGCAAAGACCACAAUUUAGUAAAUAAACUAAAAAAUUUGCACAACCAUAAAAUAUUUAUAAAAAUAACAAACAUUGAUCAGUGAAUUUAAUUUUUUUUUAUAAUGUUAAGUUUACCAUUACGUGACUAUCUAAUAGAAGUUAUCACUAAUAGUUGCUAUCAAUAAUAGCAACUGAUAACAUAUUUCUCAAAUCGAAAGUUAUCACUAAUAACAUCUAUCAUUGACAGCAGCAACUAUAAAUUGCUAUCACUGAUAAUUGCUACAAAUGAUAGCUUUCAAUUUUAAAAAACUCAAGAAGAAGCACUUGUAAUGGUGGUAAAUGAAAAAUUAUCAUUGAUAUCAUUAAUUAUCAAAGAUAGCAACUCAUAACAGCCAUCGGUGAUAAUAGUUUAUAAUAGUUAUUGGUGACAACAACUUAUAGUAACUAUAUGUGAUAUUCACUAAUUGUCGCUCUUAGUGAUAACACUUAAUGGUAACUAUCAGUGGCUAUCAUUUAUAGUUGUUAUUAGUCAUAGCUUUCAAUGUGAGAAAAUCAGAAAUGUGUGAAGCUAGUCAUUUCUAAAAAAAAAAACUAUUAGUGAUAACUUUUAAUUUGAGAAAUUUGGGAAGAAGUGCUCACAAUGGUAACCGUGUGUAUUUAGUAUGUUACUAAAUUUUGUGCUAUAUAUAUAAUUUAUUUUAUCAUUGUAUUAUACAUGUGUGUGGUUUUUUUUUUCAAAAAUAGAACAAAACGCGAAAAUAUUUAUACUACAUAGAAUAAUUUUAAAUAGAAAAAAAAUUACAACAUGAAAUAACAAAAAUACAUAUUAAUUGGUUAAACACGUGUAAAAAAAUUAUGCUGUACCCUCAAUCCUAAAGCUAAUAAAUAGUUGGUUUUAAAACAAUUUUAAUGAUAAAAAAUUAAAAUUAAAUGACUAUUUUUGCAAUGUUAAGAGUGAUUGAAUCAUAGUCAUAAACUGAUAUAUGAGUGUAAUAAAUAGUUGGUUUUAAAACAAUUUUAAUGAUAAAACGUUAAAAUUAAAUGACUAUUUUUGCAAUGUUAAGAGUAGGAUUGAAUCAUAGUCAUAAAGUGAUCUAUGAGUGUAAUUCAAUCCUUUCACUUUGCCACGUGCAUCACUAUUAUUAGCUGUCCACUAUGCCACUUGUAUGGAAAAGUUUGCUUUAAAACAAAUUUAAACUUUAGGGGCUAAAACUUAUUAAAAUUUAGGGUUGAUGGUCAUUUUUAUAAUCUAAAUUAAAUUGUUUCAACAUAUUAUAUUCCUCAUUUAUCUUCAGAAAAUAAGAAUAUUUGAAGAAAUUAAAUGAUAUUAAAUCCUGUUGUUUAAAACUUGGGAGAUAAUUUUUGAAAUGAUGCUUGGAUAAACGGCAAAGUUAAUUCAAUUAAUUUUAAAUAUGGCAACACUAAUAUGAAUUUGCAAGCACACUUAUAAAAAUAUAAACUUAAAAAGGUGAAAUUCACCGGCAUAAAAUUUCUCUCUCUUACAAUGUAUCUACUACAUAUGUCUAGCUCUAAUUAUACCAAUUUUGUUUUAGAUCUUUAUUGUCAAUUUACAUAUAUCGUAUAUUGAUGUGUGAUUUCCCUCCAAGAUGAUUGUCGUCUGUAGUCGUAGAUUCUAAAUUCUUUAGAUAGUACUUGGAGUUAGAACAACUAAAGGGAGUUGGAAUUGUUAGAUUUUAUGUCCUAAAACACGUAGUUUGAAAUUUAAAAUCAUAUUAUAUCCAAUAAAAUGGUUAUUAAGGGCUUAUUUCUUGAAAAAAGAAGAAGCAAAAAGUUUUUCUUUCUUUGUAAAAGCAGUCUUGAGACGAGGGUAAUUUUGGGAAAAUUAAAUGUAGAUUUACCUUUUUGCCCUUUACUUUUCUCUCACCUUUUCAAUAUAUUUGCAAGAUGUCAUCACUUUCCUUUCUUUGUAUUUCUUUUGUUGCAUGGUUCACCGAGAGAGUAAGGAAGAAGAAAAAAAAUGUUUCGAAAGGGGGUUUCUUAAUGGAUGAAGUUUAUAGAUGAAGAGAUGAGAAAAGUGAACAAGAUGAAGUUUAUAGUGAUUCAACACAUAGCCUACAUCAUCACUCUUCAUAGGUAAAAAUCCUUUUAUUCAACAUUCAGUGUGAAAGUGAUAGAACUAAGUCAUGCACAACGGAAAAAGAAUCGAAUUUCUACCCUAAUUGCCACAAUUAACAUGUAACCAUAAACUAAUCAAAUUAGGGUUUUAAGAAAUAUUACCUUUGAAGCUUUCAAAAGGUUUGAUAUCUUCUUACCAAUUCUAACCGAGACCACCACUAGUACUCAACUGCUAUCCUCUAGACAAAGAACCGGGUUGUGGGACCCAAUUUUGGUGUAGAAAGUAAUGGAGAUAAAAUGAGAUUGGAAGGUUUUUUUUUCUUUUGUUGAGAUGAUGAAAAUGAUAAAAGAGGCAAAAAAGUUCUUCAACAUUUGAAAACACCUCUAUUUAUAACCUAAUUACAUGCAAAAAUGCAUGCAAUUCAUUUGCCAAAUCUCAACACCUAAUGUUUCACUAACAAUUAGUAGAACUUAGUGGGCUAGGUGUCUAUAUCUCAUAUAGCCACAUAUCCCACUAAGAGUUCGUGGGAUUAUCCAACAAAAUGUUGGAUUUUCCCACUAACUUAGUCCAAGGGUAAAAUGGUCAUUAGAUAUUUCUAGUCAAAAAUCAAACUUUUGACUUUUUACCAUUUUGUCCGUCUUGACUAAUUCCAACCUCCCGAUCAUGAAUCCACAUUCAUUUUUCCAAAAUUCAAAUCACAUUUGAAUAUAAGGCCGGUCAAAGUUUGACUUUUCAAAGUCAAAAGUCAACAUUUUGACUUUUUACUAUUUUUGACCAAUUUCAUCAAUUCCAAGCUUCUUAGUAUUAAUCCGCAUUCAUACUUAUAGUAUGUAAAACAUAAAGCUCUAUUUCUAAUUAGAAGACCAAUAAGUCUCCCACUUGUCCUAGUGGUAUGAGAGAUGUGGUGUGAGAGAAUAUAAAACUAGGGCACAUGGCCAAUAAGUCUCCCACUUGUCCUAGUUUACAAACAUCGUAGACCUAAACUGUGUAGGUGACCCUCAAACACUUUAGCCGUGAGGGCUUUUGUAAAAUGAUCAGCUAUACAAGUUUGCUUUAUGCUUCUCCAAACUACUGCUCCUCCAUUUAGAGUAAAUACUGAUCCUGAUGUAGACUUUCUAACAUCUUUAUCAGUUUGGAAAUCUGAAUCAGUGUAUCCAGUAAGGAUCAGAUCCUUUGUACGAUACAUGAGCAUGUAGUCGUAAGAUAUAGAAUGUUUUUAACGGCUGUCCAGUGAUCACGUCCAUGAUUGGAUUGAUACCUACUGACCAUCCCUACUGAGUAGCAAAUGUCAGGUCUAGUACAUAACAUUGCAUACAUUAAACUUCCAACAGCGGAAGCAUAGGGAAUAUUUCUCAUAUCCUCAACUUCUUGAGGUGUCUUAGGACAUUGUUCCUUUGACGAAUGAAUUCCAUAUCUAUACGGCAACAGACCUUUUUUUUGGAAUUCUGCAUUUUAUAUCUAGACAACAUUUUGUCUAUGUAAGAUGCUUGAGACAUGGCUAGUGUUUUGUUCUUACGGUUUCGAACAAUUUGGAUUCCGAGAACGUAUUGUGCAUCUCCCAAAUCUUUCAUUUGAAAUUGCAUAGCUAGCCAUUUCUUGAUAUCAGUAAGAUAUCCUACGUCAUUUCCAAUAAGUAGAAUAUCAUCUACAUAUAAGACUAAAAAUGCUAUAAUGGAAUUGACGACCUUUUGUAAACACAAGGCUCGUCAACAUUUUGUUCAAAGCCAUAAGAUUUGAUCGCAGUAUCAAAUCUUAUAUUCCAGGAUCUAGAAGCUUGUUUUAAUCCAUAAAUGGAUUUUUUAAGCUUACAAACCUUUUGUUCUUGAUCUUGUUCUAUAAACCCCUCUGGUUGAGACAUAUAGAUACUCUCUUCAAGAUUACCGUUCAAAAAAGCUGUCUUGACAUCCAUCUGCCAAAUUUCAUAAUCAUAAAAAGUGGCGAUGGAUAAGAGUAUUCUAAUUGACUUUAACAUGGCAACGGGAGAGAAAGUUUCCUCAUAGUCUACUCCCUCUCUCUGGUAUAACCCUUUGCCACAAGUCGAGCCUUGAAAGUCUGUACUUUACCGGCAUGGUCUCGUUUUCUCUUGUAGAUCCAUUUACAACCAAUAGGUUUUACGUCAUUUGGUUGAUCUACUAGAGUCCAGACAGAAUUAAAGUACAUAGACUCCAUUUCGAGGUCCAUGGCUUUGAUCCAUUGGUCACGAUCUACAUCUUUCAUUGCCUGUUUAUAGGUUAAUGGAUCCUCUAUGCCAUCGUCAGGUAUGACGACUUGAGUUUCAAUUAAACCCAAAUAGCGAUCAGGCUGAUGAACAACCCUCCCACUACGUCGAGGCUCUCUCAACUGUUGAGAAGGAUGUGAUUGACCAGAUUUCCUAGUCUUAUCAACUACCUUAGUGGAUGAACUAGGUUUAUCUAUAAGCACUUUUUGGGAAAUUUCUUUUAAUACUAGUUUACUACGAGGUUGAUGAUCCCUGAUGUGGUCUUCCUCUAAGAAUGUGGCAUUUGUUGACACAAAUAUUUUAUUUUCUUGAGGAUCAUAAAACAAACCACCUCUUGAUUCUUUUGGAUAACCUAUGAAAAAGAAUUAAAAUAAAAAGCAUAAUUUUGAACGAUGUUCCAAUUUCUUAGGAUUUUGUACCAACACGUGUGCUGGACAACCCCAAAUUCUAAAAUGACGUAAACUUCCUUUACGCCCUUUCCAUAGCUCAUAAGGUGUUUCUGAAACACUUUUAGAGGGAACAUUAUUCAAAAUAUAAACAGCUGUUUCUAAAGCAUAUCCCCAAAAAGAAUCUGGCAUCUGAGAAAAACUCAUCAUAGAGCGAACCAUGUCUAACAAGGUCCGGUUUCUUCUUUCUGAUACACCGUUCUGUUGAGGUGUACUAGGUGCAGAGAGUUGUGACUGGAUUCCAUUUUCUAUUAAAUAGUCUCGGAAUCGUAAGUCCAUAUACUCUCCACCUCGAUCUGAUCGAAGUAUUUUUAUUGUUUUACCUAAUUCGUUUUCUACUUCAGCCUUAUAUUCUUUGAACUUUUCAAGACUAUUAGACUUAUGAUGUAUUAGGUAAAUAUGACCAUACCUUGAAUAAUCAUCAAUGAAGCUAAUGAAAUAUUCAUAUCCACCUCGAGCUUUGACAUUCAUUGGUCCACAAAGGUCCGAAUGUACGAGCUCUAAGGGUCCUUUUAGCUCUUAGACUUUCCAGUAAAAGAUCUCUUGGUCAUUUUUCCUUCAAGACAAGAUUCACAAGGAGGUAAAGUAUUAUUUUCUAACUGACUUAGAAGCCCACUUUUAACUAAUCUCCCAAUCCUAUUGAGAUUUAUGUGACCAAGUCUUAAGUGCCAUAAAUAGGCAUUAGAAGAAACUUUUUGUCUUUUAUUCUGAGUUUCAGCUGUUCUGAAUAUUUCAGUAUUUAAGACAAAAUUUGCUCUGGUUGGUCUUAACUUAUAUAAGUUGUCUUCAAGUAUAGCAGAACAAACUAGAAUACCUUUAUAGAAAACGAACGCUUCAUUAAUUUCAAAAGAUAUUCUAUACAUUUGUUCCAAAAUACAAGAGAUAGAUAUUAAAUUUCUUUUCAUUUGAGGUACAUAUAAGACAUUCUUAAGUAUGACAUAUCUAUCUCUAAAAAACAACUUUAAAUCUCCCACUGCUGAAGCUGAGACCAUCUCUCCUGUUCCAACCUUGAGAGUGAUCUCGCCUUCUGAAAGCUUUUUCCAAGAACUAUUUUCCUGAAAUGAGAAGCAAAUAUGGUUUAGUGGCUCCUGAAUCUAGUAUCCAGGUACAAUUUUCAUAUUCCACUAAACAUGUUUCUACAACUAGUAAAUCAUAUUUACCUUGUGUUUCCUUCUCUGCCUUUUUUUCUGCAAGGUAUUUUGGGCAGUUUCUUAACCAGUGCCCGUUUUGGCCACAAUGGUAACACUUACCUUUUUCUGCACCUUUCUUACCCUUGUUCUGUUUGGGAGUCUUUCCCUUUCCCUUCUUUUUUAUUUGAGCAUUAGGUUUUGAGGGUCCAGCUUUGGUUUUAGAGGACGAUCCUCUUAUAAAUUUUCUUUUUGUGGUAGCAACAUUUGCUUCCACUUGUUUUCCUUUACCCAUAGUAAGGUUUUGGAAUCGCUGGAGUUCAUUCAGAAGGGUUGUCAAGUUAAAUUCUAUCUUGUUCAAAGACGCAUUCGUUUGGAAUGGAAUGAAGCUCUUCGGAAGAGACUCUAAGAUAAAACUAACUUGAUUAACCUCUUCGAUGGGACCACCAUUCACUUCAGCGAUGUUGAAGUGCAUCAUCAUGUCCAGAACAUGUUCUCUAACAGAGGUCCCUUCCUUCAUACGCUUAGUGUAAAUGUAUUUGACUGCCUCGUGUCUUAAGGACCAUUCUGGUUGCCCAAACAUUCCCCUUAAUGAAUCCAUAAUCUCUUUAGCCGUGGCUAAGGAUUCAUGUUUCUUUGCCAAUACAUCAGACAUGCUGGCAAGAAUGUAGACACGGGCUUUUUCAUUAGCUUUUAUCCAUCGAUCAUAUGCAUCCCGACUAGUUCGGUUAGCAUUAGAGGCAGGGUUUUGAGGACAUUCCUCAGUUAAGACAAAUCUUAAAUCGUCAACCACUAGUAUUGUGUUAAGAUUUGAUUUCCAAGCCGCAUAAUUAUCGCCAUUAAGUUUUUCGGAAGCUAAAAGUUGAACUAUUGAGCUAUUCAUGCUGAAAAACAAACAUAUUCUUUUUAGGAAAAAACUAUAAUCAUAAAAAAUAUUCAAUCUAAUUUAGCAAUUACUAAUAAUGUACCCUUUCAUUAUUUGUAUUUUGCAACAAUAUUUCAAAGGUUUAGAACAACCUUCUCCGAAGGGUAGUUGAUUAUUCCUCCUUUGAACCAAGACAAUCUUCACUAGAUGGUAUCUCUAGAAUAACUGCUUAUUCUUUAUAGCACUUAGUUAUCGCUACUUUAGUCAAGAAUAGUGAAGUUUCCUCUCAUUUUUUUAUGGGCUUUUUCUUAUGUAUAUUGCAUAUGUUGUUUGUUUUUUUUAGCUCUUAAUUGUUUCACUGUUUUAUGUUUGCAAGUCUCUCUAUUCUUUGUUUGGUAUGCAAUGUGGUAACUAGGUCUUGCUAGAACCGGUGGGCUAACCUUUCUAUGGUUAUAGACUUAGUUUCUAAGUUUGACUGCUCCCUUCGGAGUGACAACAAGCCUCGUUUUCCCCCUACUAUGGAACGGGGAGGAUUCCUCCUCUUUUCAAAGCCCUCGUCAAACUCAAUGCUAAGUUUGACUGCUCCCUUCUGGAGUGACAACAAGCCUCAUUUUCCCCCUAGUGUGGAACGGGGAGGAUUCCUUCUCUUUUCAAAGCCCUCAUCAAACUCGAUGCUAUGUCUAGAACGCUAAGAGUAGGUGGCCUGGUUUUCGUUAGGCCAAAAGUGAAGUUUCCUCUCAUUUUUUUAUGGGCUUUUUCUUAUGUAUAUUGCAUAUGUUGUUUGUUUUUUUAGCUCUUAAUUGUUUCACUGUUUUAUGUUUGCAAGUGUCUCUAUUCUUUGUUUGGUAUGCAAUGUGGUAACUAGGUCUUGCUAGAACCGGUGGACUAACCUUUCUAUGGUUCUACACUUAGUUUCUAAGUUUGAGUGCUCCCUUCGAAGUGACAAUAAGUUUUGUUAAUGUCCACCCUUUUCUAAAGGGAUUUAGUUCAUUGUGGCUAGACAAACGGCUCCUAACUCAUGUUAUUUGUUAAAACCAUCUCAAUUUCUAAAGAGUACCUCCUAUCCUUUUUUAACUCUAUCUAGGCUAGGUUUGGACCAAGCGCAUCAUAGGUAAGUCACAGCAACGCAACAAAGGAAGACAAAGCUAGAAAAGCAUCCAUGCAAUCAAGCAUUCACAACACACAUACCAUUUUCUCAAUCAUGCAUUCACAUCUGAACGAGAUAUCGCUAACAUCUCAAUAAGAUAUCGCUAAAAAGGGACGUAAACCAAAAAAGACGGCAGCUUAUGCUCAAAUUUCAGCACAUAUAAUCAUCAACAUUCAAAAUUUUACAUCACAAACCCAAGUUUAGUGGUCAAGGGUUGCUAGUCAUGCUUUUUAUGCAAGAUCUAAGUAAGCUAAUAAGGUAUAAUGCUCCUUAUUGUAAGGAAAUUUUUUUUAGAAAUUUAGAAAUUUGGGCAAAAUUUGAACCCCAAGUUUAGACUAAACAUGCAAGCUAUUGCCCACCCCCACUUAAAAAGUUGCAAGCUUUUGAAAAUCAAAGUAAAGGGAGAAAAAUAAGGGGGAACUUUGUAUUGGCCAAGUGCCCUAGUUUCAUAUAUAUUCUCUCACACCACAUCUCUCAUACCACUGGGAAUUUUAGUCCAAGUGGGAGUUUGUUGGAAUUUUUUGUUCUAAAACUCGUAGUUUGUAAAAUCAUAUUCUGUUCAAUAAAGUUGUUAUUGAGAAAUUAAAUAUUAUAAUCUUAAAUCCAAUAAAACUAAGUUCCAAGGCUAUUUUUAAAUAAACUUGAACUUUAUGUGUAAACAUAAACGUGGAUCAAGUUCGAGUAUAUAACCUAAAUAGUCUAUAGUAUAUGAAAUAAAGGUUGGACGCCUUAUUUAGAGAAACUAUGGAUGCGGCCCACUUUGUAGUACAAACGAGGUGAUCCUAAUAGUUCAUGUAGAGACAUGAAAGUGGGGGCAUCCUAUGUAAAAUGUUUACAUAAGAUUGAACCAUAAAUUAGUCUUUUUUACGUUAUAACACCGUUUACUAUUUAAAACUAACUAUCUCAAUUAUUGAUGACCUAGGUAACUUAGUCUUAAUCCUGAGUUAACUAUGAACUCCUGUUCACACGAGAUUAUCCUUAUAUCUGCAUAGGUGAGGGCAGCUCAUCAGCGUUGGCCCAAUAAGCCUCCCAUUUCAGGGGUAAGAUCGGGUGGAUAGCCGAACAUAGGGUACAAGAUGGAAUUCACUCCUACCCGCUUUAGGGUUAGUAGAUAGGUUGUUCUCUUAAGCACUGAAUCCAAGUCUUGAACAAGGGGCCUCACCCUCUCAUCGGCCCGAGAGGGAUUAAGUUUAUAGGUUGAACCUUAAACCAAUUGUUCAAUAGUGGAUUAGUGGGACUUAAGGAGCAAGAUGUAAUCUUGGGGGUAAAACGGUAUUUUGACCCAGCCAAGGUUACGAGCAACCUGUGAAGGAUUAACUUACUGAUUAUGGUUUUAUCAAAUGGACACAAAUAUAUCUAUAGUGAGGGGAGUGCAACUACGGGACUUUAGUGGAAUGACCCGUUAGUUAACGAAUGUUGAUUAACUCGGUUUAAAAGAGUUUAGCUAGUUAAUCUUGAAUCGUUGGAGCCCAUGAUCUAUAGGUCCAUUAGGUUCCUCUGCUAGCUCAUAUGGAUUAAACUUAGAACAGUGAUGAAAUAAGUCGAAUUGUUCGAAUUGGGAGAAGAAAGGGAAACCGACAAAUAUAGUGAUAUAGUCGUCGAUCUUCUAAUUAGAAAUAGAGCUUUAUGUUUUACAUACUAUAAUUAUGAAUGCGGAUUCAUACUAAGAAGCUCGGAAUUGAUGGAAUUGGUCAAAAUAGUAAAAAGUCAAAAUGUUGACUUUUGACUUUGAAAAGUCAAACUUUGACCGGCCUUAUAUUCAAAUGUGAUUUGAAUUUUGGAAAAAUGAAUGCGGAUUCAUGUUCGGGAGGUUGGAAUUAGUCAAGGCGGACAAAAUGGUAAAAAGUCAAAAGAUUGACUUUUGACUAAGAAAAGUCAAAGUUUGACUUUUGACUAGAAAUAUCUAAUGACCAUUUUACCCUUGGACUAAGUUGGUGGGAAAAUCCAACAUUUUGUUGGAUAAUCCCACUAACUCUUAGUUGGAUAUGUGGCUAUAUGAGAUAUAGACACCUAGCCCACUAAGUUCCACUAAUUGUUAGUGGAACAUUAGGUGUUGAGAUUUGGCCAAUGAAUUGCAUGCAUUUUUGCAUGUAAUUAGGUUAUAAAUAGAGGUGUUUUCAAAUGUUGAAGAACUUUUGCCUCUUUUAUCAUUUUCAUCAUCUCAACAAAAGAAAAAAAACCUUCCAAUCCCAUUUUAUCUCCAUUACUUUCUACACCAAAAUUGGGUCCCACAACCCGGUUCUUUGUCUAGAGGAUAGCGGUUGAGUACUAGUGGUGGUCUCGGUUAGAAUUGGUAAGAAGAUAUUAAACUUUUUGAAAGCUUCAAAGGUAAUAUUUCUUAAAAUCCUAAUUUGAUUAGUUUAUGGUUACAUGUUAAUUGUGGCAAUCAGGGUAGAAAUUCGAUUAUUUUUCCGCUGUGCAUGACUUAGUUCUAUCACUUUGGACUCCCCUGGAAGGAUCGACAUCCUUGACUUUGGUUUGAAGCUUGCAUGGAUAAACCUCUUCAUUUCUUUUUCAUUGAUUAAUUAUCCUUGUUCCUGAAAAUCAAAGGAAAUUCUCUCAAUUUCAUUUAUUACUAAAAUUAGGAUAAUUAUAGUAACUGUAUUUUUAACUCUUUUGGUAGUUUACGUCUUGAGUGUGUUUUCAAUGAUAUUUUUAUAUACAGUACAAAGUUUAGGGGUAUUCUGUAUAAUGGAACCUCUUUGACACAAAAAAAAUAAAUUCAAACCCAUGAAGUCUAACUAACCGAACACAAUUAGAUUUCUAGUAGCAGUAAUUUACCACAGAAACAUAAAUCAAAGGUUAGAAAAUAAUUUAAUGGCAUUUCUAUAAAUUUAUCACAUGAUCUUUCUUCUUCUUUUUUUUUCUUUCAUUUUUUGAUAAAACUCUAACCAUGUAGUUAAGCUUCUACCUGUAGCAGUUAAUUAAAAUAGAGACAGAGACUAUAGAUUAACAAACAAUUGGAAGGCCUCUCGAUCAAUUUAAUCCACAAUAAGUUCAUAUUUGUGUCUUUUUGGAAGUAUAAAAAAUGAAAAAUCGCUAUUUUCCCAAAACGAAAAACCUCUUCAUUCCUCGUUGAUUAUUCAUCCUUGUUCUUCAAACCUCAAGCCUUAAAAUUGAGGAAGUAGAGGAAAUUCUCUCAAUUUACUUCAAAGGAAGGAUCAUGUUCUCUCCUACAAAGGGUGUCUUUCUAAUUUUCAUAACUUUAUGACUUAAUAUGACAGUGUUGUAUAAUGCAAAUCCAUAUAGAAGAAACACCAUUUACAGCACAGCCAAGGAAAAUGAAGAUUCAAUAUCUUUUUCAAAAAACGCUCUGUCUCAUUUGCACUUAUUUCUCUCUUCUUCUUCCACGCUUAAUGAAGAAAACGCUUAAUGAAGAAAAAAUAAGAAAUCAACCCUAAACCCCUCAACCCAACAUCCUGGUGUGCUUUUUCAAUCUACAUCCUUCUCAAAGAAACAUACUGAUGUGCUUUCUUAAUCUACAUCCUUCUCAAAGAAAUGAAUUGAAAAAUCUCUUCUCACAGAAAUGAAUUGAAAAAUCUCUAAAAGUUUCCUCAUCAAACAAUACCAUGCAACAAUGUUUAAAAAAGGAUAGUAAAAAGGAAGAACAAUGACGUAAUGGUGUUUAAAGAGAAUGGUAAAAAGGAACAAAGAUGGUAAGGAGAAAUUUAUUUUCAACUUAAUCAUGAAGAACAGUUCAACAAAAAAUAAAUAAUAAAAUAAAGGCACUUGGGAAAGCAACAAACCUGCUUCUGUAACUCAAGAAGCUGCCGCUCUUUCUCAUGAAUGUGUUCUUCAAGUUCAUGCAAAUGUUUUAUUUGCUGAGCUCUUUCAGCUUCAGAAUGAUCAUGUUCUCUCCUACAAAUGAUAUGUUUCUAAUUUUCAUAACUCAAUGACUUAAUAUGGCAGUCUUGUAUAAUACAAAUCCUUAAUAAAAGAAACACCACUUACAGUAGAGCCAAGAAAAAUGAAGAUUGUAUGUAAUGUACUGCAAUAAAAUUAAAAUACUAAAGAAUGUGUUAGGAUGUUAGCGUAAGCAAAAAAGUAAAAUCAAUGGCAAAAGAAGGGAAAAAUUGAAGGGCAUCAACAAAAAAUGUAACCUUUAAGUUGCUAUUUCCUUAUCUUGUUCCCACAGAAGAUCAUCCUUGGCCCAAGCCUGUGAAGAAAUUAUAGAAUAAAAGGGUUAGUGAAGAUAAAAACAGAUCAUUACAAAACAUUCUUAUGCAAGCAAAUCAAGCAUGAGGGGAAAAAAAAACACCUCGCGUCGUUGUCUAAUGUAAUUGAUUGCAAUUCCUUAUCUUUAUCUUCUAUUUUCCUUUCCAGUUUGCGGAUAGCCUGCUGUCUUUCACAUAGCCUGUUCCUGUACAGCCACAAAAUGUCUCAUUGAAGUAUUAAAGUAGUCUACAUCUAAAUAGUGAUUAAGUUUUGAGUUGUGGCAAUAUGAACUAGGAUCUCCUUUACAAUUGUGCUCUAAAGAUAUUGAAGAUAAUUUAUAGAAUAAAUCAAUCUUAUUAAUGAUAAUAAUAGAAUUAGUAAUGACGAUAUUACAUAUCCUUUAAAAUUUUUUGUUAAGUGAAAAUUAUGAGGUUUCUUUCCGCUUUUGUGCGUUCUAUGUUUAAUUGUACUUUAUCGUACCAAUUUAGAAUUUUAAAAUGUUUUUAAUUCACUAUUUGAGGCUUCAUCUUGCCUCUUCAAGUCAAAAUACCUCACGGCCAGCCUUUGUUGAGUUAUUUUCUAUUGAAUAAUAGAUUGUGUUUUCUUUUUUGGUCAAGAGACCAAAGUAGAUUAGUUACAAUUAGAAACGGUCUUCAUACCUCCCGCUUAAGUGGGUUAGAAGAGGGAGGCUCGCUUCCACCUAGCCGGCAAGGGUUUGGAAUCAAGAACCAUGGAGUCGGGAUCUGACGGUGAGGGUGGAACAAAAGGACUUUGGAAGACGAAUUUGGUUUCCGAGGGGUCUGCCGCUCUUGAUUCUGGCACCGUUAGGGCUAGGAGAAGACGAUGGCGUGGAUCGGCAAGAUGGGCAACUCACAGAGAGCGAAAGAGAAUGGGAGAGGGAAGAGGAAGUAGAGAGAGUUACCGUUGGAAAAAGUCUAUAUUACCCUCAAGUUAAAAAAUAUCCUCAAAUCAAUUUAUGAAUCCUCUCUUCUCCUUCUCCCUCCGUUUUUCCACUUUCUAAAAAUAUUUCAUUUUUCUCUCAUCCCUUCUUGUAUUUCAUUUUCCCUCAUUUUCACAAAAUUUCCUUUUUCUUCCUUUUCCAUUCUUUAAUUCGUUUUCUUGAAAUUCCUUUCUCAAACUCCUCCCAUAGUCUCCCACCGGCCUUUGAAAACCAUGUCGUUCCUUAUCACCUCAUUCUUUGCCUUUUUCAAGCUUCUUCCUUUCUUGAAAUCAAAUCUUCUUUCAUAGAAGUCAUUUAAGCUCUCACAGCUCGUUGUCAUGGUUGUCUCCCACUAUGUAUCAUCUUCGAUAUCUUUCUUAGUUGGACUACGUAGCCAAACAACUCGACAUCUACCACACAAUGUUUAGCGGCAUUGGAGGUUUUUGCGUAGCUUGCUAUGUCUCUCUUUGGCUCAACCUUCCUCACCAGAACGUCGUCGCCCACGACUUUCUCUGUCAGAUUUUAAAGAAGGUAUCGUUCAGCUCCAUAAGACCUAAUUGUCGACUAACAUCGCGGAAGCAAAUGGUGAAGAUGGUUGGUCGAUUUUAGAAACUUGCAGGUUGUUACUGUAGCUAAAAUUGAGCAAUAAUUUAAAAAUUUUGGUAGAUUUCUACCUAAUGAUGUGUAUUUAUUAGGUCUUGGAGGCCCUCGCUUUUGAUUAUUUGUUUGGAUUGGCUCACAUGGAUGGUUCUUGAUGCAUUUGUUGGUGGUGCCAUGAAUAGGAAGGGAAAGAGGGAGAGGUAGUUACCAGUCAGAUGCUCUUAAGGGACGGUUUGGUUCUCAUAGUUUGGUCGAGGAAGCAGCCAAGAUGGAAGUGACUAUGGUCAGUUGAGAGGCAACGGUUUCCCUCAGUGGUACCACAAGGUUCAAUAGUAAUGUUAAUUUGUGGGGAAUUGAUUAUCAAGAUAAGAAUGUACUUUUCCCCCUUAGAUGGUUUUUAAGAUGCAAUUCAAGUGGAAUUUUUUUGACAUUUCAAGUACAAGCACUAGUUAGACAAUGGGAGGGAAAUAGACUUGAGAGAUGAAGACCCUUUUCAUUAAAUUUUACCGUUUUGUGGUAGUUCCGUAGUCAUUAGGUGAAUAUUGUUGCCAUUUUACAAUCAAAUAAUGUAUAAUUGAGUGAGCAUCUUGCCAAAUAAAUGAACAAUUUAGAUCCUUGAAUGCCAUUUUUUUCAUCAUGCUUUAUAGUAAGAUUUCGUUAAUCAAAAUCAAUUAACAACUUGAUUUAUGAGAUGUUUGAAUUUUGAAGUUUAGUUUGAAAAAAAAAAACUCAUGUGUUGUGUAUAGUUGUUUUUCAAGGAUAACGUUCGAUCAUGAUACAUGUAAGUCUUUCGAUGUGUAACAAUAUCAUAGUGGAGUAUGGAAAAAAAAAUUAAGUGAAUUUUUAUUUUAUGUUUUAGUUAUUUUUCUAAUUUUACAAACAUAUAUAUCCCUUUUAAGUGGGUCUAUUCCGCACGCAUCUCAAACCUAUCUCACAACAUUUUACACAUUUCAAACUUUCACUAUGAGUUUCACAAUCAAAUUGCUACCGUUCCUAAGUUAUCUCGCACGCAUCUCGCACACAUCUUGCACCCAUCUCGCACCUAUCUCGUACACAGGUUAAUUUGUCCUAAAUGUCCUAAAUCUUGCAUCUAUCUCGCACCUAUGUCCUACCUUUUCUUCUUCUUAAUUUGCUUUCGUCAAUUUGUGCAAUUCUUUCUCAAAUCUUUCUUACUCCAUUUGUCACCGACCAUCAGGUGCAAUGGAGCAACAAAGCAAACAACAAAGAGUGAAAGCAAAAGAAAAAGGUCAAUUCUCACAUGAUUAUUUUUAACAUUCUACUUCCACCAUAAGAAAAAUUGCCAUAACAAUUAUGUGAACCAUACCUUGAUCUUCAAUGCUCGAUUCUUGCAUGCUUAUCUUGAUACUCGUUUCUUAUUUUUUGAUUGCUCAACUUUAAUUUCUAUCAAUAUGAUAGAGUGGGAAUCAAGAACGAGUAGCAAAAGCGAGCAAGUGUCAAGUCAUCACGAGCUAUAACAAGAUUAAGUUGCAAGAAUCAACUAUUAUGAGUUGUCAUACAUAUUUGUUAUUGGUAAUUUCACUUAUAAUAGCAAAUGCAAAAAAAAAUCUAAAAUAUGGAUCCUUUUUAAAUUUUAAUGGAUGAUCCAUCAACAUUUGAAAUUUAUCGAAUUUUGUGUCCACAAAAACAUUGUUCCAUCUAAAAAAAUCUUAUAUACAUGACAUCCUUGAUAUUCUAAAAAAGAAAGUUUGAAGACUUCAAAUAUAUGUGUAAAUCUUAUAUACUCUAAAAGAUAUUUUCAAGGCCUAUAUACACAUAUACACAUGUACACUGUAGUCAAGUAGACUUGGUUGGAUGUUAUUGUGACUGUACGAAAUCAAUUAGAGAACUUUGAGAUGGGUUUUUGAUGUUGUAUUGAAGUGAGUUCAAUCAAAGCUUGGAAAAAGCUUUCUUACGAAGGUAAGGGGGCGGUCAUACACUCAAUUGAGGGGAGUAUAAGUACAUUAUAUUGAUGGGAUCCAUACAAAGCUUGAAGAAGAGAGUAAUCGUAGGAGUGAGGAGGGAGAAGUUAAAGUUAAAACUAAAGAAUAAGCUAUAGAGAUAAAUACUCCAUUGUAAUUUAACUCUUUAUAAGUUGAUUUUUUUUUCUAUUAGGGCAUACAAUCCUCAAAAUAGUAAGUAAUAUUGCACUAAACGAGUUAUGAAUAUUUUCGUCUCACAAUCUCUUUGUUCUUCUUUGAUAUUAUGUUAUUAUAUUUGUCGGCAAUUUUGUUACGCAACCAUACCCUAUUUCUUAGUCAUCUCUAAAAAAUCUUUUUUUUUCCAUAUAUUGACUUUUCUAUGUAAUUUCUUUUCAAAGUGCAUUUAAGAACUAAGUCCCGUAAUUUAAUUUGCCACUAAAACCACUUACUUGAACAAUUGAUUCAUUCGUGAGAGAAAAUUAAAAUUUAAUCGAAGGAAGAACUUUUUUUUAAAAACAAAAAAAGAAAAAGUUAAUAUAUUUCAAAAAAAGAGUAGGUAAGAUUUAGAGAACGUGUUUUAGGUCGGUCAAAGAAAUUAUGUUUUGAUCUCGAUUAAAUUUAUUUUUUUAGUACAAUAAAGAUCAAAAGAUGUGAACUACAAUUUUUUUGGUCACAACUCAUCGACACAUUUAUAUUAUCCAUAAUAUGAUACUUACCUAUUUUACUAUUCAAAGCAAUCAAAUUUACAUAGGAAUCUUUUUGUAAGAAUGAUUUGUUCACGAGGUCUUUUACGAUUAAUAAACUCGUCCCGUCGUAAAGGAUUCUAACAUUUUUCUUACAUCAUAGUGCACUACUACAUUUUAUAACGCGAUAACCAUUCCUAUUACGGUUUUAGAUGAGAAAAAUGAAAGAAUGUGCUAGAGAUGAUCGUCAAGUUAAGGCCAUGUAUACAUUAUAAAAAGCAAUAGUGAACUAAGGAUAAGUAUAAGUUUGUGAGGGAGAAGUGUUACAUGGGAAAUUAACAAAAAAAUAGGAUAAUUUUGAAGGAUUUAAAAAGUUUUAGGAUAAAUUUUAAAAAAUAUGACAUUUAAGACAAAUUAACUAGGAAAAGUCUAUAUUACCCUUUAGUUAUAAAAAAACCUAAAAAGCAAUUUAUGGAAUUCCUUCUUCUUCCUCCAUUUUCUCACUUCCAAAAAGAAUAUUUCAUUUUUCUCUCAUCUCUCCCUGUGCGUAUUCCAUUUUUCCUCAUUAUCACAAAACCUUUGAUUUCUUUUUUCUUCCUUUCCCAUUUUUCAUUCACAAAACUACAAAAAUAAUGAUAGUUUCGGUGAUUUCAUUGUGGAACAUUCACAAAGAUGUGUAUGAGAUAGGUGCGAGAUGUGUACGAGAUAGGUGCGAGAUGUGUACGAGAUAGGCUAAGAGGGAUUAAAGAAAAGUUCAAUCAGUUUACAAGCCUAGAGGAUUAAUAGUAGAGAAGAAAUGGAUGAAAGAGAAGAAACGUAGGUACCAAAAGUUGAAGGAAGGAAAAAGAAAAGAGGAAGGAGGAAAUUAAAUGAGAGUAUUUUCGUCAUUUCACCUCUAAUUUGUCCUAAAUGUCAACUUUUUUACAAUCAAUCCUAAAAAUCUUUAUCUACCUCAUCUUUUGCCUAUUUUUGUCAAUUCCCCAAGAAAGAUGGAGAAGAAAUUUGACGGGGAAUUGCCAAGAAGAGUACAAAUUUGACCACAUUUAAGACUUUUGAGACCAAAUUUUAAAAAGAAGAGUUUUGGGACAAAUGGGUAUGUGAAAUAUCUAAAUUACCCUUUAGUUUAAAAAAGCUCUAAAAUUUUGAAACCCACGAUUUCUCCUCACGCAACACAUAUUCUGCUGCUCGCAGGUGACUCCAUUUACAGAGAUAACAAAUCCCAACCAACAAACGGAGACAAUCGAUCAGAUGGAGUGGCGGUGACUUGGGUAGCAACGACGUCUAUUGGGCGACUUGGACAACAACAACAAUUUCUAUGGAUUGUGUGUCAACAAUUUCUAUAUCUUUCUUUCCAUAGAUUUUUUUCCUCAUUUUUAUUGCUUAUAUGUUACUUAUGUAUACCAGGUAGGAAAUUUGGCUGCUAGUUGAAGAUUGGACAACUAGUGGAAAGCAAGUAUCAAACAACGCUUGAUGGCUUAUUAAAAGCAAAAGAUAUGGACACACAUGGUGUAAUUAGCUUUAGGGUAAGCAUUACAGAAACUGGAGUUAUUGUUUUGUAUUUAUUUGAACUUAUGUCGAACCAUUUAAUUGUAUUCUUGAAGUUGAUCAUUUGUGAUAUAGAUGCUAUAAUCGAUGUAAUUGAGAAGAAUUUUGUUCUUUCAUUAUCUUUAAUGUAUUAUUCCAACCCUUACUAGAUAGGUGCGAGAUGUGUACGAGACAAGAGGGAUAACAAUUUGAUUUUUAAAUUAAUAGUAAAAGUUUUAAAAUGUGCAAGAAAGGUGUGAGAUGUGUACGAGAUAGGUGCGAGAUGUGUACGAGAUAGGUGCGAGAUUUAUACGAGAUAGGCUAAAAGGGAUUAAAGAAAAGUUCAAUCAGUUUACAAGCCUAGAGGAUUAAUAGUGGAGAGUCGUGGAGAAGAAAUUGAUGGAAGUGGAAAAGAAAUGGACGGAAGAGAAGAAACAUUCACCGGAGGCACCAAAAGUUGAAGGAAGGAAAAAGAAAAGAGGAAGGAGGAAAUUAAAUGAGGGUAUUUUCGUCAUUUCACUUCUAAUUUAUCCUAAAUGUCAACUUUUUUACAAUCAAUCCUAAAAAUCUUUAUCUACCCCAUUUUUGGCCUAUUUUUGUCAAUUCCCCAACUUUGACGGUAGAGGGUUUUGUAUAAAAGGCAAUAAUAAUAAUUCCUAUUCUUUUUAAUAUUAUUUAUUAAUAAAAAUAAUUAAAAGUUUAAAUAAUCCAUCACACAUAUACUUCUUAUCAGUUAUUAGAAUUAAAAAAAAAAAAUUAACAAAUAAAAUUUGUAAAAUUAUCAUACAUUGAGAACAAAAAAAAAAAAAACAUUUGUGAAAUAAAAAAAAAACUGUAUAAAAGAUAAAAAAUGAAUUACCUUAAUUUUAAUAAUAUUUUAUAUCUUAUCUUGAAAGAUAUAAAAAAUAUUAAAAUGUAUCUAUCUCGAAAUAGGUUUUCAACUACGUCCCAAGUGGAAUAAAAAAUUGUUACCAAACUCUUAAACAUAGAAUUUCAUAAUCUCUCCAUAAUUUGUACGUUAGUAUGAGUUUGUAGAGUGUGUUUGACCCAUGAAGUUAGAAGUAGUGUAUAAAAGUAGAAGUUGUAAAAUCCAAUUCUUGGUUGACCUAAAUAGUUGGCGGAUCAUUAUUAGAAAUUUAAUUCUAAGCACUCUACUUGUCCAACAUUACAAUUUAUUCAAUUAGAUAGUUAAAAAAAAAUGAAGUCACAAGGUUCUUUAUUAAUGUCCCUAAAAUUCCUUCUUCCGUCUAAUGCUACAAAUAUGAACAAUCAGCAUUCACGAAAGGACAAAAAAUGAACUACAUACAGUACAACAAGAAAACAGAUAAAGUCAAAGCCAAAGUACACUGUAUUGAUGCCAAACUUGUUUACGAAGCUCAUGAAAUAGAAGUUGAUGCAGACCAUUGGUUGUUUCACACCAACUACUUUUCUAUAGACAAAUAGCCUACCCAUAAAUUAAGAGACAAUAACCGAGGAGAGCAUAGAAGUUGGAAGGUAUUUACAUUGUUGUUGAUGCAAAGAGAUAGUAAGCAGAGGUUGUUAGAGGAUGUGGAACUUAAGAUCUACAAUAUGGUGGAUAAAUUAUUUGGGUCAAUAGUUAUAUUUCAGAGUUUGGAAUGAUGAAAAGAGUUUAUAUACUGUGAUAUUCCAUUCAAUAUACUUACCAUAAAAACGAGGUAGAAGAAAGGAAGAAGAAAGACUAACCUUGAAUCAUUAGCUUCAAGUGUCUAACAGUAGCAAAGGAUGGGCUGGUAGACGACGAACCCUAAGCAAAACCAAUGUGGACGACGGUGAGAGAUCAGAAUGUUGUUGUAAAAUCGUGAGAGGCAGGGUAUCACAGUCGUCGUGUUGGGUUUUAGCGUGGCUUUAGCAGUCGUGCUAGAGCGCACUAGAGAGCAAAAAGAAUUAGAUUGAAAGAGGCCGAAAAUGGGGGAAAAUAUUUGGAGGGAACUUCAAUAUUUAUUUCCCACUUUUUCUUUGUUGUUCUUUUCCACAUCCUAUUUAAAAUAAUGGGCUAUUAAAAGUUCGUUUUGGUGUAGUGCUAUUUGUGUCUCGAAUCGUCCAUUUUCGUUCAAACUACUUUAAAGAUACAAGUAUUAUAACCAACAACACGAUCGAAAGAAUUGGUCUAUGCAACUUCAACCUACGUGGCUUUAUCAGGUUCACACACACAAUGAGUGACUUUCCUUCGUUUGGAUCCAUUUCGAAAAUUGUACUCUAUGGCCCAAAAUGAAAGGCCCAUCGUCUAUUUACUCGAAUCCUAGCAAUAAUUUAUUCUCACUUAAAAUUUUAAACGUAUAUGGAAAGCCCACAAUGCUCGACCCAAAAUUAACGGAUAAAAAUACCAAACCAUAGUCUUGCCUAUUUGGUAGUUAAUUUGAAUCUCAAAGCCCGACCCCGAUUACAAGAACACUCUCUCAUGAGAGACCCCAUUAUAAGAACACAUUCUCAAAGUUUUUAACCACUCAUACUUUUUAUCCACUCUCCAACUAGAUAAUACAGAAGGAAUUUAAUUAGAGUAAUCACACUAAAACUUAAAAUGUUUAUAAGUGAGAAUUUCUAAAUAAAUGAAAUAGGUUUCUUUUAUAGGCUUUGAGUCUCACUUUUCUAAAAAAGAGAUAACCACAUCUUGCCAAACCCAAUACUUAAAAACAAACAAAUCAAAUAAUUAUUUUUACAAAAAAAAACUAAAAAAAUACAAGUCGAUUCCUAUUUAUUAAAAUAAUAAAGAAAACCAGUUACCAAAAUAUGAAAUUUGUUUUUAAAAAAUCUACAUCUAAUGAUCUACCAUUUUCAUAAAUUAAUAAUUCUUUUGUGAUUUCACAUUGAGAUCAUAAAUAACUUAAAAUUACCAUGUCGAAGGAAAUUUUGUUCGACAAGAGCCUAACUUAUAAAUGAAUGAUGGAAAAUAAUAUGGUGCAACCUUCAAAACAACAUAAAUAAGAAAAUAUUGCAACAUAGUUAGCAAAUAAGAGAGAAAGAGAAUGUAACCUGAAAAGGAAGUUUAUGAUUAAUUUCAUCAUUGUUGUGGUUUUGUCCAUGAUCUCUUUAAUAUUUUCUAUUAUCUUCAUUGCACUCCUAGUAAUUGAUACCCUUAGGCAACCACUGCUCAACAUCCUUCUUACAAAAAAAAUAGGCAAAAGACGAGGGGGCUUGUAGAGGUGAAUAAAACAAAGGGGGCAGAAUAGUAAAGGAUAAUGAAAACACAAAGAAAUGUAAUUACAGGGAGAACUAUUUGUGGGAGAAAUGGUAGAAUAAUUUGUAGAAAUUUGAUCGUCUUUUUUAUGUUAAGAAGACAAGAAGAACAAAGGAUAACAUAAAAGCAAAUUAGAAAUUCUGUGGAGUUAUUACGGGAAAAAACUAGCUCUGAGAGAAAGCUUGAAGAGAGAAAAUAAAUGAAAGGUACUCUGAUUUUGUGGACAAUGGCAAUCCACAACUCUGUUGUACAUUAUUUAAAAUAGAAAAUAGAAACUAGAACAUGAACCUCAUUGAUAAAUAAACUGUAGCCUAACAAAAACCCUAAACCCCGAAUCCCUAACCCCUAAACCCCUUUGCUAUAGUAAAUGGUAUUUAAAAAUCUCAAAUUAACUAUCUUAAACACUAUUUCAAAUCCUCAAUUUCCUAUAAUAUUUAUUAUUUACUACGAUAUUUGUUAAAUUAUUUUUUUGUGAAGUUACAAAACUAUACUUGUUGAAAUACUUUGAAAAUUAUUCAAAAGAGAUGGAAAAAAAAAAGAUGCAGUGGAAAAUACAUCCACGUAUAUUUUCACAAUUUCAAAAUUAAUUUGACUAAAUACAAUUUAAUUUAGUCAAACCCUAAACCCUAGACCCGUAAACCCCUAAACAAACUCUUUUGUGAAUGAUAUCUUUGCGCCUAUAGCUCCUUUGACCGGAGGUUAUCCCCUUUCCUCUCAUACUCUACUAGACUCUAUAAACUCCUAAUACUAGGAUUUUCAUAAUUCGAGAUCCGAACAAGGAGUUAGCUAUUUUAGUCAACUCCCUUCCUUGCAAAUCUGGACCCAAACACCCCAACAUGGUAACAAACGACUAUAAAAAAAAAAAAAAGUAAUAUCCACAAAAAUAGACAUGGUCCAAAUUCGAAAAAUACCUGUUUCUUGGUGAUGGAAUUGAGGGUUUGGGAGUGAUUGUGGUGUCCCCAUAGUUAGCAACCAUAUUGGUGGAGAUCAAGUAUUUGGUGUAAGUUAACAGAAGGUAUGAAGUAGAUGUUACAUAUUGCAUAUUACUGUCGCUCAUUCUGAACAGCAACCCUCCUUCACAAAACGGUAGGGGGGAAGGGGUUAAACUUCAUUUUCUUUUUACCAUUUUACCGAUAAUAAAAAUAAAAAAGUAGUCGUUGAUCAUCAAAAUAAAAAAAGACAUGGAGUGUAUUUGGGGCAGGAGAAUGAUUCUCCGAGAAUGAUAAAGCAAAUGGCGCUGUUGUUGGGGGUUCUUGGCACGGUGUAGGAACUUUAGUUGAACCUUGCUGAAACUUUUGUUAGUUAAACAAUUGAAAGCAUAUUUUUAUUUUUACAAUAAUAGCAGCCAUACACACAUAUAUAAUAAAAGUUUUACAUAUUCUUAUCUCUUGAAUUUAUCUUUUCUUAAAUAGUACCAUAUAGAAGAGAAAAUAUAAAAAGAUCGCAUGCUCCCUUUUCCUCUUCUUGCUUAUAGUUUUGCACGAUCUUUACUCUCUCCUUGGUUUUUGAUGCAUGUCUUCUGCUCUAAAUAACAUAGAAAAUUUUGAAGACAUGAUAUGAUUAAAUAAAGAAGAUUAAGAAGAAAGAAAGAAACUUAAAAGAUAAAAUAGUUUAGGGCAAAACAAUCUUCAAGAAGAUCCACCCUUAGAAACACAUACCUGAAACCGAAACUUGAAACAGAACCUUGAAACCUUGAACCCCAACAAACGAACCACAAAACCUCCAAACCUUUCAACCUCAAAACCCGAAAACUCCUAAACCCAAAACUUGAAACUCCAAACGCUCCAUCCCGAUGCUCGAAAUCACGAACCUCAAAUCGAUCCAUGCACCCUAAACCCCGAAACCUGAAACCCUAAAAUCCAAACCCCCAAACCCCAAAACUUCUAAACCCAAAACCUCGAAACCUCAAACUUCAAACCUCAAACGCUCCACCCCGGAGCCUGAAAUCACAAACCCCAAAUCGAUCCAUACAUCUUAAACCCCGAAACCUAAAACACGAAACCCUAAAUCCCUAAAAACCGUAAACCGUAAACAAUAAACCCUAAACUUUAGCCCCUAAACCAUAAACCCUAAAGUACCCCAAAACCACAAACCUCGAAACCUCGAAAAGUCUAAACCUUGAAACCUAAAACCCCUAACCCAACCCUCAAACCUCCAAACCCCCAAACCCCAUGAUAUAACUAAAUCAUGCAAACCGGAAAAACGAAACGCAUUUCUACCCUGAGAGCCUGAAAUCACAUGUAACUCCAAACUGAUCCAAUUACACCCUAAACCCUGAAAACCCCUAAAAACCUUAAAACCGUAAACCAUAAAUCCUACCAAUUUUAACCCUUAAACCACUAGUACUCAACCGCUAAAGUCUAACCAAAGUACCGGGUUAAACCACCGAACCCUGAACCCCAAACCAACGGAGAUACCCUGGAACCCCAAACCCUCAAUUCCCCAAUCUCGAAACUCUGAAAACCCUCAAAGAUCCUAAACAUCUUAAACCCUUGAAAGUACCUCUAUUUAUAACCUCAAUACACGCAAAAACCCCUGAACCUUGAACUGUCGAACCUCCACACCUAAUGAACCACUGACAAUUACUGAAACCUAAAACCCAAAAACUACAAACCUCGAAUAGCCACAUAUCCCACUAAGACCUAGUCCGAUUACCCCACAAAACCUUCCAAACUCCCAAACCCCUAAACCCUGGGUAAAAUCGAUAUCUAAAACCUGUAAUCCUAACUUCAAACUUUGACUUUGGUGGUAGAUAACAAUUUCUAUUAUUUAGGGAGUACCAUUCUAUGCAUUUUGCAUUAUUGGAAUCUGGUUAGAAAUUUUUAGUAUUCAUUAUUCCAUGAUUCGAAUUACAUUUGCAUUUUGGGUAGGUCAAACUUUGACUUUUCAAAGUCAUUGGUCAACAUUUUGACGUCUCAGAAUCUAAUAACCAAUUCCAUCAAUUCCGAGCUUAUAACUCUGAAUCCGCAUUAAACCCUAAACCCUGAAACCCAUAACGCUCCACCCUGAAUCCCAAAAUCGACGACUAUAUCACUGAACCAAUCCAUGCACCUUAAACCUCCGAAACCUAACAACUCGACUUAAACCCUAAACCCCUAAAAACCUAAAACCGUAAGACCUAUCAGAGGAUCCUAAUGGACUUUUAGACCCUGGGCUAAACCGAUAAAACCUAAAGUACCCGAACCCGAUUAACCCGAGUUACCCAAAAUUCCUUAAAUAACGGGUAAAUCCACUAAAGUACCCCAAUUGCACUCCGAACACUUGAACCAGAACUGUGAAACCAUUUGAUAAUCCCAAAACCACAAACUUCGAAACCUCGAAAAGUUGCUAGUAACCUUGGAAACCUCAAAAUACCUCUAUACCCAAACCCAAAACCUUCCAACCUCAACACCCACUAAUCCACUAUUCAACAAUUGGUUUAAGGCUUCAACCAAUAAACUCAAAACCUCUCGGGACAAUGAGACGGGUGGAGCCCUCGUUCAAGACCCAGACCCCCAACCUCUCGAGAACAACCUAUCUACUAACCCUUAACCCCGUAAGACCGAAUUCCAACUUGUACCCAAACCUCCAAACUCUCCACCACAAAUUACCCCUGAAACGCCAAACUUACUGGGCAAAAUCUGAAGACCUGAAAUCACCUAAGCAUAUCAAACUUUGAUCUGGUGGAGAUAACAAUUUCAUAGUUAUUUAGGGAAUAAUACUAUGUUAUUUUGGUCAUCAAUAAUUGAGUAUAGUCAGUUUGAAAUUUUAAACGGUGUUCUUACAUUAUGAUUCGAAUUACAUGCAUUUUGGGUAUCAAACUUUAAUUAAUAUUGGUCAUCGUCUCGAAAUCUAAUAACACACAGCCUUAAAACUCUACCCUCAACCCUAAACCCUGAAACCCCAAACGCACCACCCCAAAGCCCAAAAUCACGAACCUCGAACCAGUUCAUGCACCCUAAACCCAAAAAUUGAAACCGUAAAUCCCAAAUCCUCUAAACCCCUAAACUCCUAAACCUCAAAACUCGAAAUCCGAAAUCCGAAACCUGUAAUCCUAACUUCAAACUUUGUUGGUGGAGAUAAAAAUUUCUAUUAUUUAGGGAAUAUUCAUGGAUUAGUUUGAAAUAUUGAGUUUUUUAUUAUGAUUCGAAUUACAUGCAUUUUGGGUAUCAAACUUUGUUUAAUAUUGGUCAUCGUCUCAGAAUCUAAUAACACCCAGCCCUAUAACUCUAACCUAAACCCCAAACACUCCACCCGAAUCUCGAAAUCACGAACCCCGAACCGAUCCAUGCACCCUAAACCAGAAAUCUGAAAUCGCAAACCAUAAAUCCUAAACUUUAACCCCUAAAUCAUACACCCAAAGUACCCCAAACCUCAAACCACGAACCCCAAACCUCAAUCCCGAAACUGGAACCCAAAGUCCUAAACACUAAACCCUAAAUACCCCUAACCCUGAACCCUAAACCUCGAACCUCGAACCUGAACCUUGAACCUGAAACCCUGAAGCCAAAACCACCAACCUCGAAACCUCGAAAAGUCCAAACCUGGAAACCCAAACCGCAAACCUUCCAACCCUCAAACCCCAACCCCCAACCCCAACCUCAAAAGCUCGAAAACUCUAAACCUCGAAACCCAACCCCUACCUCUCAAACCAUCAAACCCUAAACCCUAAACCCUAAACCCAAAACCCUAAACCCUAAACCCCAAAACCCCAAAACCCCAAAACCCCAAAACCCCAAAAUGACCAAAUAAUCCUUAAGUGUAAGUUCGUAACUCACAAACUAACAAAAAGUUCAAAAUGUGUGAAAAUGCACUUUGAGACCUAAAAUGGCAACCAAGUAUGCAAGUGAAACAAACCUAGUCUUAAACAAAUCUAAAAUUUGUUCAAACUAUGUUUAAGUAUCACUUGAACUUUCAGAACGACCUAAGAACGUUUACUUGUAAGUUUGUCACUCAUAACCUACCAAAAAAUUCAAAAAGUACGGAAAAGAAAAAAACACUACAGGACCCAAAAUGGCAACCAAGUGUGCAAGUGCAACAAACUUAGUUCCAAACGAACCUAAAAAGUGGUCAAGGCGUGUCUAAGUAUUACUUGGACUUUCAAAACGACCUAACAAAGCUUAAGUGUAAGUUGGUAACCCAUAGCCUACCAAAAAGUUCAAAAAGUGUGAAAAGGGCACUUCAAGACCCAAAAUGGCAACCAGUGGGUAAGGUCAACAAACUUAGUUUCAAACCAACCUACAACGAGUUCAAAACGUGUCUCAGUAUCACUUGAACUUUUAAAACGACCUAAAAAUCUUACGUGUAGGUUCGUAACUCAUAACCUACCAAAAAAGUUCAACUAGUGUGAAAAAAGCACUACAAGACCCAAAAUGGCAACCAAGUGUGCAAGUGCAAUAAACUUAGUGCAAACCAAGCUAAAACGUGCUCAAAACGUGUCUAGGUAUUACUUGAGUUUUCAAAAUGACCUAGCAAAUCCUAAGUGUAAGUUUGUAACUCAUAAUCUACCAAAAAGGUUGAAAAAAGAAUUUCAAGAACAAAAAUGACAACCAAGUGUGUAAGUGCAACAAACGCAAUCUAGCCUAAAAUGUAAUCAAAAUGUGUGUAAGCAUCACUUGAAUUUUCAAAACGACCAAACAAUGCUUAAAAUGUAAGUUUGUAACUCACAACCUACCAAAAUUUCAAAAAGUGUGAAAAAAGUACUUCAAGACCCAAAACGGAAACGAAGUAUCUAAGUGCAACGAACUUAGUUUCAAGCCAUCCUAAAAAGAGGUCAAAACGUGUCUAAGCUUUCAAACCGACCAAACAAUACUCAAGCGUAAGUUCGUAACUCACAACCUACAAAAAUUUCAAAAAGUGUGAAAAAAAGCACUUCAAGACCCAACAUGUCAACCAAAUGUGUAACAAACAUAGUUCCAAACAAACACAAAAUGUGUUUAAAAGGACCUAACAAUGCUUAAGUGUAAGUUCGUAACUCAUAAACUAAAAAAAGUUCAAAAUGCUUGUGAAACAAGUAUGCAAGUGAAACAAACUUAGUCUUAAACAAAUCUAAAAAAUGUGAAAAACAAAACAAUGUUUAAGUGUAAGUUUGUAACUCACAACCUACCAAAAUUUCAAAAAGUGUGAAAAAAGCACUUCAGGACCCAAAAUGGCAACAAAGUGCGCAAAUGCAAUAAACUUAGUUCCAAACCAAUCUAAAAAGUGGUGAAGGUGUGUCUAAGUAUCACUUGGACUUUCAAAACGAUCUAGCAAAGCUUAAGUGUAAGUUGGUAACUCAUAGCCUACCAAAAAGUUCAAAAAGUGUGAAAAGAGCACUUUAAGACCAAAAUGACAACCAAGUGAGUAUGGUCAACAAACUUAGUUUCAAACCAACCUAAAACGACUUCAAAACGUGUCUAAGUAUCACUUGAACUUUCAAAAUGACCUAAGAAAGCUUACGUGUAGGUUCGUAACUCAUAAGCUACGAGAAAGUUCAAAAAGUGUGAAAAUAGCACUUCAAGAUGACAACCAAGUGUGUAAGUGCAACAAACUUAGUGUCAAACCAACCUAAAACGUGCUCAAAACGUGUCUAGGUAUUACUUGAGUUUUUAAAAUGACCUAGAAACUCUUAAGUUCUUCUGCCUUCUCCUUCAACGCUUAGACAGAUUGUUGAAAUUCUAUGUUUCUGCAAUGUUUCCCAGAACAUGAAACAUUCAUUAUGGAAAUAAGUACCAUGAAUACAAACCGUGAAGAAACAGUAAAAAACAGUCAAUACAAGAAGCAAGUGGAAGCUCAGAAGUUUCAUAUUUCAUCAGGAAGAUUUUCAUUUUGAUUGUCUAAUAUUCAACUCUAAUUACAUAAGGUGCAUUAGUGUAAGCAAAGACGGAAACAAAAGAAACAUAACUCACCUUACCGCCUUCUCUAAUUGAUCCAUUUGCAUCACGUACACAGUAAACCUGUUGCGUUUGGAACUGUUGAAAUUCAAUAAAAAGGAGUUAACAUCAUCUCAUCCUACAAAACAAAAUCCACAACUAUAGAACAAAGACUGUCAGAGCAUACAGCUACAAUGAUAAUGGGAGUGCUUCCCAUCAUCUUGGUCUCUCGUACCUCAACAUCUGAAAUGUGCAGAAUCUGUUUAUCAUAACAGAAAUAAUUACUUUUAAGUCAUAGAAAAAAGCCUUACAUUAAUUAGAAUACCAUCCACCUGUCAAGAUGUGUACAUACCUCAAACAAUAGCCAAAGCACAAGGGGUGUGUUUACGAGUGCUUGUAGCACAAGUAAUGCAAUUAUGAACCCUUCAAUAUAAAAAAAAUGAUUAAUAAUCAAAUACUCAGAUGUUUUCUUUCACUCUCGUACUAUUGUUUAAGUGCUUCUUGGUCAAGCACCUAGACCAAAAGGCUAUCUAUGAGCGUUUUCUAGUUUCUGAAAAAAGAAAUACUCUAAUGUGUGGUCGUACUAGCAUAAACAGUCAUAGAUAAUUAUGAGAUGAUAUCCUUCGUAAUGGGAUAAGAUAAUACUUACUAUUAUUUAGUAUUUUCUUUUAUUUAAUUGAAGAAAUAAUUGGAAAAUAAAACAGAAAGUACAAAAAUGAGUAAUAACCCCCAGUAAAGACCGGUAUGAUUCAAUUCAACAUUUUGUUUGGUCUCUCGACAUGAUGAUAAUUUUUACCUAGAGUGCUUCUAGGCCAUAAUGCAAAUAUUAACACGUGACAGAGUUCCCACAUAUGACUUUAUUCUCUCAUUGUUGCCCAUUAUGUAAAGUUGUCGAUGAAACACCAGCCAGUUUAUCAUUUGCCAUUUUGCUGAAAAAUUUAGGAAGCAGAUCAUCUCUCCUUUGGUUAAUCUGCCGCCCUACCAAACAAGAUUAUGAACCUUCUUUUAUGCACCCUCACUGGCACCCUUUACUGACUUUAAAAGAAUUACGUGGAUGCAUCUUAUUCGGAAAUUUUUACAGAUUCGCAUGGAAGGAACAGGAACAAUCGCCUCCUUAGUGAAAAGGCAGGCCUUAAGAUAGGUUUCUUAUUCCUUUUAAAAUAUAAUCUAUCCUGCUAUGACUUAGUGCAAUUUUUCAUGUUUCUAUAGCUCUUCCAAUCUCUAUUCUUGCAUCUCUUCUGACUGAUUGGAGAAAUCUCUUGUAAACUCUAUUCGCGUGGGUGUUUCACCAAACCUUUUGUAAAUUUCAUACAUCAAUAAAAUUACUUCUUAUAAAAAAAAAUAAGGGGAAGAAACUACGUUUUAGAGACAAAUGGCUCUAAAGCACACACAAACAUUCUCCAUCUCACUAUCUAUCUGCCCUAUUUCCAAUUUAAUCCAGCAUUCAUUUGGGGUUAUUGUAGGUUCAUAUUUAGAAAUAGUCAUUCAUGUUGUGAUGCAAAAUCCCUUUUAUGUAUCUAAAACUAAAAUCACGAAAAUCAUCGUGGACAUGUAGCACAACAAACUAAAUUUCCACGGGAAGCCUUUGCUAACAAAAUGGUAGACAAUAAUUACUCAAGCAAGAGAGAAGGACUAUAAUUAAUUAACAGAAGUACAAAUCAAUCUAGGUGCACAACCACCAAGCAAGAGAGAAGGAACAAUAAACUUCAAUAACAAAAGAAAGGUAGUAUCCAGACUAUCCUUACUUGUUAUCGAAGAAGAUACCUUGGCUUCGGUAAGCCCGAUGCUCUGUCAUACAACGUUCAUUUACCUCAGUACUGCAAUGUUUCUUCAAAGUUUGGGAAUCUACCUAAAACAUAAAUAUAUAUUACAACUUGAAAACCUCCAUGUCAGAAACUUUACUUUAAUUAUCAAACUAGAUGCUAUGCAAGAAUUAGUUAGCAGAAAUACAACAUAAAUAGUAAUGAUAUUCUUUGGGGAGUGGAUAAAAGUAUCUUUCAUCUUCGAAAUAAGCUUAGCAGUUAGCAUUAACCUUUAUAUUUUGAUUACUUCUUAAACUUCAUCCACGAAAUAUGGUAAAGAGAAAGACCUAAUCCAUAAUGCUAAAGAGGAAAAGACCAAGUCAGAUUCCUUUAUUCAAACAGGUUAGUAUCACAGCUCCAAAGGAAAAAACUUACGGAUCUCUACGAUGAAUUUUCUUGAAUGUGAAAAAUAAGAUCGAUAAAUAAAACUUUUGGCUACAAUUAGCCACAGAAACAUAAAGUUGUGACAUGAAAACAAAAUCUAACAGAUAAUUAACUAUACAGUUUGUAGGCAAAAUACCAAAUAGCCCAUAAUCAAGAUCACAACUCAAGCAGACAAUAAUGUGUAGUUUAUCAUUUCCAACUAAAUAAUUCAAUAAUACAUAAGGUCAAAUGGCCAAAUAAUAUGGCCUUUCACAUAAAUACUUGCUCCUGAUUUUUUUGAACGAUAAUGUUAUCACUUGUCUCCCACGUUUCACGAAGGCGCCCUCAACCAUCUAUCAAUUCCAAUAUAAGAAAAUUAUUUUACAUAUUAUAUUAAACAUUGAAAAUUCUUUUACAUAUGAUUUUUUUUUUUUACGUAUUCCUAUUGAAGAAUCUCAUUUGAGCAUUUUAUGCUCAAUUUGACUUGAAAGAAACAACAGACUUUCAAUUAGAAGUAAGCAAGAUGCCAAGUUUUUUUGAACAACUGUUUUUUUUUUUUUUUUUGCUUUAACUUGUUGUAAAUUGGAGAUGUUUUCCAUAACUACUUCGGCUUGGAGCUCUCCUUAUGUAAUUUCAAGAAAUAGAUAAAAUCCAAGUUAAACUAGAUAAGUAGAAAAGAUAUAAUCUCUCUAGUGGAGGUCGGGGCACACUUUGUAAGUCAGUUUUUUCCUAUAUACCUACAUAUUAUAUGUCUAUAUUCUUAAUGCCAAAAAAGAUGAUUCAUAAAGUGAUUAAUUGGAAGGUGGUGUCUUGCUCGCAAGAGGAUGACGGACUCGACGUCGAUGGUGUAAAGUUGAAAAAAUGCAACCUUCUUGCUAAAUGGGUAUGGAGAUUUAUAAAUGAAAAGAAUUCCCUUUGGGCUAAAAAAGUGGUGAAGAGUAUCCAUGGAGAAAGUUAAUUUGGAUGGCAUACUAAAGGAAUUGUCACUUGCAGUCUCCAUAGUCCCUGGAUUAGUAUUUCGAGAUGCUAGCUUCAAGUGGAUUCCUAGGCAUUCAUCAAGUUCGGUGAUGGUUGAAGAAUAGCAUUUUGGAAUGAUUCUUGGGCAGAUGUUUCUUUUCCAAGAUUGUUUCGAUUGUCUUUGAACUCUAAUAAUGGAGAUGUAAAGAAGUUUUGGGACUCUUCCACUACUUCAUGGGCUCAAAAUUUCAGUAGACUUCUAAAAACUUCAGACUAGAUGGAAGGAAACACCAAGGGAGAGCUAACAACAAUGCAGCUUUGUUGAAAAAAAUAUCCCUCCCAAGUCAUCCUUCGAUCUUGAGUGAGUGACUAGAACCAGAAUAUUUCAUAAGAACUUUAGAGGGCCAAAAUAAUAAAAGCAUUCGUCGAACCUCAUGUGAUCCACUAAAACAAACCUAAAAGAUAAUUGGCUGAAAAACCAAGAUCAAGUUAUUCUAUACUCAAACCAAAGUAGUUCCACAUUGCUCAACAAUUGACUUCAAGCGAUCUGGAACUUCACAUUGUCGAGCUUGUGAGGGAAAUAAAGAGACUUGUUUCUCAGUAAUUAAAUCCUCCCUUGUCUGAAAGCGGUAUUAAGAUCAGAUUCUAGAGGAUCCUUAAUUGACUGAUCAAUGUUUACAAUGAGUAGUGGAGGCACUUUUGAUUCAGAUUUUACCGAAGGAGCUCAAGGUAUCGUGCAAUGUGAUCGAUUUUCUUGGGACACAUAAAUAAAUCUAACGCCAAUUGAAACAUAAGGACUAGUAUUUGGAGCAUGAUAUUUCUUCCUAUCUCUACAUGUAAAGAUCACAAGAAAAAUAAGAAUUUCACAAAAUAACAGAAAACAAAAUUAGACAAAAUCAGGGCAUGGCCGAGGAUGAGAUUAGAGAUGAAGCGGUGAUUAGUAUUUAUUGAGAAUGGGAGAAAAGUAGAAUGUCAAACCAAUCCAAGAACAUACCUCACAAAUCUUCGGAGAGACGAUCGUGGUCAAAGCAGUGGUUGUGGUCGAGGAUGAGAUUAGGGAUGAAAGGAUGUUACGAAAGGUAUAUCAACAAGAAGAAGGAUAAAACAACAACAUCCUGUCAAAAAUCACUUAAUGUGAUUGAGAUCUUUUAACAUGACUGCUUGCGAACUAAAGAAAAAUUUAGAAUGUGACUGAGAACUUUUAGCACAACCGGGCAGCAUCUUCAAUAACAGAAAAACAUGCAUAAUGUAGGAAGACAGCAGAUUUAAAAUUAUGACAGUGUAUUUAUGAAUGUCAGGCGAUACAUUAAUGUUCCAAAAUUCAACCAAAGUAUGGGAUGAAAGAUAUACAAGAAUCUUCCAUGAUAAGGGCAAGACCAGGAUAUCCUUAUCCAAAAGAAAGAAAAAAAUAAUCAACCAAAGUAAAUUCCAUGUAUGAUUGGAAAUUAUGGCCAAGGCGAAGGAUGAAGUGGAGAAUAGAAGGAAUAUUGAGCAGGGUACGACUUACCAUUAGCUUAGAUCAAAACCAGCAUCCGCAUUUAUGGCAUAAAGAAAUUUGUUUGCCAGCUGCUCCUUGCUGCAUUGAUCACAAAUCAUAGAGUUGUGAAAAUGAAAACUUAUGCAAGUUUUUUUUAUCCUUUUUAGAAAAGAUGUAUAUGUUUUAGUUCAUCCACAAAUCAACAGACUUAAUAAACUGAUGUAAUUCAAGUUGGACUUAGUUUUUCACAAUGAAUUCUCCACCAAUAGUGGCUAAGAGAUGGAGUAUAUAUUGAGGAUUGUAAGUAGUUACAAGUAGUUGAAAUAACAGUUUUUAUGAAACAGUUUUAAUUGCAGUCUUAACAGCUAAACAGUUUAAUUAUUUAAACUGUUUUACUAACUAACUACAGCUGUUUAGCCAUGGCAUUCUAUAUUACAUCAUUCCACCCCUAGCAUGGAACUCGACCCGAGUGACUUAGUUGACAAGGCAGAAAUCAUCUGGGGCAUAGUACUGUUUCAGGUCUGCCACGUUAAAAAUAGGAUGAAUGUGCAAGUCUGGUGGUAGUUCAAUUCUGUAAGCGUUAUCUCAAAUCUUUUCUAGGACACGAAAUGGUCCUAAUUGUCUGUCUUUCAGUUUGUGUUCCAGUUGGAAAUCAAAUUUUUCUGAGGUGAAUCAUUACUAAGUCUCCCUCAGUAAAGGUAGCUUGUCUUCUCUUUUUGUCUGCUGCCUUUUUGUAGGACUGAGUUGAUUCUUUUAGGUGGUUAUGGACUUCUUCGUGUAAAUUCUGAAUCUUUUCUACCAUCUUUUCUGCUUCUGAGCUAGUGUCAAUAGUUGUGGGGAGUGAUGCUAGGUCAAAGGUUGUUAGUCUUGGCUGUUUUGUGUAUACGACCUCAAAUGGACAUUUGCCGGUUGAUCUAUUCUUCAUAUUGUUGAAGGCGAAUUCUGACUGUGCAAGAGCUAAGUCCCACUGUUUUGGUUUGGAUCCACUAAGACAGCAUAUUAAGUUGUCGACAGUUCUAUUUGUAACUUCUGUUUGGCCAUCUGUUUGAGGGUGUGAUGUUGUGCUAUAUUUCAUUCAAGGUUGUGUCAAAUUUGCUCCAUAAUGUCUUCCAGAAAUGGCUUAGGAACUUGACAUCCCGAUUAGAAACAAUGGUCUUUGGUACUCCGUGCACCGAGCGAACUAUCUCUCGACAGAAUAAAUUAGCUAUGUAGGUGGCAUCAUUUGACUUCUUACAAGCCACAAAGUGUGCCAUUUUACUGAAUCUGUCGACUACAACCAUGACUCAGUCAUACUGCCUUUGAGUUUUUGGUAAUCAGAGCCGAAAUCAAUUGAUAGAUCUUCUCAAAUGGAAAUUGGGGUAGGUAAUGGUGAGUACAGGCCUGCGUUUAUACUUGAACCUUUAGCUCUUUGGCAAAUAGGGCACCUUUUAAUAAAGUUGUUACAGUAUCUUCUUAAUUAAGGCCAGUAGUAUCUCUUAAAGAUUAUUUCAAAAGUUUUAUCCUGCCCGAAGUGUCCAGCCAAUCCUCCUGAAUGAGCCUCUUUUAGUAGUGCUUCUAGAAGUGAUGUGUGUGGGAUACACAACUGAUCUCCUUUGAAUAGAUAUCCUUCCAUUAUAUGGAAGUCUUCCGCCUUGGUAGUGGCUGCAUUUGGUCCAUGUCAUGGCGAAGUCAACGUCUUCCCCAUAUAGGUUAGGUAAGUGUUUGAAUGCCUCGAUCUCCAUGGAUAGAAUAGUGAGUAAGGAGCUCUUCCUGGAUAGUGCAUCUGCCACCUUGUUCUCCUUACCAUUUUGGUGCCUAAUGACAAAGUCGAACCUUUGUAGGAAGGAGAUCCAUCGUGCGUGCAUCCGAGUAAUAUUCUUUUGUGACUAGAGAUCUUUCAAAGAGAAGCGGUUCGUUAGGAGUACAAAUUCCCUGCAUAGGAGGUAAUGUUCCUACUGUUUGAGUGCUCGGACAAGGGCAUAAAGCUCUUGUUCGUAAGUGCUCCAGGACUGUCUUGUUGUGCUCAACUUCUUACUGAAGUAUUCAAUAGGGUGGCCUUGCUGUGAUAACUCGGCUCCAAUUUCGGUUCCGCAAGCAUCAACAGCUACUUCAAAGGGUGAUGCGAAGUUCGACAACUGUAGAAUAGGGCUGGAAGUUAGUCUUCUUUUUAUCUCUUCAAAGCUCUGCUGUUGCUCUUCGUUCCACUUAUAGUUCCCUUUCUUUAGGCAGUCGGUUAAGGGGCCACUAUUGAGCUGAAGUUUCUGAUGAAUCUUCUGUAAAAGGAUGCCAAGCCAAGGAAGGCUUGUACCUCCUUGAUGGAGGUUGGUAUUGGCCAAGACUUUAUGGCUUCUGUCUUCUUUGGUUCCAUACCUACUUUUCCUUCUUUGAUUACGAAGCCGAGAAAGACAAUUUCCUUGGUGAGGAAUGUACGUUUCUUUGGAUUAAUGUACAGUUCAGUUUCGGCCAGGACUUGGAACAAUUUUCUUAAGUGCUGAAUGUGGUCUUCAGUACUAUUGUUGUACAAGAGGAUGUCAUCAAAGUAAACCACUAUGAACUGGUUUAGAAACGAGCACCUGGUUCAUCAACCUCAUGAAGGUGCUCGGUGCAUUGGAUAAGCCAAAGGCCAUCACCAACCAUUCAAAUAACACAUGGACCAUCAAGACGACUUUUUGUGAUGCUGAGUUUCAAGCCAGACGUGAGAAAGGGCUCUGCUUUUGUUGUGAGGAAAAAUUUUGUGCAGGCCAUAGAUGUAAGGUGAAGGAUCAGAAGGAACUCAGAGUGUUAGUUGUUCAAGCAAAUGGGGAGGAAUUGGAAGUAGUGGAAGAGGAUGAUCGUACAGAGGAACUUGAGGUAAAAGCUAUUGAACUUGAUAUAGAACAAAAAGAACCAGUGAUAGAAUUGUCAUUAACUUCAUGGAACACCGGAUUAAAUGCGAUAUCAAGUGCUGCUUGAUUAUCACACCACAAUUUUGCUGGUGUGGUGAUUUCAAAUCCCAACUCAACAAUAGUAAAAAAUUUGAUAUAUCAAUUCACACAAAACUGUGCAAUUGCUCUAUAUUUUUUAUUAUGCACUUGAAUGUGACACCACAUUUUGUUUUUACUUUUCCAAGACAUCAAAUUGCCAACAAAAACAAAAUAUCCUGAAGUUGAUCUUUUGUCUUCUUUAGAUUUUACCAAUUAACAUCUGAGAAACAUUCAAUAUUAGUAUGACUAUAAUCCUUAUAUAAUAAAAUCAUCGAGAGCAGCCUUCAGAUAACACUGAAUCAUUCCAAAGCAGCUGAAUGAUCAACUUUAGGCAUGACAUACACUGGCUCAUAAUACUCACUAAAUAGGCUAUGUCGAGUCGAUUCGCUGGAAGGUAAUUAAGUUUUCCCUCUAACCUCCUAUAUCUUUGAAGAUCUUUCAACAUUCUCCAUCUUUUGUAGCUAUAAGUUAGGCAUCGUUGGGGUACUACAUGGCUUGGCACCUACCUUCCAUGUUUCAGUCAACAAGUCCAUAUUUUCUCUGUGAUAAUAGUAUUGCUUUCUUGCCUGUUUUUACCUCAAAUUCCUAGGAGGUAUUUCAACAUGCUCAAAUCUUUUAUUUGGAAUUGGCAAUAGAGAAAAGUCUUCAGGGACUGGACAUCUAAAGCAUCAUCACCAACAACCACAAUUGCAUCAACAUAUACUACGAUUAGGAUCACCCCACUCUCGGAUCUUUUAAAAAAGAUUGAAUGAUCUAACGUGCUCUUUUGCAUUCCAAAACUUUCGAUCACCUUAAUAAAUUUUCCAAACCAAGCCUGUGGACUAUGUUUUAGUCCAUCCAAAGAUUUACAAAGGCGACACGCCUUUCCAUUCUUCCCCUGAGCAACAAACCCUAGUGGUUGCUCCAUAUACACCCCUUCUUGAGGAUCACCAUGAAGAAAUGUGUAAGGACCCUAGAUAGAAAAAUAGUGGAUUAUUAGGAGAAAAUGAAAAUGGUUGUUAGUAAGGUCAUAUAGUAAAUAGAUGGUAAGUUGGUUAGUUCUUUUUGUUAUAAAUAGUGGAGAGGGGUUGGAGAGAGGUGUGAAGAAUUUUGAGAAAGUUUUCCUUGUAAGGGAACCUUAGGAGAGUCUAACCCUCUCAAAAGGCUAGGGUUACUUGUUACUUGUUAUUAAGAUCUUCUAAUAUAUAUUUCAUGUUUGGAUGUAUUUUAAGUAUUCUUGAGUUCAUCUUUUCUCCUUGAGGUAAUCCUUGUUAGGUGGGAUCCUAACAAAUUGGUAUCAGAGCCGUAACAUCUUGGGGAUGACACGGCUUGGAUGCAAAAACAAAUGGAGGAGAGGUUGGAGAAGAAUGAGAAGGACAUUAGGGAACUUAAAGAUGUAACUUUGGAGUUGUCCAAAAGCAUCGAAAGGCUGGCAGAGGAAUUACGAGAAAACAAUGUUAGUUGCCGACGGGAAGAAUCUGCUACGUCGGAGGGAUCGGUGUUGAAAAUGAAAGGAAAGAUGGAAGAAGACUCGACCGCAGUUGAGAGAGGGACUUGGGAGCAAGCACUUAAAUGGGCUGCUAAUUGCAAACUUGAGGUGGAUGAGAGGGGAGAAACUCCAUGGACAUGGGAGCAUAUGCAGAAAUGGAUUGUGGAUUGCAAGGCAAAAAGAAUAGAGAGGAGUGCUAAAACAAUACAUCAAACGCUUUCUGAAGGGCUGCAAAGAGAUAAAGAAAGAGCGGAGAAGAAACUAGAAAAAAUUAAAGUUGAAGAAAAACAAAAAUGGAACAAUGACUUGAAGAUGAAGGAAUCGAAGAACGACCAUGAAAAAGAUGAAGGGAAGAGGAAGCCAAAUCUAACUGUGUAUUCCCAUGGCCGACGACUAAGGGUGGGGUGGUCAGAGACAAACACUUGGUGGAAAUGGAAACACCGAGCAGAGAAGGCGGAAGCAUGGGAAAGGAGGCAAACACUAUGGAUGAGAAGGAAGGCAAAGAAACGAUUGAGGAAGCGAUCAUUGAUACUUGGUGGUAGUGAAGAAAACAAAAAGAAGAAUCAAACAGUACCUAUGUGGAACAAGUCGACCUGGAUACGAUCUGUGAAAAUAGAAGAAACGGCUCAUUGGAGUGGCAACAUUGAGAGGUUGAUCAUAUAUAUAGCCAAGAUUUUGUUGAGGUACGUUACUUUCCUUGCCUUUCUUUUGUGGCAUGCGAGUUAUAUCAAAGUAGGGAAGGGAUGAGGAAGCUAGGCAAUGAAGAAGAUGAAUAAAGGAAUUUCGAAGGUCAUCGGAGUAAGAUAGAAUGGGUAACGACAAGGAAGAAAAUGGCAAUGGAAUUAGUACAGGGAUCAUAGAGAGGCUGGCGAAUGGAAACAUAUUGGGUUGUGACAGAAAAUCGAGCGCGGGAUGAAAAUGUGUAAGGACCCUAGAUAGAAAAAUAGUGGAUUAUUAGGAGAAAAUGAAAAUGGUUGUUAGUAAGGUCAUAUAGUAAAUAGAUGGUAAGUUGGUUAGUUUUUUUGUUAUAAAUAGUGGGAGAGGGGUUGGAGAGAGGUGAAGAAUUUUGAGAAAGUUUUCCUUGUAAGGGAACCUUAGGAGAGUCUAACCCUCUCAAAAGGCUAGGGUUACUUGUUACUUGUUACUAAGAUCUUCUAAUAUAUAUUUCAUGUUUGGAUGUUUUUUAAGUAUUCUUGAGUUCAUCUUUUCUUCUUGAGGUAAUCCUUAUUAGGUGGGAUCCUAACAAAAUGCACUUUUAAUAUCAAGCUGAUGUAAAAAAGUUGGAAACAAAUAUUGAACCUCUCCUCUCCUCUCACCCACCCUCUUCUCUCUUCAUUCCGGCCACACCUUCUCACGGUGACGUCGACGACAACGCCAAACCCGGGGAGUUACAACUCCAUCUUUUUCAGAAAUGGAAGUCAAAAGUUGAAAAAUGGUAGACACUUUCUACUGUAUCUAGUUCGAAAAGGGAGGUUCAUUAUUGAAGAUGUAGACUUCCAAAAAAUCCUCACUUUAUCCAAGAUCCAAUUAGAGUGGUUCAUUGAUUCAAUAGAUGUUCUUGUAAAAGAACCAAACUGGAAGUUUUUCAACAAAUAUGCGAGUGAUGAAACCGAAACAACAAAGCUAUCCAAAUUCUGAACCCCAUCUGAUUGGUUUCUGAGGUGUGUUGCUCGAAACUUCUCUGGAAUACAAUCCUUCAUCCAUCUACUCAUGAGAAACCAGACAAGGUUGGGUCUCCUUCCUCAACAUGAUCAGGUCCUUUUUAUUGACUCAUAAUUACACCUCCUUUUAAAAAAUAUCAAGCUGAUGUAAAGGCCAGUGACUGAUUGAAGUUAGUGAAAUAAACAACCUCACAAAUGUCAUUUUUAGUACUCGAAAAAAGUAUCAGCAUAGUUAACGCCAUGUUUGUGCGUAGCCUUUCACUACAAGGUGUACUUUUAAUUGAGCGACAAAACCAUCAGGAUUAACUUUAAUUGUAACCACCCAUUUGCAACUGAUAUACUUUUUUCGUGCAGGGAGAGAAACUAAAUCCCAAGUACAAUUAUCAUCUAAAGUAAUCAUCUCCUCCACCAUUGCAACACACCAACCAAGAUGAGAAUAGGCUUAAUGAUACAAACUCUAAUGAUGCAAUGAAAGAACAUGCAGAAGACAACUAAUGGUUAUAUGAAACAGAAGAGGAAAUAAGAUGAGCACACUUAAGUUUACCUUUACGAAGAGCAAUAGGAAGAUCAUCACUCAUUUCUGGAUCCAAUGACGAAGAAGCCUUAGGGGUAGGCAUGGAAUUGAAGAAGGUUAUCGUCGAUCAUAGACUUCAGUGAUGGGUUGACAAAUAGAAGUAAACACACGUGAAGAUGAACCACAAAGAGGAUUAGAAGGAGAGAUAACAUUGUAGAUAAAGAAAUCAUCCUUUGACUCUUGAUACUCCCUCGACUCAUAUUCGAAGAGAAAGAAGGUGAGGAAUAAAAGGAGGAAUGUUCAAAGAACACGAGAAUAACCAAAAAGAUAUAUUUUAAGGUCUUUGGAUCCAACUUUGUAUGUUGAGGCCGAACGUCUUGGACAAAUCAAGUAUAACCAAUUAUUUUGGGUGGAAUGAGAAACAAAUGUUGUUUGGGGCAUAAGAUACAAAAAGGUAUCUCACCCUUAAAAAUGGAAGAGGGCAUGCAAUUUGUUAAGAAACGGGCUAUGGAAACAUCAGCCCAAAAAGAAAUUGGAAAAUUCAUUUGAAACAUUAGGACUAGUGGUUUAAAAAGGAUGACGAUUCUUUCAUUUUGCAAACCCACUGACUUCAUGAAAUUAAUAAAUAGAAGUGUGAAAGUAACAUAGACAUGAAUAUAUAAGCUAGAGCAAAGGCAUGACUACUAUACCUGACUACCAUUACAUAGCGCUAAAAGAAAUUGUAAUUUUCUUUUUCAUUCAAUAUGUAAUUUGACGUAAUAGUAAUAGUAAUUCCUCUUUCAAACAACCACUUUUUUUUUUCAACAAAGAGGACAAGGCUUAUGAUCCCUAAAUCGUUAGCAAUUAAGAUGCAGCAAAUAAGGUAGCUAAGAUGCAGAAAAUAAGAAAACACCCCAAAUCACUACAGUGCAUAAGAAAUCUAUCACAUAAGCACAAAGAUAAAUACUGAGAGUAUUAGUUGAAACUUAGCAAACACAAACAGAGGUCACCGAGGUAACCACCGAGGUAUUCCUAUUCCCUGAACUCCAAGGUCACCGAGGCCAAGAAUACGACUUCCAUCUGUCAAGACAAUCAUGUCAACCUGUAGUUGGAAGAAGAAAAUACAAUGAACUUCAAAUAUGGUGUUGCUGGAAAUUAAAAGAGAUUUUCAUUUUUAUUUUGCUCAAAAUCAAUGCUCUUGAGCUUUUAAUGUCUCGAGGAAUGUGAAAGUUUCCCAAUAUAUCGUGUAUGGAAGUUUAAACUUUUCAAAGAAAACAAGGGUGAUCAACAUACAAAAGCCUCCUGUGGAUAGAAAAUUAAUCAAACAAAAAUUCGAUUGUUCUGUAGCAGUUUGACUUUGUUGUUAAGGAAAUUAAGAGUGAUAAGAAGGCGAGGAGUGACUUUGAGUGGUGGCCAUUCGACAGCCAAGCAACUACACUCAAAGUUGAAGGUCGAAUAGGCAGCAGGAAGAAACGAAGAAGAAGAAGAAGAAAAGUUUUCGAUCUAUCAAACAUGAUCAUCAUACAAUAGACGAAAGUCAUUUAAAUUAUCCAAAUAUCUUUUGAAGUAAUUUUAACAUUUUCAAAAUAACUCUUAAUCAUGCUCUAAAUAUGGAAUGAAUUGUCUAUCCAACUACAAAUACAAAAGUUUUUCUAAAUCACUCUAACUAAUUAUACAAAUUCCACAACACAUAGAUCACAUGCUUCCCAAGAACCCAUAAAAUUGUUCAAUGCGGCAUUUCAUCAAACAGUUGGUGGAUGGAGACAACAAAAACAAGUGUUUAACAAAAUUAUCUUAGAAACAAACACAUUAAUAUUACCUGAAGAUGGAACUCCAAUUGAACAGCCUUGAAAAAGUGAUGGAGAAACAAACAGAACAUAAAGAUUGUGGGACUCCUCAACUCCAAUAAAUCCUGCAAUGGAAAAAUGGGUUAGAAGGUGGAAAAGCAUAGUAGAGGAUUAUGAUAAUGAAAAUGGGUAGUAAUGUUUUUCAGUAGCUAUCUUUUUCUUCUCUUUUUUUUUUUCAUGUUGUUGAUGGUUGUUCUUGAUUGUCUUUAUUUAUUUUUUUUUUCCUUUUUUGCAUUUGGGAAAAAACAGUUUGUUGACUAAGAGGUGAUGAUGCUGGUGAGGGAAUUUAUUAAAGUAAUGAAUACUUUUUGGAGGACUUAAACAAGUAAAAGGACGAAAUGAAGCAAGCUCAAGCAACAAAUUUUCUGUUAAGUAAGCAUAAAUAUUAACUAGAGGCUUAAAUAAAAUAUUUCACCACCACCACCACAACAACAAAAAGCCCAGAUAUAUCGUCAUUGACAACAGAAACAGAGCAAUAUAAGCAAAAUACAUUACAAGGAAAAUAUGGAGAUAAAAGACAUGAAGGUUUCCCUUUCACUUACAAAGAGGAUCAUUAAGUAACUUCUCGUUGUUAGAACCAAUAUCUAGCAUUACUCGAAGAAUCUGUCAAUUAAACAAGAGUAAACUUAAUGAAAAAGUGUGGUUAAGAAAGUUGCUAAAAAAUGUCACCAUUAAAUGAUAUUAGUAUUCUUAGAUAAUCUACAAAUUUCAUGAAGAAAAGACUGCAGACUUGAGAGUUACCCCCACUAUCAGGAAUACUUGCUGAAACGGGAAAAAGAUAUCGGCAAAUUCUAAAUACGGCACACUAAAACUCUCACUCUCCUGGUUCUUGCUUAAAAUCACAUGUACAUGUCAAUGCUGAUAGUGCCUCUUCCACUGAAACAAACAAAAUUUCAGUACCAAUUAAGAUGCAAAAAAUAAGGUAUUUAUGAUGCAGAAAAUAAGGAAACACCCCACAUCACUACAGUGCAUAACAAAUCUAUCACAUAAGCACAAAGAUAAAUACUGAGAGUAUUAGUUGAAACUUAGCAAACACAAAAAGGACAUAAGCUUAUUCUCAAAUUUCAGUACAUAUACUCAUCAAAAUUCAGAAUCUCACGUCACAAACCCGAGCUUAGUGCUCAAGGGUUGACAGUCAUGCCUUUUAUGCAAGAUCUAAGAAGCUAUGAUGCUCAUUAUUGUAAUGAAAAACUUUUGAAAAAUUUUGAAAUUUGGACAAAAUUUGAAAUCCCCCAAGGUUAGACUAAACAAGUGAGUUAUUAUCCACCCUUCACUUAAAACAUUGCUUGGAAGUAGCCCAACAUGAGAAGAUAAAACAAUCUGAAUGGGAUUUUUCUGAUGUAUAAUGCAUAUGUUGUUUUGUUUUUUAGCUCUUAAUUGUCUCGCUGUUUUACGUUUUACAUUUGCAACUAUCUCUUUUGUUUCUUUGGUACACACACAAGAACCGGUGGGUAACCUUUCUAUGGUUCUAGACUUAGUUUCUAAGUUUGACUGCUCCCUUCGGAGUGACAACAAGCCUCGUUUUCCCCUACUAUGGAACGGGGAGGAUUCCUCCUCUUUUCAAAGCCCUCGUCAAACUCAAUGCUAAGUUUGACUGCUCCCUUCGGAGUGACAACAAGCCUCGUUUUCCCCCUAGUGUGGAACGGGGAGGAUUCCUCCUCUUUUCAAAGCCCUCAUCAAACUCGAUGCUAUGUCUAGAACGCUAAGAGUAGGUGGUCUGGUUUUGGUUAGGCCAUAAGUGAAGUUUCCCCUCAUUUUUUAUGGAUUUUUCUGAUGUAUAUUGCAUAUGUUGUUUGUUUUUUUUAGCUCUUAAUUGUGUCACUGUUUUACGUUUUACAUUUGCAACUAUCUCUUUUGUUUCUUUGGUACGCACACAAGAACCGGUGGGGUAACCUUUCUAUGGUUCUAGACUUAGUUUCUAAGUUUGACUGCUCCCUUCGGAGUGACAACAAGCCUCGUUUUCCCCCUACUAUGGAACGGUGAGGAUUCCUCCUCUUUUCAAAGCCCUCGUCAAACUCAAUGCUAAGUUUGACUGCUCCCUUCGGAGUGACAACAAGCCUCGUUUUCCCCCUAGUGUGGAACGGGGAGGAUUCCUCCUCUUUUCAAAGCCCUCAUCAAACUCGAUGCUAUGUCUAGAACGCUAAGAGUAGGUGGUCUGGUUUUUGGUUAGGCCAUAAGUGAAGUUUCCCCUCAUUUUUUAUGGGAUUUUUCUGAUGUAUAUUGCAUAUGUUGUUUGCUUUUUUUAGCUCUUAAUUGUCUCGCUGUUUUACGUUUUACAUUUGCAACUAUCUCUUUUGUUUCUUUGGUACGCACACAAGAACCGGUGGGGUAACCUUUCUAUGGUUCUAGACUUAGUUUCUAAGUUUGACUGCUCCCUUCGGAGUGACAACAAGCCUCGUUUUCCCCCUACUAUGGAACGGGGAGGAUUCCUCCUCUUUUCAAAGCCCUCGUCAAACUCAAUGCUAAGUUUGACUGCUCCCUUCGGAGUGACAACAAGCCUCGUUUUCCCCCUAGUGUGGAACGGGGAGGAUUCCUCCUCUUUUCAAAGCCCUCAUCAAACUCGAUGCUAUGUCUAGAACGCUAAGAGUAGGUGGUCUGGUUUUGGUUAGGCCAUAAGUGAAGUUUCCCCUCAUUUUUUAUGGGAUUUUUCUGAUGUAUAUUGCAUAUGUUGUUUGUUUUUUUUAGCUCUUAAUUGUCUCGCUGUUUUACGUUUUACAUUUGCAACUAUCUCUUUUGUUUCUUUGGUACGCACACAAGAACCGGUGGGGUAACCUUUCUAUGGUUCUAGACUUAGUUUCUAAGUUUGACUGCUCCCUUCGGAGUGACAACAAGCCUCGUUUUCCCCCUACUAUGGAACGGGGAGGAUUCCUCCUCUUUUCAAAGCCCUCGUCAAACUCAAUGCUAAGUUUGACUGCUCCCUUCGGAGUGACAACAAGCCUCGUUUUCCCCCUAGUGUGGAACGGGGAGGAUUCCUCCUCUUUUCAAAGCCCUCAUCAAACUCGAUGCUAUGUCUAGAACGCUAAGAGUAGGUGGUCUGGUUUUGGUUAGGCCAUAAGUGAAGUUUCCCCUCAUUUUUUAUGGGAUUUUUCUGAUGUAUAUUGCAUAUGUUGUUUGUUUUUUUUAGCUCUUAAUUGUCUCACUGUUUUACGUUUUACAUUUGCAACUAUCUCUUUUGUUUCUUUGGUACGCACACAAGAACCGGUGGGGUAACCUUUCUAUGGUUCUAGACUUAGUUUCUAAGUUUGACUGCUCCCUUCGGAGUGACAACAAGCCUCGUUUUCCCCCUACUAUGGAACGGGGAGGAUUCCUCCUCUUUUCAAAGCCCUCGUCAAACUCAAUGCUAAGUUUGACUGCUCCCUUCGGAGUGACAACAAGCCUCGUUUUCCCCCUAGUGUGGAACGGGGAGGAUUCCUCCUCUUUUCAAAGCCCUCAUCAAACUCGAUGCUAUGUCUAGAACGCUAAGAGUAGGUGGUCUGGUUUUGGUUAGGCCAUAAGUGAAGUUUCCCCUCAUUUUUUAUGGGAUUUUUCUGAUGUAUAUUGCAUAUGUUGUUUGUUUUUUUUAGCUCUUAAUUGUGUCACUGUUUACGUUUGCAAGUCUCUCUAUUCUUUCUUUUAUAUGCAAUGUGGUAACUAGGUCUUGCUAGAACCGGUGGGCUAACCUUUCUAUGGUUCUACACUUAGUUUCUAAGUUUGACUACUCCCUUCGAAGUGGCAACAAGUUUUGUUAAUGUCCACCCUUUUCUAAAGGGAUUCAGUUCAUUGUGGCUAGACAAACGGCUCCUAACUCAUGUUAUUUAUUAAAACCAUCUCAAUUUCUAAAGAGUACCUCCUAUCCUUUUUUAACUCUAUCUAGGCUAGGUUUGGACUAAGCGCAUCAUAGGUAAGUCACGGCAAAGCAACAAAGGAAGACAAAGCUAGAAAAGUAUCCAUGCACUUAUUUAUUAUAUACAUGCAAUCAAGCAUUCACAACACACAUACCAUUUUCUCAAUCAAGCAUUCACAUCUCAACAAGAUAUCGCUAACAUCUCAAUAAGAUAUCGCUAAAAAGGGACGUAAACCAAAAAAGACGGCAGCUUAUUCUCAAAUUUCAGCACAUAUAAUCAUCAACAUUCAGAAUUUUACAUCACAAACCCAAGCUCAGUGGUCAAGGGUUGCCGGUCAUGCUUUUUAUGCAAGAUCUAAGUAAGCUAAUAAGGUAUAAUGCUCCUUAUUGUAAGGAAAUUUUUUUUAGAAAUUUUGAAAUUUGGGCAAAACAUUUGAACCCCCAAGUUUAGACUAAACAUGUAAGCUAUUGCCCACCCCCACUUAAAAAAUUGCAAGCUUUUGAAAAUAAAUAUAAAGGGAGAAGAAUAAGGGGGAACUUUGGACUCCCCUGGAAGGAUCGACAUCCUUGACUUUGGUUUUGAAGCUUGCAUGGAUAAAACCUCUUCAUUUCUUUUUCAUUGAUUAAUUAUCCUUGUUCCUGAAAAUCAAAGGAAAUUCUCUCAAUUUCAUUUAUUACUAAAAUUAGGAUAAUUAUAGUAACUGUAUUUUUAACUCUUUUGGUAGUUUAUGUCUUGAGUGUGUUUUCAAUGGUAUUUCUAUAUAAAGUACAAAGUUUAGGGGUAUUCUGUAUAAUGGAACCUCUUUAACAAAAAAAUAAAUAAAUUCAAACCCAUGAAGUCUAACUAACCGAACACAAUUAGAUUUCUAGUAGCAGUAAUUUACCACAGAAACAGAAAUCAAAGGUUAGAAAAUAAUUUAAUGGCAUUUCUAUAAAUUUAUCACAUGAUCUUUCUUCUUUUUUUUCUUUCCUUUUUUGAUAGAACUCUAACCAUGUAGUUAAGCUUCUACUUGUAGCAGUUAAUUAAAAUAGAGACAGAAACUAUAGAUUAACAAACAAUUGGAAGGCCUCUCGAUCAAUUUAAUGCACAAUAAGUUCAUAAUUGUGUGUUUUUGGAAGUAUGAAAAACGAAAAAUCGCUAUUUUCGCUAAAGGAGAAACCUCUUCAUUCCUCUUUCGUUGAUUAUUCAUCCUUGUUCUUCAAACCUCAAGCCUUAAAAUUGAGGAAGUAGAGGAAAUUCUCUCAAUUUACUUUAAAGGAAGGAUCAUGUUCUCUCCUACAAAGGGUGUCUUUCUAAUUUUCUUAACUUUAUGACUUAAUACGGUACUGUUGUAUAAUGCAAAUCCAUAUAGAAGAAACACCAUUUAUAGCACAGCCAAGGAAAAUGAAGAUUCAAUAUAAUGUACUGCAAUAAAAUUAAAAUACUAAAGAAUGUGCUAGGAUGUUAGCGUAAGCCAAAAAGUAAAAUCAAUGGCAAAAGAAGGGAAAAAUUGAAGGGCAUCAACAAAAAAUGUAACCUUUAAGUUGCUAUUUCCUUAUCUUGUUCCCGCAGAAGAUCAUCCUUGGCCCAAGCCUGUGAAGAAAUUAUAGAAUAAAAGGGUUAGUGAAGAAAAAAGCAGAUCAUUACAAAACAUUCUUAUGUAAGCACAUCAAGCAUGAGGGGGGAAAAAAAAAACACACUGCGUCGUUGUCUAAUUUAAUUGAUUGCAAUUCCCUAUCUUUAUCUUCUAUUUCCCUUUCCAGUUUGCGAAUAGCCUGGUCUCUUUCACAUAGCCUGUUCCUGUACAGCCACAAAAUAUCUCAUUGAAGUAUUAAAGUAGUCCGCAUCUAAAUAGUGAUUUGCCUAACUCUUCAAAAAAAAUAUUAAGAUUUGAGUUUUGGCAAUAUGAACUAGGAUCUCCUUUACAACUGUGCUCUAAAGAUAUUGAAGACAAUUUAUAGAAUAAAUCAAUCUUAUUAAUGAUAAUAAUAGAACCAGUAAUGAGAUUUUAAAGCAUAUUUCUUUGCACCUCCUUCUUUAUCUUCAUUUAACUCAGUUAUUGUUACUUUGGACGUACUCAUUGUUUCUUUCCCAUGAAAUGUAAUGUCUUGUUUUCAAAUGUGUAGGAUUCUUUUUCGUAUUUCAUUAAACUGUAUAUUCUGUUCUCAGGGCCACAUCGUCUUGAACAGACCGUGGGCAUUUGUGCAGUGGCUGGAAAAGGCUACAAUAGAGGGAGAGUGAGAAUUUUAUGUAAAAUCAUUGAAGUGUAGAACUCUUAAUAAAUAUUGCUAUUUGAAUUCUUAAGUAUCUAAUUCUUUUUGUUUUCUUUUGUUGUAGAUAUAUACUGAUGGCAUAACCAUAUCAUAUAUUUUUUAAUCCGCUUCCUAAUUUAUCUGAUGGAGGUUAUCCACAGCUGCCUUUCCAUAUUUCUACAUCAAACCAGAUCAAAAUCAUAAAAUUCUGAGAAAGUUUUUCCCUAAGGAAUAUGGCCCCAUAAAUAAUAUCGAUCCAAUUGGCAACUCCCCUCAUCAAAAUCGAUGCUAUGUCUAGAACGCUAAGAGUAGGUGGUCUGGUUUUGGUUAGGCCAAAAGUGAAGUUCCCCCUCUUUUUUUUUUUUAUGACAAAUCUUUAAUUAUCGAAAUUCAAAUAAAGAAUAGGUUUUGCUUUCAAGUAAUCCUCUGAUCAGGUUUACCUCAUUAAAGAAUUCAUCUGCAUCUGCCCACUGUCCACUAACUUUCAUCGACACAUAACCUUUUGUAUUAUAUUAUCCCCUUCAUCUCCGUCCUUGGAUGGCGGCAGCAAGCGCACUACCACCUGAAAAUCACAGAAACAGUUCACACUAGGCAAAACUUCCAAACUUGAAUCUUAAACUAAAACUGUCACUACACCACCGAAAUUAAGACAAAUAAUCCAAAACCCCCAUAAUCAUACCACAACACGUAAAAUACCUUCAUACCCGAAUCAGACAAUCCAGAGAUGGAAUUCUCAGGAACGGUCUUCAUACCUUCCGCUUAAGUGGGUUAGAAGAGGGAGACCUAGGUGGAAGCGGGCUCUUCAACUUAGCCGGCGAGGGUUUGGAAUCAAGAACCAUGGAGUCGGGAUCUGACGGUGACGGUGGAACAAAAGGACUUUGGAAGACGAAUUGGGUUUCCGAGGGGUCUGCCGCUCUUGAUUCUGGCGCCAUUAGGGCUAGGAGAAGAUGAUGGUGUGGAUCGGCAAGAUGGGUUACUCACAGAGAGCGAAAGAGAAGGGGAGAGGGGAGAGGAAGUAGAGAGAGUUACCGUUGGAAGAAGGAUGGGGAAGAAAUUUGACGGAGAGAGAGGGUUUUGUAUAAAAGGCAAUAAUAAUAAUCCAUAUUCUUUUUAAUAUUACUUAUGAAUGAAAAUAAUUAAAAGUUUAAAUAAUCCAUAAACAUAUACUUCUUAUCGGUUAUUAGAAUUAAAAAAAAAAAAGUCAACAAAUAAAAUUUAUAAAAUUAUCAUACAUCAAGAACAAAAAAAAUACAUUUGUGAAAUAAAAAAAAAUGUAUAAAAGAUAAAAAAAUGAAUCACCUUAAUUUUAAUAAUAUUUUAUAUCUUAUCUCGAAAGAUAUAAAAAAUAUUAAAAUGUAUCUAUCUCGAAAUAGGUUUUCAACUACGUCCCAAGUGGAAUAAAAAAUUGUUACCAAACUCUUAAAUAUAGAAUUUCAUAAUCUCUCCAUAAUUUGUAUGUUAGUAUGAGUUUGUAGGGUGUGUUUGUCCCAUGAAGUUAGAAGUAGUGUAUAAAAGUUGAAGUUGUAAAAUCCAGUUCUUGUUUGACUUAAAUAGUUGGCGGAUCAUUAUUAGAAAUUUAAUUCUAAGCACUCUACUUGUCCAACAUUACAAUUUAUUCAAUUAGAUAGUUAAAAAAAAUGACGUCACAAGGUUCUUUAUUAAUGUCCCUACAAUUCCUUCUUCCAUCUAAUGCUACAAAUAUGAACAAUCAGCAUUCACGAAAGGACAAAAAUUGAACUACAUACAGUACAACAAGAAAACAGAUAAAGUCAAAGCCAAAGUACAUUGUAUUGAUGCCAAACUUGUUUACGAAGCUCAUGAAAUAGAAGUUGAUGCAGACCAUUGGUUGUUUCACACCAACUACUUUUCUAUAGAAAAAUAGCUUACCCAUAAAUUAAGAGACAAUAACCGAGGAGAGCAUAGAAGUUGGAAGGUAUUUACAUUGUUGUUGAUGCAAAGAGAUAGUAAGCAGAGGUUGUUAGAGGAUGUGGAACUUAAGAUCUACAGUAUGGUGGAUAAAUUAUUUGGGUCAACAGUAAUAUUUCAGAGUUUGGAAUGGUGAAAAGAGUUUAUAUACUGUGAUAUUCCAUUCAAUGCACUUACCAUAAAAACGAGGUAGAAGAAAGGAAGAAGAAAGACUAACCUUGAAUCAUUAGCUUCAAGUGUCUAACAGUAGCAGAGGAUGGGCUGGUAGACGACGAACCCUAAGCAAAACCAAUGUGGACGACGGUGAGAGAUCAGCAUGUUGUUGUGAAACAAUCGUGAGAGGCAGGGUAUCGCAGUCGUCGUGUUGGGUUUCAACGUGGCUUUCGUAGUCGUGCUAGAGCGCACUAGAGAGCAAAAUGAAUUAGAUUGAAAGAGGCCGAAAAUGGGGGAAAAUAUUUAGAGGGAACUUAAAUAUUUAUUUCCCGCUUUUUCUUUGUUGUUCUUUUCCACAUCCCAUUUAAAAUAAUGGGCUAUUAAAAGUUCAUUUUGGUGUAGUGCUAUUUGUGUCUCGGAUCGUCCAUUUUCGUUCAAACUACUUUAAAGAUACAAGUUAUGAUAACCAACAACACGAUCGAAAGAAUUGGUCUAUGCAACUUCAACCUACGUGGCUUUAUCAGGUUCACACACACAAUGAGUGACUUUCCUUCGUUUGGAUCCAUUUCGAAAAUUGUACUCUAUGGCCCAAAAUGAAAGGCCCAUCGUCUAUUUACUCAAAUCCUAGCAAUAAUUUAUUCUCACUUAAAAUUUUAAACGUAUAUGGAAAGUCCACAAUGCUCGACCCAAAAUUAACUUAUAAAAAUACCAAACCAUAGUCUUGCCUAUUUGGUAGUUAAUUUGAGUCUCAAAGCCCGACCCCAAUUACAAGAACACUCUCUCAUGAGAGACCCCAUUAUAAGAACACAUUCUCAAAGUUUUUAACCACUCACAUUUUUUAUCCACUCUCCAACUAGAUAAUACAGAAGGAAUUUAAUUAGAGUAAUCACACUAAAACUUAAAAUGUUUAUAAGUGAGAAUUUCUAAAUAAAUGAAAUAGGUUUCUUUUAUAGUCUUUGAGUCAAACUUUUCUAUAAAAAAAAUGGAUGUGAGAUAACCACAUCUUGCCAAACCCAAUACUUAAAAACAAACAAAUCAAAUCAUUAUUUUUACAAAAAAAAAAAAAAAAACUAAAAAAAUGCAAGUCGAUUCCUAUUUAUUAAAAUAAUAAAGAAAACCAGUUACCAAAAUAUGAAAUUUGUUUUUAAAAAAUCUACAUCUAAAGAUCUACCAUAUUCAUAAAUUAAUAAUUCUUGUGUGAUUUCACAUUGAGAUCAUAAAUAACUUAAAAUUACCAUGUCGAAGGAAAUUUUUUUCGACAAGAGCCUAACUUAUAAAGGAAUGAUGGAAAAUAAUAUGGUGCAACCUUCAAAACAACAUAAAUAAGAAAAUAUUGCAACAUAGUUAGCAAAUAAGAGAGAAAGAGAAUGUAACCUGAAAAGGAAGUUUAUGAUUAAUUUCAUAAUUGUUGUGGUUUUGUCCAUGAUCUCUUUAAUAUUUUCUAUUAUCUUCAUUGCACUCCUAGUAAUUGAUACCCUUAGGCAACCACGGCUCAACAUCCUUCUUACAAAAAAAAUAGGCAAAAGACGAGGGGGCUUGUAGAGGUUAAUAAAAAAAAGGGGCAGAAUAGUAAAGGAUAAUGAAAACACAAAGAAAUGUAAUUACAGGGCGAACUUUUUGUGGGAGAAAUGGUAGAAUAAUUUGUAGAAAUUUGAUCGUCUUUUUUAUGUGAAGAAGACAAGAAGAACAAAGGAUAACAUAAAAGCAAAUUAGAAAUUCGUGGAGUUAUUACGGGAAAAACUAGCUCUGAGAGAAAGCUUGAAGAGAGAAAAUAAAUGAAAGGUACUCUGAUUUUGUGGACAAUGGCAAUCCACAACUCUCUUGUACAUUAUUUAAAAUAGAAAAUAGAAACUAGAACAUGAACCCCAUUGAUAAAUAAACCGUAGCCUAACAAAAACCGUAAACCCCGAAUCCCUAACCCCUAAACCCCUUUGCUAUAGUAAAUGGUAUUUAAAAAUCUCAAAUUAACUAUCUUAAACACUAUUUCAAAUCCUCAAUUUCCUAUAAUAUUUAUUAUUUACUACGAUAUUUGUUAAAUUAUUUUUUUGUGAAGUUACAAAACUAUACUUGUUGAAAUACUUUGAAAAUUAUUCAAAAGAGAUGGAAAAAAAAAAGAUGCAGUGGAAAAUACAUCCACGUAUAUUUUCACAAUUUCAAAAUUAAUUUGACUAAAUACAAUUUAAUUUAGUCAAACCCUAAACCCUAGACCCGUAAACCCCUAAACAAACUCUUUUGUGAAUGAUAUCUUUGCGCCUAUAGCUCCUUUGACCGGAGUUAUCCCCUUUCCUCUCAUACUCUACUAGACUCUAUAAACUCCUAAUACUAGGAUUUUCAUAAUUCGAGAUCCGAACAAGGAGUUAGCUAUUUUAGUCAACUCCCUUCCUUGCAAAUCUGGACCCAAACACCCCAACAUGGUAACAAACGACUAUAAAAAAAAGAAAGAAAGUAAUAUCCACAAAAAUAGACAUGGUCCAAAUUCGAAAAAUACCUGUUUCUUGGUGAUGGAAUGGAGGGUUUGAGAGUGAUUGUGGUGUCCCCAUAGUUAGCAACCAUAUUGGUGGAGAUCAAGUAUUUGGUGUAAGUUAACAGAAGGUAUGAAGUAGAUGUUACAUAUUGCAUAUUACUGUCGCUCAUUCUGAACAGCAACCCUCCUUCACAAAACGGUAGGGGGGAAGGGGUUAAACUUCAUUUUCUUUUUACCAUUUUACCGAUAAUAAAAAUAAAAAAGUAGUCGUUGAUCAUCAAAAUAAAAAAAGACAUGGAGUGUAUUUGGGGCAGGAGAAUGAUUCUCCGAGAAUGAUAAAGCAAAUGGCGCUGUUGUUGGGGGUUCUUGGCACGGUGUAGGAACUUUAGUUGAACCUUGCUGAAAUUUUUGUUAGUUAAACAAUUGAAAGCAUAUUUUUAUUUUUACAAUAAUAGCAGCCAUACACACAUAUAUAAUAAAAGUUUUACAUAUUCUUAUCUCUUGAAUUUAUCUUUUCUUAAAUAGUACCAUAUAGAAGAGAAAAUAUAAAAAGAUCGCAUGCUCCCUUUUCCUCUUCUUGCUUAUAGUUUUGCACGAUCUUUACUCUCUCCUUGGUUUUUGAUGCAUGUCUUCUGCUCUAAAUAACAUAGAAAAUUUUGAAGACAUGAUAUGAUUAAAUAAAGAAGAUUAAGAAGAAAGAAAGAAACUUAAAAGAUAAAAUAGUUUAGGGCAAAACAAUCUUCAAGAAGAUCCACCCUUAGAAACACAUACCUGAAACCGAAACUUGAAACAGAACCUUGAAACCUUGAACCCCAACAAACGAACCACAAAACCCCCAAACCUUCAAACCCCAAAACUCCUAAACCCAAAACUUGAAACUCCAAACGCUCCAUCCCGAUGCUCGAAAUCACGAACCUCGAACCGAUCCAUGCACCCUAAACCCCGAAACCUGAAACCCUAAAAUCCAAACCCCCAAACCCCAAAACUUCUAAACCCAAAACCUCGAAACCUCAAACUUCAAACCUCAAACGCUCCACCCCGGAGCCUGAAAUCACAAACCCCAAAUCGAUCCAUACAUCUUAAACCCCGAAACCUAAAACACGAAACCCUAAAUCCCUAAAAACCGUAAACCGUAAACAAUAAACCCUAAACUUUAGCCCCUAAACCAUAAACCCUAAAGUACCCCAAAACCACAAACCUCGAAAGCUCGAAAGCUCGAAAAGUCUAAACCUUGAAACCUAAAACCCCUAACCUCCAAACCCCCAACCCCCAAACCCAAAAACCUCGAAACCUGAAACUUGAAAACCGAAACGCUCUACCCUGAGACCUGAAAUCAAGAACUCCAAACUGAUCCAUACACCCUAAACCCUGAAAACCCCUAAAAACCUAAAACCGUAAACCAUAAAUCCUAAAUUUUAACCCUUAAACCAUAAACCCUAAAGUAACCAAAGUACCGUAAACCACGAACCCCGAACCCCAAACCACGAACCCUGAACCCCAAACCCCAAUCCCCAAUCUCGAAACUCGAACCCUAAAAUCCUAAACACUAAACCCUAAAGUACCUUUAACCUCAAACCCCAAACCCCGAACCUUGAACGUCGAACCUCCAACCUUGAACCCUGAAACGAAACCUAAAACCCAAAAACUACAAACCUCGAAACCCAACCCACAAACCUUCCAACCCCCAAACCUCCAAGCCCCAAACCCCCAAACCCUGAAAAUCGAUAUCUAAAACCUGUAAUCCUAACUUCAAACUUUGUUGGUGGAGAUAACAAUUUCUAUUAUUUAGGGAGUAUCUAUGCAUUUUGCAUUAUGGAUUGGUUAGAAAUUUUUAGUUUCUUAUUAUGAUUCGAAUUACAUGCAUUUUGGGUAUCAAACUUUGAUUAAUAUUGGUCAUCGUCUCAGAAUCUAAUAACACACAACCCUAUAACUCUAACCUAAACCCUAAACCCUGAAACCCCAAACGCUCCACCCUGAAUCCCAAAAUCACGAACACUGAACCAAUCCAUGCACCUUAAACCUCGAAACCUAAAACCCUAAACCCUAAACCCCUAAAAACCUAAAACCGUAAACCAUAAAUCCUAAACUUUUAACCCCUAAACCGUAAAACCUAAAGUACCCCGAACCCGAAACCCAAACCCAAAAUCCUAAAUAAUAAACCCUAAAGUACCCCAAACCCCGAACCUUGAACCCAGAACGUGAAACCUAUAAUCCCAAAACCACAAACUUCGAAACCUCGAAAAGUCUAAACCUUGAAACCCAAAACCUCUAUACCCAAACCCAAAACCUUCCAACCCUCAACACCCAAACCUCCAAACCCCAAAACCUCAAAACCUCGAAAAGUCUAAACCUCGAAACCCAACCCCCAACCUCUCAAACCUUCCAACCCUUAACCCCUAAACCUUCCAACACCCAAACCUCCAAACUCCCAACCACAAAACCCCUAAACGCCAAAACUCAAAAUCUGAAACCUGAAAUCCUAACUUCAAACUUUGUUGGUGGAGAUAACAAUUUCUAUUAUUUAGGGAAUAUCUAUGUAUUUUGUAUUAUGGAUUGGUUUGAAAUUUUAAGUUUCUUAUUAUGAUUCGAAUUACAUGCAUUUUGGGUAUCAAACUUUAAUUAAUAUUGGUCAUCGUCUCGAAAUCUAAUAACACACAGCCUUAAAACUCUACCCUCAACCCUAAACCCUGAAACCCCAAACGCACCACCCCAAAGCCCAAAAUCACGAACCUCGAACCAGUUCAUGCACCCUAAACCCAAAAAUUGAAACCGUAAAUCCCAAAUCCUCUAAACCCCUAAACUCCUAAACCUCAAAACUCGAAAUCCGAAAUCCGAAACCUGUAAUCCUAACUUCAAACUUUGUUGGUGGAGAUAAAAAUUUCUAUUAUUUAGGGAAUAUUCAUGGAUUAGUUUGAAAUAUUGAGUUUUUUAUUAUGAUUCGAAUUACAUGCAUUUUGGGUAUCAAACUUUGUUUAAUAUUGGUCAUCGUCUCAGAAUCUAAUAACACCCAGCCCUAUAACUCUAACCUAAACCCCAAACACUCCACCCCGAAUCUCGAAAUCACGAACCCCGAACCGAUCCAUGCACCCUAAACCAGAAAUCUGAAAUCGCAAACCAUAAAUCCUAAACUUUAACCCCUAAAUCAUACACCCCAAAGUACCCCAAACCUCAAACCACGAACCCCAAACCUCAAUCCCGAAACUGGAACCCAAAGUCCUAAACACUAAACCCUAAAUACCCCUAACCCUGAACCCUAAACCUCGAACCUCGAACCUCGAACCUUGAACCUGAAACCCUGAAGCCAAAACCACCAACCUCGAAACCUCGAAAAGUCCAAACCUGGAAACCCAAACCGCAAACCUUCCAACCCUCAAACCCCAACCCCCAACCCCCAACCUCAAAAGCUCGAAAACUCUAAACCUCGAAACCCAACCCCUACCUCUCAAACCAUCAAACCCUAAACCCAAAACCCUAAACCCAAAACCCUAAACCCAAAACCCUAAACCCUAAACCCCAAAACCACAAAACCCCAAAACCCCAAAACCCCAAAAUGACCAAAUAAUCCUUAAGUGUAAGUUCGUAACUCACAAACUAACAAAAAGUUCAAAAUGUGUGAAAAUGCACUUUGAGACCUAAAAUGGCAACCAAGUAUGCAAGUGAAACAAACCUAGUCUUAAACAAAUCUAAAAUUUGUUCAAACUAUGUUUAAGUAUCACUUGAACUUUCAGAACGACCUAAGAACGUUUACUUGUAAGUUUGUCACUCAUAACCUACCAAAAAAUUCAAAAAGUACGGAAAAGAAAAAAACACUACAGGACCCAAAAUGGCAACCAAGUGUGCAAGUGCAACAAACUUAGUUCCAAACGAACCUAAAAAGUGGUCAAGGCGUGUCUAAGUAUUACUUGGACUUUCAAAACGACCUAACAAAGCUUAAGUGUAAGUUGGUAACCCAUAGCCUACCAAAAAGUUCAAAAAGUGUGAAAAGGGCACUUCAAGACCCAAAAUGGCAACCAGGUGGGUAAGGUCAACAAACUUAGUUUCAAACCAACCUACAACGAGUUCAAAACGUGUCUCAGUAUCACUUGAACUUUUAAAACGACCUAAAAAUCUUACGUGUAGGUUCGUAACUCAUAACCUACCAAAAAAGUUCAACUAGUGUGAAAAAAGCACUACAAGACCCAAAAUGGCAACCAAGUGUGCAAGUGCAAUAAACUUAGUGCAAACCAAGCUAAAACGUGCUCAAAACGUGUCUAGGUAUUACUUGAGUUUUCAAAAUGACCUAGCAAAUCCUAAGUGUAAGUUUGUAACUCAUAAUCUACCAAAAAGGUUGAAAAAAGAAUUUCAAGAACAAAAAUGACAACCAAGUGUGUAAGUGCAACAAACGCAAUCUAGCCUAAAAAUGUAAUCAAAAUGUGUGUAAGCAUCACUUGAAUUUUCAAAACGACAAACAAUGCUUAAAAUGUAAGUUUGUAAUCACAACUACCAAAAUUUCAAAAAGUGUNNNNNNNNNNNNNNNNNNNNNNNNNNNNNNNNNNNNNNNNNNNNNNNNNNNNNNNNNNNNNNNNNNNNNNNNNNNNNNNNNNNNNNNNNNNNNNNNNNNNNNNNNNNNNNNNNNNNNNNNNNNNNNNNNNNNNNNNNNNNNNNNNNNNNNNNNNNNNNNNNNNNNNNNNNNNNNNNNNNNNNNNNNNNNNNNNNNNNNNNNNNNNNNNNNNNNNNNNNNNNNNNNNNNNNNNNNNNNNNNNNNNNNNNNNNNNNNNNNNNNNNNNNNNNNNNNNNNNNNNNNNNNNNNNNNNNNNNNNNNNNNNNNNNNNNNNNNNNNNNNNNNNNNNNNNNNNNNNNNNNNNNNNNNNNNNNNNNNNNNNNNNNNNNNNNNNNNNNNNNNNNNNNNNNNNNNNNNNNNNNNNNNNNNNNNNNNNNNNNNNNNNNNNNNNNNNNNNNNNNNNNNNNNNNNNNNNNNNNNNNNNNNNNNNNNNNNNNNNNNNNNNNNNNNNNNNNNNNNNNUUUGGUUGGAACAAUAUCAAAUUUUGAAGUUGUAUCGUGGGCGCCUAUUGUGCUAUUUUUAUAUUAUAAUUUUAAAUCUCUACUCAUCUACAACAUGACCGCAUAGCGCAGUGGAUUAGCGCGUUUGACUUCGGAUCAAAAGGUCGUGGGUUCGACUCCCACUGUGGUCGAUUUAAUUUUUUGCUUUAUAAAUUAUGGGAUUUAAUAUAAUUAUGUUUUUUAAAAAAAAGAAAGAAAUAAAGAAAAGCACUUAUUUUUAAUUUAAUUUUGUAAAGCAAUGGAGAUGAGGUAGAAUCUCAUUCCCAAUCUAAAAGCAAAUAUAGCAUUUGAGAGAAUAAAGCAGAGAGACCUCCAACAUAUUUCCAAUCAACACACAUCUCCUACUUACCAUUCAAACUGAAAUCUUUGAAUUUCCCAAGUCAUUCAAACCUCAAAAGUCUAUACCAUAAUACAAUAAUAAUGUAAUUCCUGGACUUGUUUAAUAACAAGCAGUCUUCAAGCACAAUUCUUCUUUUUUUUUUCUUUUUUUUUAUUCAAGUCAACAAAAGCCUUUGAGAUACAACAUCAAAAUGAUCUCCAACAUUAACAAAGAUGGAUCAAAAUCUUCAAUAAACAAGCAAAAACAGAUAUAAUAUCAUAUCUAUAUUCUGCCCAAAGAAGAGGGGAAACCAAAAGCUCUCAUCUUUAUACUCCAACACUCACAAUACCAUGAAAGCAGAAAAUCGGAAAAAGAAAAAAAAAACUGUAAACUCCGCGCGAUCAUCCAUGGCCAAGUGGAGGGUUUGAAAAGAAACUAUAACCAAAAGCUCUCCUCUUCUUGUUGUGUCAUCUCACCAAACACGCCAAGUGGGAGGGUUUGAAAAGAAACUAUAACUCACUGUCAUAAAGCAAAUGGGAGUCCAUGAUGAAGAGAUCUUCCUCAUGGUAGCUCGACCUGCAGAGCUUUCACUAUCAUCUUUGGAAGUUUUGUUCAAUUUAUGUUCUCCAAAAAUCUCCUCAGAGCUGCACUGUGAACUACAAAAAGCUUUUCCAUCCCUGAUAUAGUAAAAGGAACAAUCACAUAAGCAAAAGAUAAAGUUUGGAGUUGGAGUUCAUAAGUUACAGAAAUUCUUACAAAUCAGCCAAACAAACAAACCUGCAUAAAUAAAUAUCAUGCUCUUCUUUCAAAACUUUCUUGCAUGAGUAACAGAUUUGCAAAUUUGCAUCCACAACUCCGUGAUCAAACCCUUCAGGGCAACUUCCCAACGGAGAUGAUUCGAUCCCAGGCUCUUCAAUCGUACUGGAACCAAUGUUUUCAUCUGUGUGACAUUCCAAAAUACAGUCACCAAAAAUGUGUGUUGUCUUUGGGUUUGGACCAUGAGAAAUUAUGCAGGUAUAGUCCUCGGAAAGUUCUAUUUCUCUAGCAGUAAGUGAGCCUACAUAAGCAUUGCUUGAGCCAAUAGUUAUAGGCAAGGAACAGGAUUUGAUUGGCAAAGAAUUUUCCCUUUGAGGGCUAUUGUUAAUCAUUGAAAGAUGGUGUUAUUACUUUCCAGUGGAAAAUUUUCAGUACUUGGAUCAGAAUUUUGAGUCAAGUCGAUACCAGAGGAGGAAAAGCUGGCAGCAUUUGACAAAAUGAUGCAUUAUUUUCAAAGGGUGGUUCAGAUUCUAAAGCAGAAAAUUCUCCAUUGCAGAUAUUAUCUAUGGCUCCGGAAUUGGAGCUUGGAAUUUUGGCUUUGGAAAGUGACGAGAUUGUAUAAUUGCUAGGCAAAGAAUAAGAUUUCAAAGAAGAACCCAAAUAUUUGAUAUAAUGGUUCGAGGAUUUAGAGAUCUUAGUUUUAAUUUGUGGUCCAAAAAUUACAUUCUUCCUCCAGUUUGAGUCCCGAGGUUCACUGGUAGUUCCACAGUCAUCAACAACAAUAGAAUUUAUGAUGCCAAGACCGACUUCACUAGAAACAAACUUAUUUUGACGACCACUUUCAGUUUCAGCAGAUGAUAUGGAUUUAAAACCAAAAGGGUUGCUUAGAUUGGAAAAUAGCCUGAAAUCCAAAGGCGAAGUAGGACUUCUAAGCGAAUCACUGUCUACUGAACUUUUUUGACCCUAACCCGGCAAAAAAUCCAGGAAUACUGAACAACGAACUGCUUAUAUGUUUCCCCAAUGAGCCAGAUUGUAAGUAGGAGUCUGAAUCAGACUGAGCCAUCAAACAACCAUCAAAUACUCUCUCUUUUCUACAAGAACUACUAAGCCUUGUCCAGAACCAUUACUAUUUCUCUCUAAAACAACAACCAAGAUUUGCUCACUGCAUCAAGUAACUGCCAAAAAAAUUAGAAAUUACAAUCUUCUUGGAGCAGCAAGGAUUAACAUGAGAAAUAUCAAGAACAAAAACGAAGGGAAGUUUACUUUGGUCUUUAAAAAUCAAAACAAUUCAAAAGUAAGUUUUCGAAUCUUAUUUUGGUCUUCAACAUUCAUACAUAUCUGAUUUUACAUUUUCCAACAUUUCAACUUAUAAAACUCCAACUUCACAUAAAAAAUCUUAUUUUCGUCUUUGCCCAACAUAUCCCAAUCAUACAUUCAACAAAAAUCUGAUGUAGUACCACAUAAAACUUAUAUUUUAAACCACAAAUAUCAUAUAAUUGGUAGCAGUAAAUCCAGAAAUAGAAGCCUAAGAAUUUAACAAAAAUAGAUUUUUAUGAAGAUUAACCAGAACAGAAGUUUAAAUAAGAACUGCAAUCAAACUCAAAAGAAGUAUUAAAUACAUUCCACAAAAAAGUUUUGUUAAAUUCCAAUGAAAAUCAAAUUUCUGAAGAAUCCUAAGUACCCGGACGGUUUUAGGUUUCCAAAAACAACGCACAAAUUAUUCGCAAAGAAACAAAUAAUUAAAAACUUUCCCAAAAUGAUCAAUAAUCGAAGAUAAACACAAGAUUUCAAAGCACAUAUAGUACACACAAAAACCAAGCUUCAAAUCAACAUUCGUAGUUCCCAACUCCAAAUAAACAACAGAAUUCCAAAGCUAGGAAAACGCAAUCCUAAUUAGAAACCAAACACAAAAACCUAUUAACAUUUCUUCAUCGAAACAGUUCCCAGAAAAAAGAAAAAGAAAAAAAAAAAAAACAAAAGGAAACAGAAAUCGAACUCUAAAGCAAAAGGGUAUUAAAAAAAUUAGAAAAGAAACAGAAAGAUGAAGAGGAAUGCGAAAAAUAAAGGAUGGAUCAGCAAUGCAGAGAAAAGAGCACCUGAUUUUGGGUGAAAACCAUGGAAGAAAGAAGAAGAAGAAGAAGAAGAAGAAGAAGAAUAAGAAGAAAGGAGGGAAAAUGCAAGAAAUGAAAAUGAUAAGAAAGAGCAGGCAAAAUCUGGGAAAAGUCUGGUUGGUUGUUGAAGUAAAGGGUAUAGUUAGAAGGUUUAAUCCGCCAUUUUUGGUGCUCUCGAAGGUAUCAAAAUGAGAGGAAAGGCAAAUAAAAACCAUCACAGAGCCAUUCUGAAAUACCACAAUUUCUCUCUCUAUCUGUAGGAGAAUAACUAAUGUAUUGUGUACGCCAGUUUCGUAUAAAUGUACGUAUAUUCUUCGACGGAAAAUGUUAUGUGUGAACACUCCCACGGAAAGAUAAGAUGCGCACAAUCAAAAUGUAAACAUUCUUCUGCUAUAACAUCACCAUCAUCAUCCCCAGAUUAUCCAAAUUUCUCCAUUUAUUAAACCCAAACAAUUCCAAUUUUAAUUCAACUUAUUUUUAUUUUUAAUAUUGAUAAACUUACUUCAUAACAUAAAAAUGUAUUAUAUAAAACUAUGCAUUUUGAUUUAAACUUUAUGGUAUGGUUAAAUGAAUUAUGGCUAUUGAUAUGAAAUAAUAAUAUCUUGACCUUAUCUAUUUGAAUAAAUAAAUAAAACAUUUUGAGCCAUCUGUUUUCAUCUUGGGACAAAACAACAUGGCACGGUUGAGAUUUCUUUGGCACAAUAAUAGUAAUAUUUAUAUAAUAUGGACUCUUAAUCAAUCAUUGAUUUGGUUGGUUUAUUAAUUAAUAUAAAGUGUGGGCCUUAGGAUACAUGAUUCAAAUUAAUAUGUAAUUCAUCUAAUUGGUUCGCUUCUUUAAAUAAAAAUGAAUUAAUGUUGCAUUGAUAUCGCUGAUUUGGAUUUUGGUUUCAAGUUUAUCUUUCAUUAUUGUUUUAAUAAUAUUAUUUUCUGAUCCUUAUUCAUUUUUCCAAAAAUUUAUUACUUACAAUUUUAUCUUUUAAAAUAUAAAGCUUAAAUUACAUAUGAUUAUUAAAAAUUCAUGAUAUAAUCAGUUUAUUUAUAUUUAAAAGACGCUUACAUCAAUGGAUCUUCUUUUACAGCAUAUGAAUUGUUUGAGUUGGUAGUCAUAGAGCUAAUAAUUUUUUUUAAAAUUAUUCAAAUCCAAAAUUUAGGGUUAAAAUUAAUACAAAAGUAUUUGUUUGAAUAUUUAAAUUUCUUAUAUUUCAAACAAAAAGGAAAGAAAACUAAGAUUUAAAUUGACAUCUCUUUGUUAUAAUAAAAUAAGUAUUAACUAAAUAAAUUAUUUUGAAGAAAGAUUUUUUUUAUAUAUAAAUAAAACCAACUUAUUCGAGAAGAUUUUUUGCGAAUUUUUAAAAAUAGCAAAAUAAAUUAAAAUAUUUACAAGUUAUAACAAAAUUUUGGAUUUUAUCACUGAUAGUCAUUGACAUGUUACAGUGAUAGAAUUUGCUAUAGGUUGUAAAUAUUUUGUAAAAUUUGUUAUUUUUUAAAAUUCUCCAAGAUUUUUUUUAUAUUUUAUUAAAUAAAGAAAAUUGAUUAAUUUUCUUUACCCUCCUUGUACAACGGUCUCUUAUUUAAAAAUUUCCCCUCCUUGUACAAGGUUUAGACUUUUCGAGGUGUCGAGGUUUGUUGUUUUGGGGUUUCAAGUUUCGAGCUCUGGGUUCGUGGUUUGAGGUUCGAGGUUCGAGAUUUGGGGUUUGAGGUUCGAAGUUAGGAGUGCUUUAGGGUUUAGUGUUUAGGAUUUUGGGUUCGGGUUUUGAGAUUGGGGUUUCGAGUUUCAUGUUUUGGGGUUUUAGGGUUUUGGGGUUGGGAGUUUAGAGGUUUGGAGGUUGGGAGGUUGGAAGGUUUGAGGGUUGGGUUUAGGGGUUUUGGGUUUCGUUCAAGGUUUUGGGGUUUGGGGUUGGGGGGUUUGGGAGUUGGGGUUGGAAGGUUUGGCAGUUGGGUUUAGGGGUUUUGGGUUUCGAGGUUUCAAGGUUUGUGGUUUUGGGGUUUUCGAUUUCGAGUUCAGGGUUCGAGGUUCGAGGUACGAGGUUCAUGAUUUGGGAUUUGGAGUUAAGGGUACUUUAGGGUUUAGUGUUUAGGAUUUUGGGUUUGGGGUUCGGAGUUCGUGGUUUGGGGUACUUUGGGGUUUAUGGAUUAGGGGUUAAAGUUUAGGAUUUAUGGUUUACGGUUUUUUAGGGCUUAAGGUUUAAGGUUUCAGAUGCAUGGAUCGGUUCGGGGUUCGUGAUUUCAGGAUUCGGGGUGUAGCGUUUGGGAUUUCAGGAUUUAGGGUUUAGGAUUUAGGUUAGAGUUAUAGGGUUGUGUGUUAUUAGAUUCUGAGACAAUGACCAAUAUUAAUCAAAGUUCGAUACCCAUAAUAAGAAGCUCAAUUUUUCAAACCAAUCCAUAGUACAAAAUAAAUAGAUAUUCCUUAAAUAAUAGAAAUUGUUAUCUCCACCAGCAAAGUUUGAAGUUAGGAUUACGUGUUUCGAAUUUCGAGUUUCAGGGUUUAGGGGUUUUGGGGUUGGGGGUUGGGGUUUUGGAGGUUUAGGGGUUAGGGGUUGGAAGGUUUGAGGAGUUGGGGGUUGGGUUUCGAGGUUUAGAUUUUUCGAGGUUUCAACGUUUUGGGGUUUUGGGAGUUGGGGUUUGGGGUUUGGGGAUGGGAGGUUGGAAGGUUUGGGGUUUGGGUUUUGGUUUCGUGGUUCAAACUUUUCGAGGUUUUGAGGUUUGUGGUUUUGGGUUAUAGGUUUCGAGGUUCGAGGUUUGAGGUUCAAAGUUCAGGGUUUGGGGUUAAGGUUCAGGGUACUUUAAGGUUUUAGUGUUUAGGAUUUUGGGUUUGGAUUUCAGGAUUGGGAUUGGGGUUUGGGGUUUGUGGGUUGGGGUACUUUGGGGUUUACCGUUUAGGGGUUAAAGUUUAGGAUUUAUGGUUUACGGUUUUAGGGGUUUAGGGGUUUAGGGUGAAUGGAUCGGUUCAGAGUUCGUGAUUUCAAGAUUCGGGUGGAGCGUUUGGGGUUUCAUAGUCUAAGUUAGGUUAGAGUUAUAGGGUUGUGUGUUAUUAGAUUUCGAGACGAUGACAAUAUUAAUCAAAGUUUGAUACCCAAAAUGCAUGUAAAUCGAAUCAUAAUAUGAAACUCAAAAUUUCAAAUCAAUUCAUAAUACAACAUGCAUAGAUAUUCUCUAACUAAUAGAAAUUGUUAUCUCCACCAACAAAGUUUGAAGUUAGGAUUACAGGUUUCAGAUUUCGAGUUUCAGGGUUUUGGGGUUUUAGGGUUGAUGGUUAGGGGUUUGGAGGUUUGGAGGUUUGGGGGUUGGGUUUCGAGGGUUGUGGUUUUGGGGUUUCAGGUUUCGUGUUCAGGGUUCGAGGUUCGAGGUUCGGGUUAAGGGUACUUUAGGGUUUAGUGUUUAGGAUUUUAGGGUUCUGGUUUCGAGAUUGGGGAUUUGGGUUUGGGUUCAAGGUUCGUGGUUUGGGGUACUUUAGGGUUUAUGGUUUAAGGGUUAAAGUUUAGGAUUUAUGGUUUACGACUUUAGGUUUUUAGGGGUUUAAGGUUUAGUGUUUUAGGUUUCAGGGUUUAGGGUGCAUGGAUCAGUUUGGGGUUCGUGAUUUCGGGUUUCUAGGUAGAGCAUUUGGGGUUUCAAGUUUUAGGUUUCGGGGUUUUGGGGUUUUUGGGAUUUUGGGUUUGGGGGUUGGGUUAGGGGUUUUAGGUUUCGAGGUUUAGACUUUUCGAGGUUUCGAGGUUUGUGGUUUUGGGGUUUCAGGUUUCGUGUUCAGGGUUUGAGGUACGGGUUCGGGGUUAAGGGUUUUGGAAUUUUUUGUCCUAAAACUCGUAGUUUGUAAAUCAUAUUCUGUUCAAUAAAGUUGUUAUUAGAAAUUAAAUAUUAUAAUCUUAAAUCCAAUAAAUCAAGUUCCAAGGCUAUUUUUGAAUAAACUUGAACUUUAUGUGUAAACAUAAACGUGGAUCAAGUUCGAGUAUAAUAGCCUAAUAGUCUAUAGUAUAUGAAUAAAGGUUGGGCGCCUUAUUUAGGAAAACUAUGGAUGCGGCCCACUUUGUAGUACAAACGAGGUGAUCCUAAUCGUUCAUGUAGAGACAUGAAAGUGGGCAUCAUAUGUAAAAUGUUUACAUAAGACUGAACAUGAAUUAGUCUUUUUACGUUAUAACACUGUUUAAUGUUUAAAACUAACUAUCUCAAUUAUUGAUGACUAGUAGCUUAGCUUAAUCCUGAGUUAACUAUGAACUCCUGCUCACACGAGAUUAUCCUUAGAUCUCAUAGGGGAUGGCAGCUCAUCAGCGUUGGCCCAAUAAGCCUCCCAUUUCAGGGGUAAGAUCGGGUGGAUAGCUGGGAACAUAGGGUACAAGAUGGAAUUUACUCCUACCGCUUUAGGGUAGUAGAUAGGUUUGUCUCUUAAGCACUGAAUCCAAGUCUUGAACAAGGGGCCCACCCUCUCAUUGGCCGAGAGGGAUUAAGUUUAUAGGUUGAACCUUAAACCAAUUGUUCAAUGGUGGAUUAGUGGAACUUAAGGAGCAAGAUGUAAUCUUAGGGGUAAAACGAUAUUUGACCCAGCCAAGUUACGAGCAACCUGUGAAUGAUUAACUUACUGAUUAUGGUUUUAUAAUGAACACAAAUAUAUCUAUAGUGAGGGGAGUGCAACUACAGACUUUAGUGGAAUGACCCGUUAGUUAACGAAUGUUGAUAACUCAGUUUAAAAGAGUUUAGCUAGUUAAUCUUGAAUCGUUGGAGCCCGUGAUCUAUAGGUCCAUUAGUUCCUUUGCUAGCUCAUAUGGAUUAAUUAGAACAGUGUGAUAAAUAAGUCGAAUUGUUCGAAUUGGGAGAAGAAAGAGAAACCGACAAAAUAUAGUGAUAUAGUCGUCGGUCUUCUAAUUAGAAAUAGAGCUUUAUGUUUUACAUACUAUAAGUAUGAAUACAGAUUCAUACUAAGAAGCUCGGAAUUGAUGGAAUUGGUCAAAAAUAGUAAAAAGUCAAAUGUUGACUUUUGAUUUUGAAAAGUCAAACUUUGACCGGCCUUAUAUUCAAAUGUGAUUUGAAUUUUGGAAAAAUGAAUGCGGAUUCAUGCUCGGAGGUUGGAAUUAGUCAAGACGGACAAAAUGGUAAAAAGUCAAAAUAUUGACUUUUGACUAAGAAAAGUCAAAGUUUGACUUUUGACUAGAAAUAUCUAAUGACCAUUUUACUCUUGGACUAAGUUAGUGGGAAAAUCCAACAUUUUGUUGGAUAAUCCCACUAACUCUUAGUGGGAUAUGUGGCUAUAUGAGAUAUAGACACCUACCCACUAAGUUCCACUAAUUGUUAGUGGAACAUUAGUGUUGAGAUUUGGCAAAUGAAUUGCAUGCAUUUUGCAUGUAAUUAGGUUAUAAAUAGAGUGUUUUCAAAUGUUGAAGGACUUUUGCCUCUUUUAUCAUUUUCAUCAUCUCAACCAAAGAAAAAAAAGGAAACCUUCCAAUCCCAUUUUAUCUCCAUUACUUUCUACACCAAAAUUGGGUCCCACAACCCGGUUCUUUGUCUAGAGGAUAGCAGUUGAGUACUAGUGGGUUCCGCUUGAAUGGUAAGAAGAUAUCAAACUUUUGAAAGCUUCAAAGGUAAUAUUUCCUAAAACCCUAAUUUGAUUAGUUUAUGUUACAUGUUAAUUGUGGCAAUUAGGGUAGAAAUUCGAUUAUUUUUCCGCUGUGCAUAACUUAGUUCUAUCAAAGGGUACUUUAAGGUUUAGUGUUUAGAAUUUUAGGGUUCGGGUUUCAAGAUUAGGGAUUGGGGUUUUGGGUUCGGGGUUCGUGGAUUUGGGUACUUUAGGGUUUAGGGUUUAGGGUAGAGUUCUAGGGCUGUGUGUACUUAGAUUCCGAGACGAUGACCAAUUUUAAUCAAGUUUGAUACCCAAAAUGCAUGUAAUUCAAAUCAUAAUAAGAAACUCAAAAUUUCAAACCAAUCCAUAAUACAAAAUGCUUAAAUAUUCCCUAAAUAAUAGAAAUUGUUAUCUCCACCAAUAAAGUUUGAAGUUAAGAUUACAGGUUUCAGAUUUCAAGUUUUGAGGUUUUGGGGUUUUGGAGUUUUGGGGUUGGGAGUUGGAGGUUUGGAGGUUUAGGGGUUGGGAGGUUUGGGGUUUGGGGUUGGGAGUUUGGAGGUUUGGACGUUAAGGGUUGGAAGGUUUGGGGGUUGGGUUUAGGAGUUUUGGUUUUCGAAGUUAGACUUUUCAAGGUUUUGAGGUUGGGGGUUUGGAGGUUUGGGGUUGAGGGUUUGAAGUUUGGUUGUUGGUUUAGGUGUUUUGGGUUUCGAGGUUUAGACUUUUCGAGGUUUCGAGGUUUGUGGUUUUGGGGUUUCAAGUUUCGAGCUCUGGGUUCGUGGUUUGAGGUUCGAGGUUUGAGAUUCGGGUUCGAGGUUCGAAGUUAGGUGCUUUAGGGUUUAGGAUUUUCGGUUUGGGUUUUGAGAUUGGGGUUUCGAGUUUCAUGUCGGGGUUUUGGGCUUUUGGUGUUGGGAGUUUAGAGGUUUGGAGGUUGGGAGGUUGGAAGGUUUGAGGGUUGGGGGUUGGGUUUAGUGGUCUCGGGGUUUAGGGUUUGGGGUUGAGGGUUGGAAGGUUUGAGGGUUGGGUUUAGGGGUUUUGGGUUUCAUUCGAGGUUUUGGGUUUGGGGUUGGGGGUUUGGGAGUUGGGGAUUGUUCUGCACCAAGAUCACCUCUGACAACCAUUGCCUAAAAUGAAAAAAAUGUUCUUCAAUUAGCAACAAAGCCCCAGACUACCAACAAAAUUGAAAACCUUUGAAUGAAAUUUAACAUUAACGAAGCUAUAAAAAAAUUCAAACAAUUACCAUCAGAAGCUGUAAUAAUUGAAUGAAAAUUUGGUAUGGAGUAUACACUUUCUAUAUUUACAAUCACGUUAAUAUCAGCAUCAAAACCUGUAGAGUCAGAUAAGUUAAUAAGUUUGUAGUAGAACAGACUAGCAGAAAUGCAGCAUCCAAAUUGUAUUUAUAAGCACAAACAUAAAGAUUUGAAGCUAUUUACUCUUGAGAUAUUUCAACUCAUGAAGUAGUUUGUUGUCAACUCCAAAUUAAUAUCAUCCAAAUCCUUCUCAGCAAGAAGUAGACAACAAAUUCAUUGAGUCACAGACAAAAAAAUAAAUUUACUUAUAGAAAAAUCCCGAAAAGAAGAAACUUCACGAAAAGGUGAAAUCUAUAGGAUAUGCUUAUUCAAUCCAACCAAUAAUUGAAGGAAGUGUAGCACUUUUCCUCGAACAUUUCAAUGUCUCAUGGACUUGAGCUCUCCUCCAUCAAUAACUUCACAUAAGACAGAAUCUUCUGUCUUAGACUUCACCAUCAACGACAUCAUUCCACCUCUAAUGGAUUUAAAUAGCCAAUGUUUGUGCAAGCCACGAGAUAAUUAGAAAAAAGAAAGCACAUGCGAUGUAACAUACAUAAAAAAUAAUAAUAAACAUAUACAUCAUCUAAGAUAGCAACAAGGAAAUACUAAAGAACUUGGGCAUCACAGAGGUAUGGGUGUGGGUUGUGUGGAGGGAGAUCAAACCAUUUGCUAUAGUCAAUCCAUCCAGUGAAAAAGUCAAUAUGUCGUUUCCCUUGGCUAAAACCAUUUGCUAUAAUCUGGCUCAUUUAGAACUUAUUUGAAAGUUCAUUGCUGUGAUAUAUAUAUAUACAUAUGUCCUUUAUUGUAAUUUUACAUAGUCUCUAGGGUUUAGUUUAUUCUCUAUAUAAAUAUGUAACAUUGCUUUGACUCAAACAUAAUAAGACAGAUACUUCUCUGAAUUCUAGAUUACAUGGUAUCAGAGCAUUAGGUUUCGAAUGAUUAGCUUCCUAUUAGGUUUGAGUUUGGUUACCUUCCGGUGACCAUUUGUCGACACCGCCCAUACCAUAAGAAGCACCACCUCCGUCCGCCCAAGUCUGUCUUCGCCGAUCGCCGGAAAACACCGCGUGACCUCACGCGCCGCCGAAUCAUCGUCCUUCACCCACGCGCGGCGCGUGAGAAGUCCGAUUUGUCUUUGUCUUCUGGGCUUGUCUCGAACCAUUGUUUCCUGCCAGUCUGUACCAUUGGGUCUAUCAAAUAACAUUCGGGUUUGACGAAAACCGAAGGUUACACGAUUGGUUUUGUGUCUUUUUCCAAUUUUGCAGCUGUUUGGAUUGAUUUUCUCUUUGUUCGAGUGGACUACAAUCAACGUGUGACUUCAAUAUGGCCGACAUAAAAAAUUUGGUAGUCUCCAACGUUAUUCCCUUGGCCUCUAAGAUCACAGAACAUAAGUUAAAUGGAUCCAAUUAUUACGAUUGGCGUCGGACAAUUUUAUUUUAUUUGAGAAGUACUGAUAUGGAUGAUCAUAUGACUGAAGAUCCCCCAAAAGAUGCAAAGCAGAAGAAGGAUUGGCUUCGUGAUGAUGCCCGUUUAUAUCUUCAGAUCAAGAAUUCAAUUGAGAGUGAGAUAAUUGGAUUGGUUGAUCACUGUGAGUCUGUUAAAGAACUUUUGGAAUUUUUGGAUUUUCUAUACUCAGGUAAAGAGCAAGUGCAUAGAAUGUUUGAAGUUUGUAUGCAAUUUUUUCGUGCGGAACAGAAAGCUGAGUCUGUCACCAGCUACUUUAUGCGGCUUAAGAAGAUCAUUGCCGAGCUUGGCUUGUUGUUACCUUUUAGUCCUGAUGUUAAAGUUCAACAAGUUCAACGAGAGAAGAUGGCUGUUAUGAUUUUUCUGAAUGGACUCUUACCUGAAUUUGGAAUGGCAAAGACACAGAUUCUCUCUGACUCCAAGAUUCCAUCAUUAGAUGAUGCCUUCACUCGAGUCCUUCGCAUUGAAAGCUCUCCGACUAGUGUGUCUAUUCCUCAACCCAGUAGUGCUCUCUUUAGCAAGAACAAUAACCCUCGGGCACCUCAGAGGAAUAGUACUGAUCAUCGAAAACCAGAGUCUGUAGAGAUUGUUUGUAACUACUGUCGUAAGCCAGGCCAUAUGAAACGUGAUUGUCGGAAAUUGCUAUAUAAGAAUAGUCAACGAUCUCAACAUGCUCAGAUAGCCUCCACAUGUGAUAUACCAGAGGCGUCAGUUACUAUUUCUGCAGAUGAGUUUGCUAAGUUUCAGAAUUACCAAGAGUCAUUACAAGCGUCAUCUUCCUCUACUCCGAUUGCAUCCACUGUUGCCCCAGGUAAUAUAAAGUGUCUUCUUACAUCAUCUACCAAAUGGGUCAUAGACUCUGGUGCCACAGCUCAUAUGACAGGUAAUUCUCACCUAUUUUCUAGACCGUUGUCCCCUGCCCCUUUCCAUCUGUUACAUUGGCCGAUGGCUCCACAUCUUCUGUUCUUGGCUCUGGCACUAUUCACCUUACCCCAUCCUUUUCUCUCUCUUGUGUUACAUUUGCCUAACUUAUCCUUUAAUUUAAUUUCUACUAGUCAACUUACUCAUGACCUAAAUUGUGUUGUCAUGUUCUUUUCUGGUUAUUGCUUGUUUCAGGAUCGUGUGACGAAGAAGAUUAUUGGUAGAGGAUAUGAGUCAGGAGGCCUUUAUCUCUUUGAUCAUCAAGUAUCGCAAGCUGUGGCGUGUCCUGUCGUUCCCUCUCCUUUUGAAGUCCAUUGUCAUUUAGGUCAUCCAUCUUUGUUUGUGUUGAAGAAACUUUAUCCAGAAUUUAGGUCUUUGCCCUCUUUAAAUUGUGAUUUGUGUCAAUUUGUGAAAUUUCAUCGUCUUAGUUCGAGUCCUCGAGUCGAUAAACGAGCAAUUGCUCCAUUUGAGUUAGUUCAUUCUGAUAUUUGGGGUCCAUGUCCAGUUGUAUCUCAAACAGGCUUUGUUAUUUUGUUACUUUUGUUGACGAUCAUUCUCGUCUAACUUGGUUAUAUUUAAUGAAAAAUCGUUCUGAGUUAUUAUCUCAUUUUUGUGCCUUUCAUACUGAAAUAAAAAACCAUUUAAUGUCUCUAUCAAAACUUUGCGUACUGAUAAUGCGGGUGAAUAUUUUUCUCAUUCUCUUGGCUCUUACUUGUGUGAAAAUGGCAUUAUUCAUCAUCUUCCUUGUGCUGACACUCCAUCUCAAAAUGGUGUUGCAGAGCGAAAAAUAGGCAUUUACUUGAAACUGCCCGUGCUUUAUCGUUUCAAAUGCAUGUUUCAAAAAUCUUUUGUUGAUGCUGUCUCUACAGCUUGUUUUUUGAUUAAUAGAAUGCCUUCCUCUGUUCUUAAUGGUGAGAUUCCCUAUCGUGUUCUUUUUCCUACCAAGCAUUUGUUUCCUAUUGCUCCUAAGAUAUUUGGUUGUGUCUGUUUUGUUGUGACGUUCGUCCUCAUCAUACUAAGUUAGAUCCCAAAUCCUUGAAGUGUAUCUUCUUGGGUUAUUCACGUGUUCAAAAGGGUUAUCGUUGUUAUUGUCCUACCCUUAAAAGGUAUCUGGUUUCGCUGAUGUUGUUUUUUUAGAUACACCCUUUACUUCAUCACCAUCGAGUUCGUGUCAGGGGAGGAUGACAAUCUUUUUAUAUAUGAGGUUACCUCUCCCACACCAUCCUUGUCUACUGAUGUGCCUCCUUCCCGCCCGUUGAUUUCUCAAGUCUACUCCCGACGACCUCCACCACAACCUUCAGACUCAUGUCCUCCAUCAAUGCUUCCUUCAUCAUGUGAUCCAGAGCCAAGUGAUGAUCUUCCCAUUGCUCUUCGAAAGGUAAACGCAAGUGUACUUACCCCGUUUCUUCCUUUAUUUCCUAUCACCAGUUAUCUCCCUCCACAUAUGCGUUUAUUACGUCUCUUGAGUCCACAUCUAUUCCUAACUCUGUUCAUGAAGCUUUGUCUCAUCAUGGCUGGCAAAAUGCAAUGAUUGAGGAGAUGACUUUAGAUGAUAAUGGUACUUGGGAUUUGGUAUCUCGUCCUGCAGGAAAGAAGGCCAUUGGUUGUAAAUGGGUGUUUGUUGUCAAGAUGAAUCCUGAUGGAACAGUGGCUCGAUUAAAGGCUCGCCUUGUUGCCAAAGGUUAUGCUCAAAUCUAUGGAACUGAUUAUUCAGAUACAUUCUUUCCGAUUGCCAAGUUAACUUCCAUUCGCCUAUUUCUUUCCAUGGUUGCUACCAAUAAAUGGUCGUUGCAUCAACUUGACAUUAAGAAUGCUUUUCUUCACGGUGAUCUUCAAGAGGAAGUUUAUAUGGAACAACCACCACGGUUUGUUGCUCAGGGGGAGAGUGAUAAAGUAUGUCGCCUUCGAAAAUCUCUGUAUGGUUUGAAACAGAGUCCUCGUGCGUGGUUUGGUAAGUUUAGUCAAGCCCUUGUAUGCUUUGGUAUGAAGAAGAGUACAUCUGAUCAUUCAGUUUUCUAUCGCCGAUCUGAUAAGGGUAUAGUUCUACUAGUUGUAUAUGUUGAUGAUAUUGUUAUUACUGGAAAUGAUGCAUUGGGUAUUUCGUCUCUCAAAACUUUCCUUCAGGGUCAGUUUUAUACAAAAGAUUUGGCCAAUUGAAAAUUUUUUGGGCAUUGAAGUGAUGAGAAGCAAGAAAGGUAUUUAUUUGUCUCAACGAAAAUAUGUACUUGAUUUGUUGUUUGAAACAGGAAAAUUAGGCGCCAAACCAAGUGGCACUCCAAUGAUGCCAAAUCAGCAACUUGUUAAAGAAGGAGAAUUAUGUAAAGAUCCUGAGAGAUAUAGGAGAUUAGUUGGGAAGUUGAACUACUUAACAGUGACUCGACAUUGCAUAUUCUGUAAGUGUUGUAAGUCAAUUCAUGUCUUCCCCUACAGUGGAUCAUUGGGCUGCAGUAGAGCAGAUUUUGUGUUAUCUAAAAGCUGCUCCUGGACGUGGGAUCCUAUACAAAGAUCAUGGACAUACGAGAGUUGAAUGUUUUUCUGAUGCUGAUUGGGCAGGGUCUCGUGAGGAUAGGAGAUCAACUUCUGGAUAUGUGUUUUUGUAGGUGGAAACUUAGUUUCAUGGAAGAGUAAGAAACAAAAUGUUGUUUCUCGUUCGAGUGCUGAGUCAGAAUAUAGAGCUAUGGCACAAUCUGUGUGUGAAAUAGUAUGGAUUCACCAACUAUUAUCUGAGAUACUUCAGUAUUACCGUGCCAGCUAAAUUAUGGUGUGAUAAUCAAGCUGCACUUCAUAUUGCAUUUAAUCCAGUAUUUCAUGAACGAACUAAACAUAUUGAGGUGGAUUGUCACAUCAUUUGUGAGAAAAUCCAAGAUGGGUUGGUGUCCACAGGAUAUGUGAAGACCGGAGAACAAUUGGGAGAUAUUCUAACUAAAGCUUUAAAUAGAACAAGGAUAAGCUAUCUGUGCAACAAGCUGGGCAUGAUCGACAUAUUUGCUCCAGCUUGAGGGGAGUGUUAUGAUAUAUAUAUACAUAUGUCCUUUAUUGUAAUUUUACAUAGUCUCUAGGGUUUAGUUUAUUCUCUAUAUAAAUAUGUAACAUUGCUUUGACUCAAACAUAAUAAGACAGAUACUUCUCUCAAUUCAGAUUACAUUCAUAUCCUUAUUAGGUACAAAUAUGUAAGGAAGGAAUCAAGAAACUUACACUUCCUAGUAAAUAUAUUUGAUAAAGAACUCGAGAAAAGACUACUCUCAUACUGAGAAUUCAUCGUAUUGACUUCAUUACUUCGAGAAAAAUAAUUGGAUGUUUUUUCAGCUCCAACAUGUCUAUUCAGGAUAAGACUUGCAUUCUAGUCUCUCACAAGAAAUGAAACAUGAUUUUCCAAGGAGUUCUCUGGCAGGCACUCACAUAUUGAAAUUUUUUCCAUAGAUGAAGAACAUGAUAUGUUACUGGUUCUUCAUAAACAUUGAAGAAACACAUCUUUCAUUUACAUGAAAGUCCUCACCACACUACAACACAAUAGAUAGGGUGAAUGAGAUAGUUUUGGAAAUAUAAAUUCCACCUCCAAUCCAAUCCUUUAAUUUGCUUAAAAAAAAAUCCUUUUGUUAGAAAUUCCCAUAAAAAUGCACAGAGGAAGUCCAUAAAAUAUAUAAAGCAAAGUAAAACCAACUAUAUAGGUUUGGGAAAAUUGAAACGGGCUAAACUAUGCAAAAUUGAUGACUUUCUUUAUAUUUUUAUUCUUUGGGUAUGUGUGUGUGGUGGCAACCCAGAGGGAAUAGAGUACUAUACACUUUAAGUCAGGUAAUGUUGUUUCAGCAAGAACCAAUGUGGGUAGGCAUGAUCAUCAAAGAAAUGAACAAACUAAAAGUCUUUAAAUAGUAGUGGGUCAAACCACAAUGACCAUCUAUCUAGGAGGUCAAUAAAUCCUCCAAGAUUCCUCAUGCCAAACAUAAUAGGGUAAGAAUUGUUAUUUUGUGAGAUUAGCGAUGUUGCAAAAGUUGAGCCAAACAGUCAUGACUAUGAAACAAACAAAGCGUCAUUACGAAAUAAAAAACAACAUAAAAAAAUAAUUCUUAUAAAAAAAUAUACAAGUUAUUUGAAAUCUCUUGGAAUUCAUGAAUUGUACAUCAUAAAAAAAUGAUAAAUUUUGUUACUACUAUGAAGUGGGAUAAUCACAAAUUAGUGUCUUCAAACAUUGCACUUUUCAUGCAUUAUAUGUCAUGUUAAUGCUCCUAAUUAUGAGAAUUACCUUCCACUAUAAUUAGAUUCAAAAUCAUUUUAAUUUCCAAAUGCCUCUUUAGAACCCCUAGACAUUCUACAUUUCUCGUGAUAUAGUACAGGAAAUAUGUGGUGGUCAAUCAAUUAAUGACAAACUAUAUCCUGUCACUUGAAAGAUCAAGUAUACAAAGAUAAAAACACAAGAAACCAAAAGUAAUCAAAACAGAAAAAGAAGAUAAAUGCACUAACCAUGGUGAUUUGGCACACUAGCUGACUUCCAAACUCCAACCUACACAGGGAAUGCAGGGAAGAAAAAAAAAAGAGAAAUAUGAAGUAAAUAGAAAUGAUGUGUGGAGACACUGAAGAAAGAUGCAGUACUAUGAACUGCAAGAACAAGCAAUCUCUUAAGCUAGAAAAAGAAGAAACAUGAAAACCAAGGAUGUAAUUGUUGAAUUUAUGGAAUAAAUCUAUAUUUCAUUUAUUAUUUAGUAGAGAUACAAGCCUAUAUAUAACCAUAGAGAAAUACACUUAAGGAAAUAAUAUCAAAUAAUAUCUCCAGAAUAAUAUCACCUAAGAAUAAUCUAAUUAUAUUAAUAGUUAUUAUCUAUAUCUCAUUUAUAUGACGUAAAUCGUCGGAGAAGAAGGAAGAUGAAGACAAACCCUUCAAGUCCAAAACUUUAGACGACAUGAUGGAACCGAAAAAGAACAAAUCCCAAAAUAAAGAAAGAAACUCAAAAAGCUCUGUAAAAAAGGACGCCAAAAAUUGCAACCCCACUCCUUCAGAAGGCAAUUCAAAAACUUCCUCCAGCCUACAAAACUCUGCAGGUUGAGCAAAACAUUUCAUGAGUAGAAAAAAAAUAAAAGAAAUUAAAUUACAAAAUGAAGAACCAUUGAUUAAACUAACUUAAACACCACAAUUCAUAUGUACCACAUAGUCAAACAAGAAAGUAAUGCAACAAAUUAAACAAAACAAAUCAUAAACAUUAAUUAAGAGAUCGCCUUUCAAAAAUUAAGUUUCAAAAACACACAAAAACAACUGAAAUAGAAGGAAAUAAAAAGGUUCUCUCCAACCCUAUUUGUUAAAACAAAAUCCAGACAAGAAAUGGUUUCCUAAUUACUAUUUCCUUUCUUCUAUGCAGCUGCAUAACACUUGGCUAAAACCAUGAAUGCUACUAAUACUUUGGUUGAAAAUGUUGGUUAAAUGGUCAAUGGAAUCCCAUAUAAUCAAAUUUUCACAUUUACAUAAGAACUAGCAGUUGUAGGGUAUGGAGAAGAAAGUUUCUUAAUCAUUAAAAAGUUGGAAGAUUCUAAAAGUAGGGCUUAUAUUUGAUAAAAAACAAUACAUAAACUUUAAGAACAACCAAAUCAGACAAAUAAGAAAAAGAGAUAAAUAACAAAACCCAUGAAGAGCAAGGAAAAAGGUACCUGCAACGAUAAGGAAAUGUCAUUUUUUUGAUAGAUUAAAAUAAUAAAUCUUGAAUGUUCAUGUGAUAAAUUUUGGUUGUAUACAAUUACACAAGUUGUAUAAAUAUAUAAAUAUAUAAUUUAUUUAUGUAAAUAUGGUUGAAAGAAUGAAAAUAAAAUGUGGAAAAGAUGAUAGCAUAUAAGGAAAUGUCAUUUUUUGGGGGGAAUGAAUUAAAAACUGCCCAUGAGAAUCAAUACCCUGCUGCCUUAAUGCCUUUGAUUCUCAAUCACAAUAUUCCUCUAUAUUUCACUUUUAAAUUUCAUUUAUUAACAAAAAUAGUUCCUAUAAUAAAAACUUAUAAUUACCAAUUCCAAAAUUCAUGCACAACUUCUAUUUUUAUUAUUUUGAAAGAAAAAAAGAAAGAAGCUUAACCUAAUCAAUGGAGAUGGUCAAAAACUACUGAAGAGUAAUGGCAGAAUCCUCUCUGAGUGUUGAGGAAAUUAGCUAAGUAUCCCUAACCAUGAAGGGAGUUUGAGAAAGCUUACCACUUCUAAUAAAUUGGCUCCUUCACUAAGUCCCUCCAGCUCUCUUGGAUCUUGGUGAACAGGUACCACCCUAAAUAGUCAGAAACAUGGAACUAUUUCUCAUCUCUAUUAUCGUAAUUAUUUGUGAACUCUCAAUGUUCAAGAGGUUGAGUAGCUUUAUAUGAAAUAGGUGCAAGAGCGGUUUGAAGUUCUUAAAAAGAGAGAAACAUCAGGAAGCUUCACAGAGCAAGGUAAAGCUUAAGAAUUCAGAGUUAGUUAAGAUCAAAACCAUAAUCAUAGAACAAUCAACAACAAACAAAUCUCAUAUCUCAUCAAUUUUUUCAAAAAGAUAAAUAAUAGAAAACAAGUAAGAAUCAGACAAGCAAACAUACAAUGUCUAUUUUUCCAUUUGAAUUUUUCUACAUCUGUUAAGUUCCAAAUAUGUUUUUGAGUCAUUGGAAAUUACUUUUUAUAUUACAAAAUCACUUUUAAAAGUAGACACAAACAAAGGUUAAUAUGGCUAAUGGAACAGUAACCUACAAAUUUGUAGGUACUCUACCCUACAAAUUAAAUUCACAAUUCUUGCAACAAUGCUUUUGACUUCAUUUAUAUCAAGAUAUUGAUGUCACACCAGUGAUACUAAUAACAAGAAACAAAACCAAGAAUCAAUAGUUUCAUCAUUUUUUCUUUUCUCUUGGGCAUUGCCGAUCUCAUUCUAAAGUGAUUUUCCUUAGCCAAAACAACAAUGAAAUCAAAUCACAGUUACUAUGAAAAUGUUAGUGUAAAGUACGAAGCAUUCUUCUUCAUUUUUGGUUGAUCCAUUCUCCAUUGUACUCAAUGGAAAAUUAAAUAAAAUUAUGGAACUGUUUCUUCAUCCAUUUCCAAUAAACCCAGUAAAGAAAUCACUCAGAACAACAAUAAAAUGAUAAUAAAUAUAUAGCAACUUUGAACAAGAAAACAUGUUUUUGAAUUGAAUCUUUCCCUUAGCCAAUAUCAAAGUUUUAAUACAAUCAAAGAACACUUUUAACAAAACAUUUAUUAAUAAAAAUAAACUUUGUUAACUAGUUUCUAAAAACACUCUUAAAUAUGCCUUCCAUAACCUGGUUUAAGUUUUGAAGAAAAAUGACUAAUGGGCUGGGAUACUCAUGCCAUGGAGUGGCAAAAAAGAGACUGAGCUUUGUAUUUGAAGUAUCAUGUUGGUGAAGACAUGUAAAAGGUCUUAUGAACAUUUCAAUUUAACUCUUUUGUCUCUUGAGUACUAUAGCUUUAGACUAAUGAUUAUUUUCCAGCAGUUUGUCUCUACACAAAAGACCAGUUUGUCCAUUUCUACUUUAAUUGUCAGCCUUCCAAGCUUGUCAAAUACAUCAGUUUUUAAGAUUUAUGUGCACCCCAUGUCAUUAAUCCCUUCCUAAGCUGAUUUUCCUUCGUAAAUAUAUAUUACACUUAACACUUAAACACACAUAUUUCAAAGAUUGAUUCCAAAACGAAAAUGAGAAAUGAAUGAAACUCAAAUCAAAAUAGAG
rnacentral:lncRNA from 1 species